rnacentral:lncRNA from 1 species
AGCUCACCACGCGCAGCAGCGAGCACCAAGCAGAGCAGGGGAGAGAGCAGAGCGCCAGCAGCCGUCCGAUCCUUCGCCGCAAAAGCAAGAGGCUGAUCCGAUGGCUCUCGCUCUCUCCGGCUCUUCCGCGCUCCGCGCCGCCCUGUCCACGCUGGCCCCGAGGGCCUCGGCCACCAGGGGCUACGCGGCGUCGGCGGCGUACGGGGCCAUGCGGCGGGCGGCUGCGGCCGCGGAGGGCGCCGCCGCGGGGGAGGCCAAGGAGGCCGGGCGCGGCGCCGCCGCCGAGAUCUCGUGGGUCCCCGACCCCGUCACGGGCCACUACCGCCCCGCCAACUGGGCCGCCGCCGCCGACCCCGCCGACCUCCGCGCCGCGCACCUCGCCCGCACCUACGCCAGGGCGUGAGGAGGGCCCCGUUUGCCGCCGUCUGAUAUAACAUACCAAAGGGGAAGGGGUGGUGGGGGUUCGUUUGGCUUGGCGUCGUCGUCGCGCGCGCUCCGGUGACGGCGGCGGGCCGGCAUGGCCGUGGAGGAAGUCCUCGGUUGGUUGGUCGCUGUGCAACUUGACGCCUCAACAUCUCGGCUCGGCCAAAGGGAGAAUGAAGAUACAAUACAAUACAGGAAGAGCGGCCUCCGGUCGCCGUGGUGUGCGUGCGUGUGUGGGCUGGAUGCCCUGUUCUCAGCUAGCGCUCUCUUAUCCUAUCAGAUUCAGAGCAGGGUUUUGCUGAUGUUCUACGUUUUGUUACUCGCUAUCACCAGAAAUAAAAAAGUUCCUUGCAGUUUGUUCUAAUUCCUACCAUCGUUGCAACAUUGGAUAUAGUGUCUAAGAACAGGAGAACCUGUAGAAAAUAGACAAGCACAGAAACUGUACUCGAAAUCGUCUGAAAUGCGAACUAGUGCAUUUUCCUUGCGAAAAUCUCUACAAAAAAUCUCGUGGUAGGCGUGCGUGGCCGCACUAAAAGAAAAUGUGCCCCGGUCGGUGCAGAGAACCCGUCCCGUCCGCUCGCUGUCUGACGUGUGGUGUGGUCCGGCCCUACGAGUAGGCCUCGUGCCUAUAGGAGCGUUCCAGCACUGCUUCCCCACUAGCACAGAGCCGUGCAAUUUUAUCACACAGGACUCGAGAAAUCCACGAGAUCGCGGAUUGGUAUUGCUUGAGCGCCCGGUGAUCCCCGUUGCACUCCAGCCGACCACCACCGACUCCUGCGGCGCCUAGAAUUUCCCGUGCUCCAGCGAUAGGGCGCGACCGGGGUGAAACUGAAACCAGUGGCAAUACCAUUGGGUCCCCACCGCGGGUGCCCGUGAACCUUAUCGUGGCGCAUGCCUCCCGCACCGACCGACGGCAUGGACGCCGUCGUCUCUGCUAGCCCUUUCUUUCUUUCUUUCUUUUAUUUAACGCGGCGGUGAUCGACAGCGACCGGCGGCGCGGGAAGCACCCGCAGAGCUUGCGUAGUUGCGUCCGGCUGGCUCCGUUCUCGGAUCAACUUGGGCUGAGGGCAAUCGACAGUGAACGGGCCUGGCCAUUGAGUAUUUGAAUUGAGCACCAGUGGUAGCUCAAAUUUACCACGCGCAGGUCGGCACACGGAAGGAUCGGGAAGGUAAGGCGACCUGGACCAGUCAUCAGUUCAUCACAUGACGCGCUGCCAAGAUACCCUCCAGGCUCCAGCAAAAGAAAAGCUGUUGGGAAUGGGCCGCCCUGCGUGGGAUCAAUCCCCGAGAAGAUCAGAUAUUAUAACGUGGCACUAAAAAAAGAAUAAAGUAGCCGCCGGGAUUGUCUCACAAAAGAAUAAAGUAGCCGUCGAGAUUGGUCUCACAAAAUAUUAAAGUUUCAGCGUGUUCAGAUCCGACAACGUAUCGAGGGUACCCGAGGUAGUGUUUAGUGCGUGGGACUCGUUAAGAUUAUGAAUUCGAAGGUAAAUACAGACAUACGAUUUAGACAAGUUUGGAUCGCUAGAUUGCGUAAUACGCUACUUCUUGUGUGUCGGUUGGAUUGAAUUGGUUUAAAGGGAUUCCUGCCUCGCCUUAUAUUGUCGGGAGCAGGGUUACAAGUUGGUUGAUUUAUAAGAAUACUAGUCGAAUUCGAUUAGAUAAGGCAUACUCUAAUUAUUACGAGUAGUUUUUCGAAUCCUCGACUAGUUACUAUCUUACCACGUAAAUCAUACCAUUGCAGUCUUCACAUCUUGAAGUACCUAGAACUCUCCAAACCUCCUGAUGAACCGUAGAUGUAUAUACGACGGCCGCCGAGGUUCGAAUGCGAACGGUGCAGGUCAUCUAGCUAGUUGGUGUGCAAAUUUUAUUUGAAAUGCUGUAGUCCACCGACGAACAAAUACUUCAGCCCAUUUUUAAGUCAUCUCUUGCUAUUUUAUCCUUCCCGAGAUACCCAAUGCCGACAGCAUCAAUUAGUUGCUAUUUUAUCCUUCCCGAGAUACCCAAUACUGACAGCAUCAAUUAGCGUCCAUAUAGCUUUCAGUAAAAGAGAAGGCUUCUGGGCAAAUAAUGAACACAGCUGAAAGGGAGUGUCAAUUUUCUUCAACACAUGCGUAGUGCGAUUUUCUUACUACGCCAUAACCUUUAGUACUGUCUUAAGCCCGCUCAAUAUGUGCAAACAGAUUAUCAUCUGGACCACAGAAAUCUGAAGGAAUGCAAACAUACACAGCCCAUACAGAUACAGAUCACCACACAUGGGCCACAAACUACCCAUUAACACCCACAGUAAGAACCACAAGCAUUGGGCGUGAGCAAGAGCUGCUUCCAAAGCAAAUCUCAAACAGAUCGGAGGGUUCGUCCAAUUUUUUGGGCAAUCAUAUUGCAAUAAGACAACGUCCUCACAACACCUAGAUAUAUCAGACGCAAAACAGAUACACAAUCUGAUCUCACACUGCUGGAACACGGAGGACAAUCCGUCGCUGAUACAUCAACAUGAAGACUCAUAAGAUUAUCGCCUUACCGGCUUCCAGCUUGGCUGCAGACGACUCAGAGAAAAGGGGGACAUACAGGAGAGUAACCGGAUGUAGGCAUGCAAGGGUGAUCGCAUUGGCUGUGCCAAUCACCCAGACUUGAAUAGCAAGACGGCUUUGGAAUCGAUGUAGAAGUAUACAAAGUAGUUUGUCUCAUGCGUUACAUACGAACCUGCAAUAGACGAAAAAUGGUUAGCAAAAGCGUGGGCGUUCAAUAUACAUAUCAUGGACUCAUAAAUGGAAGAGGUUAAUAAGCUCUCACUAUUUUCAGCUUUACUUUUCCAUUCACAAGCUAUGCAUAUACCACUAAAGUUCAGCGGUCAACAUAACCACAUACUCCACAACCAAAAGGAGUAACUGGAUGUUUUUAAUGUAGAUUAACAAAUCCAACCAAUUUAUAAUGGAGAAACUCUAGCAGGACUUGGCAUAUGUUCUGUCUCACUGCUAGAAUAACUAUCCCAUGUUACAGAGAUGGUAUUUAGACAUAGUAAACAAGAUGCCAGAUAAAUAUCAAUCAAAGGCAGAAGAGGCUAACGCUCUUCUAACUUGCUAAUUGAUCAUUUCUCAAGCUAUGAGAAGUAAUUUAAGAUAAGAUUUCUCCCAUAGUCCUAUCAUAAUAGAGUAAAACAGAAACAUGUAGAAAUUAAGACAGCUCUUCAUUGAGUUUUAUAAUUAGUUUGUGAAGUAGAAUCAGUCAAAAAUAUCUGGAAACUACGACAGCUCAUCACUCAGUCUUAGAAUUAGAGAAGCAAUUUAAGAAAAGAUUUCUCCCAUAGUCCUAUCCUAAUAGAGUCAAACAGAAACAUGUAGAAAUUAAGACAGCUCUUCACUGAGUUUUAUAAUUAGUUUGUGAAGUGGAAUCAGUCAAAAUAUCUGGAAACUACAACAGCUCAUCAUUCAGUCUUAGAGUUAGGUUGAGAUACAAUCAGUGCAAUCAAAUAGAAACAUCUGGGAACUAAGACAGGUCGCCGAAGUGUCUUAGGAUUAGUUUGUGUGACAGAAUCAGUCAGUUGUGAGUGUGUCAUUCUCUCUAACGUUUGUCCUUCUCUUCUUAUUAGUAAAAAGAAAGCUGAAGUGCUGCCCAAGUUUGGAACAACAAAGGGUGACCAAAUUUAAAGGAAAAAAAAAUAAAAAAGCACUGGAAUUCAGAGACAGCAACAACCAGCCUCUUGUUUCUAUGCCAUCGAUAGAGAAAAACCUUUUUAAUUUUGCUAAUACUUUCAGUGCUAAAAUGUGUGCUCAAUCAAAAGGGACAUUCAGCCAUUGGUCAAAUCUUUCUAGCCUUGUCAGAGUGGCAGAAUUCGUAAGAAUUUGGUGACUUGUUGCAGUACACCAAUUAUCAGAAGCACACUCCAAAAUUUAUUAACAGAUGUUGGCCCAGAACGAAAAAACCAAUAAAAAAUGUGCAGAUUUGAGUUAUGGCUAUUUUAUGAUAAUUGACAAUGCCUGAAAGAAAACCAAAAUAGUGUAUGUCUGACUUGCUUAUAGAGAAUGCAAAGGAAGGAGAGAAAGAAAGCAAUGAUAUGCUUUAUUUGUUAUGCACGAUAUAGAAGUUGCAGUGAUAAGACCUAGCUACUAGGCAUGCUGGAAAAUUUCCAAUAACAAUAUAAUUUGGCAUCUUGAUCGAGAAGAAGCUAGAAUGGAAGAUAAAUCAGGAAAUUAUAAAUGAUCCAAUGCUACACGUAAAGCUAUAUAGCAUGUAGAAGAAUAUGAACACAGUUGAGAAAUUGCUAUAAGAAAAUAUGACCUGAAGUAUAAGAUUAAACAUUUUGUAGAGGAGAGUCGAAAAACGAACAGCUAAAACUUAUGUUUGAUAAGAACAUAGCCACAUAAUUGCAAUAAAAAAAACAGAACAAAUGCAGAGUUAAACAGUUGCUGCAAAACACAAAAGCUGUUCAAUCUGGUACUGAAAAUUGUUAGCUUAGAUCCAAUAUCACAAAUUGGUUAGGCCCAUUGCAUUAGAGGUCUCUAAACUUCCUUUAUUGCACUGCUAAUUGCAGGAGUGUUUGUCAAGUGAAUAAGUAAUGUGCCAUGCCAGUUGACACGGAAUAUAAGUGACAUGACAGUAUGACAGUCAGCAUGCCCAGUCAGUUGCGAGUCUACAUAAAAUGCCAUGCCAUUUCUUUGUUACAUCUGAUUAACAGAGUACAGUGACACUAAGUUAAGGAACUGAAAAAUAAAGCAUGUGCUACUAAUUUAUCGAAACAAAAAAUUUAGUUUUAGAUAAGAAAGAGUUGAACAAAAAAUUGAAUAAGUCAAUUAAAAAUGUGUAAAAUUGAAUGAUACUCCCUCCGUUUCAAAAUGUAGGUCAUUUUUGCUUUUCUACAUAUAUAGAUUUUGCUAUGUAUCUAGACAUAACACUAUAUUUAGGUGCAUAACAAAAUCUAUGUAUCUAGAAAAGCCAAAACGACUUACAUUUUGGAACGGAGGGAGUAGCUUGCUAAGUUGGAUUUGGUUGAUAUCAGGAAUAGCCUACCCUGUUGGCUGAGCAAAGCUUAGAGAAUGCUUACAUAAAGUUUUUAGAAUUUAAGCCAAGCCAGAAGCAAGGAGGUAAACUUCAAAUUCGAGAAAUAAGACAUUGUCAUACUUGCACUAUACACACUCCCGGAAACAAUACUUCACCCACUCCAUUACAGGUGCUACAUUCAAUAAAAAAAGAUACAGGUCAUUCAACAUUCCCUUGUCAAAUUUGAAGCAUAAUUUCAGUUGACUGCAAUAACCGUUUCAGCUUCUUCAAUUUUCCUAGUUCAUUUCGUCCUGUGUACAACUUAUUUGUGGGGGUGAGGGUGGGGAAUGAGUUUCCUGCGGCUUCUAUUGACAGCAUAAGCAGUCCUACAAGGUCCAUUCAAUCAAUCACGUGCGGACCUUUAAUGGGCCAGGCACGGACGAAAUCGACCAUGGAAUAACCAACGACGCAAAGCAUACCAGACCAGACAUCAACAACUGUCCUCAGGACAGGCGCAAUCAUCCCACAUGUUCCGCGCUAAUUAAGGAGUCCUCCCGGACAAGAGGAGAGCAUUACCGAAGUUGCGGCCGACGAUGCAGUGCCAGGUUGGGCCGUGGUUCUUGUCGAACUCCUUCUUGAUGUACUCCGCGAUGUCCUUCUCCAUGGUGUGCUUCUCGAACGCCUGACCGAAAGAGCGAGAGGUUGAAAAAAAAAUCCCCCGAACCCCAACGAACAACUAGUAAUAUGAAAACCAAAUCGAGAGCAGGAAAGAAAGCAAUAGUGAGAGCAGAGGCACGAGGUUCGUACGAUGCGGGCGAUUUCGAAGGCCUCCUGCCGCAUCUCCUCCUUCAUAUCGGCGCUCUUGAGCUGGAUCUUGUGCCCCGCCGCGGCCGGCGGCGGGGACCCCGCGCCCACCGGCUUGCGGUCCUCGGAGGAGGCCCGGAGCGCCGCCUGCGCGGCGCCCCCGGCCCCGCGCCUGGCCUCGUCGGACAUUCUCGAGGGCGGGUGGAGCAGAGCUGCCGGGCACGCUUCUCCUCCCUCUCGAGGAAUCCUCUCCUCGCUUUUUUGGCGAUGGUGGGCGUCUGGGCGAGGACGAGAAGCAGACACCGUGGGCGUGGGCGUGCGCGUGCGCGUUGCAGUGGAAUCUGCCUAGCAGCCGGCGGCCAGAGAGAAGAGAGAAGGUGAAAGUGUUGAAACUGGGAACUUUGGGCUGAGCCAUGGGCCUCCAUAUACAGAACCGGCCCGAAAUAAAGAGUCCAUGAGGUUGGUCCAGUUCCGUUUGCAAUGCGAGUAUUUUGCGAAACCGUUGCAGAAAUUUUAAGUGGAGCAGUUCAGCUCUCGUAGAGUCGAGAGUAAGACAAGAACAGUCAUGAGUUCCAAAUAUGCCUUCUUUAUAAAAAUUUUUUUGUCGUUAACAGUGCGCGUGUGUGUCUCCAGCAACUUCUAAUGUGACCCAAAUGGCCAAAUGUUACGGAGCCCUACGUGUUCUGGAGUUUCAAAGAGACGUAUGAAGACCACAAUGCAAAAAUGAUGUCUGCCUUUUCUCUGCCCGGUCAUCCAGGGUGUCACAUGGAGUUUUCAAGGUGUAUUUGGUUGCAUACACCACAUGAUGCAUGCAUAGAUGAUUCCGUAUGAGUGGUUCAACCAAUUUGCUUGUACCAUAUGGUUCAUUCUAAUUAGUAGAAUAAUGUAACACAGUGUUUUACCAUACAUUUGCAUAUCAACAGUCUCGCAAACCUGCAAACCUUCAAGGGUAUUACAGUUAUUUUUUUACCAAAAUUACAGUAUCACAGCUGUUUCAAUCAAACGGCUUUCAGCUUUUUCACAGCUCAUAGCAUCUUUUCCAUAACCCGCAGCUCACAUCAACUUUUUCACAGCUCACAGUUCAACAAAAUAGACCAUAUAUAAGUAUGUUCGUGUGCUUUCAAAUUGCACGGGCAUCCUAAACUUACCCUCAGCUGCAAUUUAGGUCCAUGUGUUUGCAAAUGCAGAUCUAAGUAACUGAAUUUAGCUUAAUUGAUUAUUUUUUCUUAUGAUGGAACCUGCUUACCCGACUUCAAAUGCACUGAGUGCUCAUAUUUUUCUGAAUUUAUUUUAGAAAAUAAUAACUAUGUUUUUUAAUGGUUAGCGAUGUACCCGUCAAUAGCGAGGUCCUUAUGUUUCGUCAAUCUCAAAAUCUGUUAGUUCAAUCUCUUUGAGAUAUGGUCAUAGGGAUAGGACGUGUGUGUUUGUAUGGAAAAGUUGACUUCACAUUUUUUGUGCUAGUUUUUUUUUCCAUGCAACACCUUCACAUCUAGAGACCUCCCCUAAAAGUACAUCUCCCCUAAAAGUACAUAUAUAGAAGCCUACAUACAUGCAUGCACAAUUACACAAUAUACACCUUUAGAGGAUCCGCUGAGGCUACUAGGGUCCCGUUUGGCAGAACUCUCAAAACUGAUUCUCCACUAAAUCCAGUAGGAACUCUGCCAAAUAGUUUUUCAGAGAGAAGUAAUUCUCAAAUGAUUCUAUGAAGUAAUCCUCUGAAACGAACUAAGAGGCUGGGAGCUGAAAAAAGUAGUUUCUCCUAAUUUUGUGAAGUAAUUCUCCAUCCUAAUUUUAAGAGUUUAUGCUAGAGAAUUAAAUAGAAUCGUUUUCAACACUUUUCUCAGAGAAGCAUAUGGAGUUCUAACCAAUAUUACGUGCGAAUGGUGGGGACGUUGUUUUUUAUGGAGGGGGUCAUGUUGGAGACAAACUUUGCUCAAAAAAUUGUUUUAGUUCCCAAACUAUCGAAAGGGUCAAUUUAGUCCCUGAAUUGUUGUUUGUAGUUCAAUCUAGUCGUUAGUCUUACAUGGCAUGCCAUGUGAGCUGACCGGUAUGCCCACAUGCAAAAUGUCCAUAUUACCCGUCCUCUUUUUUCUCACCCUCUCGCUUCCAUGCGGAUCCCACCUCUCAGUUCAAAAAAAAAAAUGGUCCGGUCCUUCGAUCCGUUGUAGUGCAUGUGGCUCCCGGUCCCGUCCCGCCGGCCGGCCAGGCAGGUGGAGCUCAUGAAUUGGCCUGUUCGCUUCAGCUUAUCAGCUGGCUUAUCAGCCACCGAACAGUGUUUUUCUCUCAUAAUAAAUCAGCCGUUUCAGCUUUUCAGCCGGCUUAUAAGUCCAACCGAACAUACCAAUACAACUCGGCAGGGAAGACCGGCUAGACGAAGAUGCAUCGGCAAAGCAUGUUAUUGGUCUUACGUCUUGCCUUGGCCUUAUAUUUUUGCAUGUGCGAUGCGUAAUUUCUUCAAUUUCUUCAUGAGGCUCGGCGACACAUCCACAUCUCAACCAUUUAUUUGUUUUAGUUUUAUUUUUCCCUCAACCAUUUCAACCCUGACAGGUGGGACCUGCUUGGAAGCGAGAGGAUGAGGAAAAAAGAUGAAGGGUAAUUUGGACAUUUUGCAAGAGGACGUAGCAGUCAGAUGACGUGGCAUGGUAACUUGGUCCCACAUAAGACCGCAGACUAGAUUGAACUAUAAACAACCGUUCAGGGACUAAAUUGGUACUUUUGAUAGUUUGGGGACGAAACCGAUCCUUUGAGCAAAGUUGGGGAACCAAUACAGACUAUUUUUCCAAUUGCUAACGGACGAGUAAAGUGCAUGGCAGCGUUAAGUGUCCGUGUACUUUCAAAUUGCACUGUCCUCCUAAACUUACCAUGGGAUGCGAUUCAAAUCCAUGUACUCCCAAAUGCUGAUCUAGCGUACAGAAUUUAUCUCAAUUGGUUAUUUUUCUUCUGAUGGAACUUGCCUAACCUGCCUAUCCGACUUCAAGUGCUCGACUCGUCAACACAGCUACUCGUAUUUUCCAGAAUUUAUAUCAAGAAUCAAUGACUAUAUUUUUUAAUAGUUUGCGAUGUACCCGUCGAUACCGAGGUUAUUGUGGUGAUUUCGUCAAUCUCAAGAUCUGCGUCAAUCUCAAGAUCUGUUAGCCCAAUAUCUCUCAUAUGUACUCGUAGGGAAAGGAUGUGUGUGUUUGUAUGGAAAAGUUUUAAGGGUCUGUUUGGAUCCGUUAGCUAAACUUUAGCAGCUAAACUUUACUAAACUUGAGUUGCUAAACUUUAACCAUGACUGUUUGGAUCCAUGGGCUAAACAUCAUUUAAUGAGGUGUAGAAAGACCUGUCUGCCCUUAUUUAAUGCGAGGGGGGAGACAGAGAGAGGGUCCAGACAAGCAAUAAUGAGGGGCAAAAAGUAUCCAACCCCAAGUUUAGCAAGGUUUAGCAACCAAAAAGUUGUUAAAGGACUAAAGUUUAGCAACCAUAGUUUAGCAAAGUUUAACAAGGGUUUGUUGCUAAACUUUAGCUGCUAAAGUUUACCAAGGGGUAUCCAAACACCCCCUAAGUUGACAUCAUACUUUUGCAGCCAGAUUUUUUGAUGCAACACCUUAGAUUUCCCCCCUCAUAUAGAUGCCUAGAUACAUGCACCAAAUGCUUACCCAUAUAAAAAGGCACACUUAAAUACUAUGCACCUAGAGUAUCAUCAAAAAAUACUGGACCCGCAGAUCAUGAGAAUGACGAAAUUACCACAGCCACCUCACUAUGAACGGGUACGCCGCUUACUACUAAAGAAUAAUUAGCCAUGAAUGCAAGCAAUCGUGUUGAAGUUGGAGACUUGGAACUUGGAUGAGCAAGUUCAACCAAAAAAUCUAAUCAACCUAGAAUGUCGCUAUGGCAGAGAGUUUGCAGCAGCUUUUGAAAACUAUGGCUAAACAUGUUGAAAGAACACAACUCUAAUUAAUUCUAACUAGAAUGGGUCCUACUACCAAAGUAGCUAUCAGGUAUUUCUUGGAAAGAAUGGAAUUUUUCUACAUUCCCAACAUGAUUUUUCUCUCUCUCAAAAACACAGUUCCCAACAUGACCUACAAAGAACCCUUUGAUCGAUUGGCACAUAAUAUUUCCUCGGCAAGGGAUCUAGCCAGACUGCAUCUCUAUUCUCUAGUGGCCUAGAGGGCUUAUGAGCAUUUUGGUUGUGUAUUGGCAGCAGAUGGACAACACAUGAUGGAUGCACUCAUCGAAUUUUGGAUUAGUGAUCAAUCGGGCCAUCGGCUAAGGGGGUGUUUGGAUGCGAGGUACUAAACUUUAGGAGGGGUCACAUCGGAUGUUCGGAUGCUAAUUAGGAGGACUAAACAUGAGCUAAUUAUAAAACUAACUGCAGAACCGCUAUACUAAUUCGCAAGACAAAUCUAUUAAGCCUAAUUAAUCCAUCAUUAGCAAAUGGUUACUGUAGCACCACAUUGUCAAAUCAUGGACUAAUUAGGUUUAAUAGAUUCGUCUUGCGAAUUAGACUCCAUCUGUGUAAUUAGUUUUGUAAUUAGACUAUAUUUAAUACUCCUAAUUAGUAUCCAAACAUUCGAUGUGACAGGUACUAAACUUUAUGAGCAUGUAUCCAAACAUGCCCUAAGUGCAUAUGCAGGCGAGGCCCCUUUGCAUAUGCAGGCCGGAGCUGUAUGCGCAAAAACAAAAUUCAAUUGCAAAAACAAAAAAGGAAUAAAAGAGAUGAUGGCGGAUUUGCUGCCGUCGAUCUACUAGGUUUGCACACGAUCCAUGCCUAUUGCUCUACCAUUGCCACCAUGCUGCGUUACUCGCUCUCCGGAUCAACCAGAGAAGGGAAAAAUUGAAGGGGAAAGGUAGCAAUAGAAACACAUAAAAGAUUUGGAAAAAAAAAUCUUGCGACGAGCUUCCCGUUGUGCCACUCGUUGAGUGGAACCUGAAUCACCUCAUGACGGCGUGCUUCCAAGAGCCGCACUAUACACAGUCCGCCGAGAUCAGCACUAUGCGCGGCCUGCUGGGAUAUGCACUAUAUGCAGUCCGCUAGGAUGCGUUAGCCUUGAUGAAAAAUCGUGGAAGGGACCACCUCUUCCAUUGAGAAUCCACAGAAUCUGGGGCAGAGAGAGAGGGAGGGAGGGGGAGAGGGAUAGAGUUUGAGGGAGGAGGGAGAGAGAGAGAGAGAGAGAUUGCUCACCCUCCCCUUCAUGGUACCAGUUAAUGCAUAGUCUCAGCCACAUCGCAGCUCCCAAUCAGUAGCCCUCGAGCCGCACCAGAUCCCGCUAUGCCAGCAUAUGUGGAUCUCGCGGGUUCUGAGUUCCUAUCCCCCAUGGCAGCAUGCAUCUGCCUCACCUGUCGAUGACGAGUCGGAGGUGGCCGCGGAGCAGGGGAGGUGUACUGAGAUCCGUUCGAGCCACCUCUGCGGUGUGUUGUGGAAGCCAACGGGGUAGAAAAGAGCGAGGAGGAAAAGGUAAAGGGAAUGAGAGGGAGCGCUUGUCGAUAGAAGAUAUAGGGGAAAAGGUUCUCUGAGUCGGGCACACUCACGUGAAAAAGGGAAGAGGGGCAGCGGUGCAUGUCAACAACGUGUUGAUGACCUGUAGGGACUCCACAUACAGCGAAAUUAGAUCACCUAACCAGGGGCAAACAAGUUCAACUAUACCUUGGGAAGAAUGUAUGAUCCAUACAUAACUCCUAAGUCUCCAACUAGCAACUUAGUGGGAUGGUCAUUGAAGGCAACAAUCGCUCGAAACUCUUUGAGAUUUCAUUCUAGCGGCCCCUGUCCCAUCCCUCUUUUUUGUGGUAAUUGAAAUAGUUAGGUAGUUUUUGGUUGUCAACUUUAAACCUUAGCAUAUAAGGAAAAUGGAAGAGUUGUAUAAUCGUAAACGAUUUAAGCAAUUACUUAUUUUGUUUGGUUUUGCCCAAUAAUGAAGUAUAGUGUUAAAAACAAAAAUUAAAGAAGAAGUAUAUAUGAUCAACGAGACGGUGACAAUGAUAAAGAUCUUUUGCCUGGCAUUUUGCCCUGGCAACAACACCAUAAUGUUCCUGACAACCUGCAGGCUGUGGUGGUAAUGGACGUUCAUUUGCAAGGUGUACACGAUCGUUGUGGAGACGAGGUCAGGGUGCAUCUAAUUUUAAGGACUUGUUCGACAUCGUUCUUCUGGAGUACUCUCUGUUACUAUUUAUUUUGAUUUUUCUAAAUAUAUAUUUAAAAAGAUCAAAAUGAAUAGUAAUUCCAGGAAGUAUGUAGGAAGCAAGCGGAUACGAGGAUUAGAACGGGCAGUGAGCCUCAUUACACUAGGUAGGCAGCAGUAUCUGUUUACCUGGUUUUUCCUUAUCUCCGUGGGAUUUGAUUGUGCCAGCGUCUAAACAAACACAGGUUGCCUCCAGAAAGGAAUUAUAUUAAAAAACAUGAACCAAAGAGAAUCUAAUAAGUUACACGCUCGUGAGACUUUGAUGCGAAUUUAUGCCAGUUAUAGGUCAUCUGUAAAGUCCCACUUAAAAAUCUUUUCCAUUGAUUUCUAAUUCUCUUUUUGUCAGGUGAAUUUGUUUUCAAUUUCAUGCUUAUUUUUUCAGUUACAUUCUAGAUUCUUGUGUUCAAGGUGGUCCGGUUCUGGUACCUCGCGGCCAGGAAGAAGAUGAGGUCCCUGGCCUCGACAAAUUGCAGAAUCAUGUCAUGGCGCUUACGAAUGACUAGUUACAAAUCUUAUUAUUAGUAGAAAACAGAGUAUGUAUAAGAAUCUGGUACACUAGUCUUGCAGCAUCACUUUGUGUUUGGAUUGAGGAUCGAAGUGGGUUGAGAUGGGUUUUACAAAACAGAGUAUGUACAAGAACAUGGUACACUAGUCUUGCAGCAUCACUCUGUGUUUGGAUUGAGGGUUGAAGUGGGUUGCCAACCCACUUCGCCCCAUGUUUGAUUGAAUUCCCAAUCCAGAUGGGAAUAUUCCUAUGAGAUUCGGGUCGAGCGCAUCCCAUUAAAUCGGAGGGACUGCAUGGACCCAGUCCGACGCCAUCUCCGUGCUUGCCUGCGCGCUGGGGAGGAGCUGGGAUGCCGGGUGGUGGCGGGCGCGGGGAGGUGGCGGGGGAGGUCGCCACCGCGAGGAGGCCGCCGGCGCGGCGGAUGCAGGGGCCGGCGGUGGCGAGGGAGAGCAGGGGGCGCGUGGGAGGAGCCAGGAGAGGAGCCGUGCGGGGAGGAGGAAGAAGGUAGAAGAGGAAGGGAGGAAAAAAAGAGAGGCUGACAGGUGAGCCCCGCAACUGAUAGGUGGGGCUCACAACUAACGGUGUUAAAAGGACAUCCAUCUUAACCUUCUCAACCUCAUCAACCAAACAAAAAACUGGAUCGACUCCAACCUACUCAUCCAAACAUGAGAUGGAACGGCUCCAACUCAACUCACAUCGUCCCAAAAUCAAACGCUACCUUAGUCUCUUCCUCUUCAAAUAACUGCUUCUCGUCACGGCCAGGCUCUCCGCCGCCGCUUCCACGGCGCAAUUCGUGACGUAGUUGUAGUAGGGCGGUAUAGGGGACCGCCAUGCUAGCACGCCCAUCUUGUCCUCGCCACGGGGCACGGCGCGGCCGUCGAGCACGUCCUGCAGCGUCACCUUGGGAAGCUCGGCGCUCUGCGCCGGACCGGGUCGCCACGUCCCCGUCUGCUUGCGCCAGUCGUAGUAGAAGCAGAGCGGCGCGUCCUCGGCGGCGCCGCAGAGGUAGGCGAGCCUGCUGCGGCCCGGCAGCCGGCUCGGGUGCUCGCCGAAGGCGGUGUAGUUGGCGCGCACGCCGCGCCUGACCACCUCCAGCACGCGGCGCCAGAACCGCGCGUCCAUGCUCGAGUGCAUCAGCCGGGAGAGGAUGUUGGCGGCCAUGAACGACCCCUUGAGCUCGUCCACGAGGUCCAUGGCGAUGGAAGCGAGCUCCGGGUGGUCGCCCGGGUCGGCGCUGCCGAAGGCGAGGACCUUGAAGAAGUGCCAGUAUUCUUCUUUGUGCAGGGUUGCCAGCCUCAGUGCCUGUCCCGUUCCUAGAGUUGAGACCUGCUCUGUUUGGCUGAUGACGAUGAUCUUGCUUGAUUUGUCGCUGUUGCUAACAGAGGAGUAGAACCUUCUCCAAGCUGAGGCAUCCGGCGCACCGGCAAACUCGACGAUGAUCAGUGAUCCCCCGCCGCUCGGGACGUGUUCCUGGUGCUCAGGAAUCAGAUCAUAUUCGCCGUCUCCAAGUUCGUCGCCGCAGAGAUGGGUGAUCAGAGGGAAUUGCUUCCGCACCCUGUCGUCGGCGCAGACGUGCUCCACGAGAGUCUUCUUCCCAACCUCCGGUGGGCCGGUGAUGGGGAGGACUCCGGGAAGCGAGCAAGGCCGCAGCAGGAACUCGAUAACCCUCUCCAUCUCGCCGUGCCGGCCAAACAUGCACCGGCCCAUGUGCAGAUACGUGCUGUACGGCUGGCGACCGACGCGCGGGUAGCCGCCGAGGAACACGACGAACUCCUUCAUGUCGCCGAGCACGGCCUCGAGGCUGUCAACGACGGCCUGGAGCUCGUUCAUGCUGUCUCCGCUUACCUCCACUGCUCCUUCACCGUUGUUGCCGUCGACGACCGCCGCCGCGUCGAAGUACGGCGAGGAGGAGGAGGAUCGGCGCGCCGCGAGGACGCGCCUUCUUGUGCUGACGGCGGCGAGCCUCCGGGAGGCGUCGAGAACGUAGUGGCCCCGGUACAUGCCCUCCCUGAGACGGCCGAGCUGCAGGAGCAUACCGCGGUUGGUGAUGUGCCGCGUCUCGGCCUCCUCGAUGACGGCGCGAGCACGCAGGAGGAGACGGUGCAGCCUCCCAAGUUUGCUGGCGGCGGCAUGCUUCUGGUACCUGGCGAUGAGGAAGGAGAGGCACCGGCCGAUGAGGUCGCUGACCACCGCAGAGGCCAAGGCGUCCAUUGCUGAAACUGAUCGAGGAGUUUCUUGCAGGCUGCUGGUUAGUGAUUACUGAACCGACGAGUGGAUUCCCGCCGGUUCGCGAGAAAAAGUUUGAUGCCAUGGAUGGAAUGUGGAGGUCCAAGUCAAGGGUCAACCCCUGAGACAGCACGGCGGUGACUGUCCCGGUUUGUGGUUCCCCUUCCAAGCAGGCGGCUGGUCGUCACUCGUCAAAGUUGCAUACAGCUGAUAAGCCGGUGAAGCAAUCAAUUUAUUGUGAAAUGUUAACAUAAAAAGGACCAGCCCAGAAUCUGUUUACUGUUCUUUUUUUUAAAAAAACACAUCCUAAACAUCGAACUCGAAGUCUUUUUUUUUGUUUCAUCAAUGGUGUUUCCGAAGAAAUGGUUGAAUAAGAUUUAGUGAACUUUCAAACGUACGACGUCUAACAACCCCAUUUAAAAAAUCCGAUUCAGAGAACAAUGAACCCUAAAAACAAGAAUGGGGCUUGGGGUGUGCAUUUUUUUUUUCAAGAUGAUUUGUUGUUGCAAAAGAUUUUGGGCUCAGAAUUGAAGAAGGCUGACAAUGUUCACCGGAAUGUAUGAUGUUGAGUAACACAACAAGGAUAUGCUGACCACAGGUCACAAAUAAGUGCCCAGAGUAGUUUAAAGAACCUUUUUACAAUCCUUGACUAGGAUCCCGAUCAACUAGAGAUUGUGAAAAAACGUCUUUAGCUUGUGAAUUGUUAAGAGUAAAUUUCUUUUAUGCCAUUAAGAAAAUUCCAAUCUCUUUGGUGCCAUCAGAAAUUUUGGAGAAGACAGGGCAGUUUAGUCCUUAACAGAGCUCAGAGAUAUGGAACGUGACGUUCAUGGAAGGGAACAGAAAAUUUUUAACUGGUGGCAUAGAAGGAAACUCAAAAUUUGAUGGUACCAAAGGGAUUUGAAAUACUACUUCUAGAUUUCAACAGCUUAUAAUACCGUUAGUGGAGACGUGGGUAUGUGAAUGACAAAGGUGGCCAUUUCCAGUAAAAUCCAAUUGCCAAUUUGGUCUAUUUUUUCAAUGCACAAGAUGGCAAAAGCUAAUGAGAGGCAACUUAUGGGAUUGUUAAAAGAUGGUAAAAGUUGGCAUGCUUAGAUCAACCAGACCUUUUAAAACCAACAAUCCGCACUUUAGCCGAUCCAGACAGGGCCUAGAAGUGUAGCAUGAUUUUGGUAGAAGAGGUACGUGAUGCUAGUUUCUCUCAAGUUAAAAUUAGUAGCUCUUUGCGAACUGAGUUAGUGAACUGCCCAUCAAGUCUUCAACUCAACGUAGGUGCUUGUAUUUUUUUAUAUUUAUUUCAAGAAUUAACCAUGCUAUUCUUAAUUUUAGUGGUAAGUGGUAUGCCCGUUGACAACGAAAUGCUUAUGGUGACUUUGUUAAUCUCAAGAUUUGUUGCUCAGUUUCUCAACAAUGCUCGUCUAAGAGUAGGAUGUGUGUUUGUAUCGAUAUGGGUAAUUGUCGUAAACAUCUGCAUGGGUAUCGCUGUUUUGAAAAAAUGGGCUUGUUUUACCUUUCCAAGAAAGAAAAUAAAGCUCCUGCGUGCCAUUUUCGCUAGGAGAUAUGAAGGCGAUAGACACCCUACUACUAUUAUUAUAUGUGUUAUUCAUGCGACUCUAACAUGAACUCACUACUCACACUUAUGAAAAUUAUCAAGAGACUGCUUGAACAGAUCAUGAGAAUAUCAAAGUUACCACAUCCACCUCAUUGUGAACGGUACACCACUUACUAUUACAAAAAUUAGCCAUAAAUGCAAGUACUCGCAUCGAGUCAAAGACUCGAACUUGGAUGAUCAUAUUCCACCAUUACAAAUCUCACCAACCAAGUGAUGACUAGAGAUUUUGCAACAGUUUUAUAAACUAUGACUAAACACAUAGAGAGAAACAACUCCAAUUAAUUCUAACUAGAAUGGACCCAUUACCAAAGUACUCCAACUAUUAAUGACAUAUUUGCACACAUUUCUAAGAGUAAUAAUAUUUUUCUCGGUGGCUAAUGUUAAUAAUAUUUUCCACUUGUUAAGAGUGCGGAAAUUGAUUGUGGGGUGGGUUGGGGGGGGGAGCACAACAUAUAGGUGGGGUAGCCCUCACCCAUCGGACUAGUCUUUUGGGUUGAGUUAGACCCAAGUCCUUGUUGUGGGCUCUGGUGGGGCGCCGUCUCGUGGGUAUAACAGGUCGGGUGGAUUCCGCUAUGCACUCUAACAGUUAAUCUAGGGAUCUAGCCAUUUCUCAUCAUUAGUGGCCUUGAUGACUCCUGAUCAUAUGGUUGCGUGGCAAUUUGUAAGAGAUGGGACUAAAGGUUGCAAAUGAUGGAUGUAGUAGAGUUUUGGACUAAGAACCAAUGUUGGCUAAGUGCGUAUGCAGGCGGGGCCGCUUCGAAACCUGGAGCCUGGGGUGGUCGCCACAUUCACCAUCCCUAGGUCAAGGAGAUGGGCACACCAAAAUUUCAAUUGAAGAAAACAGAGGAGGGAGGGGGAGGAUGGGGCAGUGGGUAGAUCCGCCGGUGGUAAUGACCCACUGGGCUCACACAUGCCCUAUGCCACCACUCUACCUUGGACACCACACCACAUCACUCACUUGUCAGGGCAACCGGAGGGGUAGGGGGGAAAGGAUGAAGACGAAAAAUAAUUGUAGAAACACACAAUAAAAUUUGGAAAAUAAUUAAAAGGAAAGAAAAAACUGGUGAUGAGCUUCAAUCCCUUGGUGCCACUCGUUGGGUGGAAACCAAGUCGCCUCACGGCGGUGAGAUCCCGAGAGCUACACUAUGUGCUCUCCAACCGGAUCUGUCCCAUUCACUAGGAAUCCACCGAGAGAUUGCACCCACCAGUUGAAGCACCACUGCAUGCUUCACAUAUGCUCCAUCACACCACCUCUUGUUACUCAACUCCCAACUAGCGAUGCACGGGGGGAGUUUCCUCGAGCCGCACCAGAUCCUGCUACGUCGGCAUGUGCAGAUCCCGCGAGCUUUGGGUUCUGGUCCCUCUCCAUGGUGACAUGUGCGUUCCAUGCCUAACGCAAACAAACAACACAGUGGAAAGACCAUUGGAGUGGAGGUAACAAUCACACUUUUAUUGAGACUAAACUUUGGUUCCAGUUGUCAUCCCACCCUUGUUUCCACUAUAUUUGAAAUUUUUUCUAUGCUUGUUAGUUUUUGAGGAGAAUUUAGACCAACAUUAAUUGUGUAUAUCUACGUUUGGAAUGUUGCUUAUGUUCCAUUUUUGGUCCCACAUACAAAUAAACUUUGGUUCCGGUUGUCAUCCCACCCUUAUUUCUGCUCUAUUUGAAAUUAGUUGUAUGCUUGUGAGUCUUUGAGGAUAAUUUUUUUUAUGUAACAGGAGGGGUGUGACCUCCAGAAAAAUAUUCGGUGCAAACGACCUUCUCGCGGUGGAAACGUGAAAACCCCUUAAAAAUCAUACUUUCAAGUAAUAAAUUUUUUUGAAAUGAUGCACAUUCAUAGUGCAUCCAUAGACACACUUUGUGGCAAAAGAUGGGAUGCAAAACCAUUUUUGCAAAAAUUCAUACAAAAAUGACAAAUUUCAAGUGCAUAUGCACUAGAAGACCAAUUUCCAGGAAUUUCAUCUUUUAGUGUUUAUGCACAUGAAAUUUAUCAUUUUCAUUUGAAUUUUCCUAGUUUGAGUUUGCAUCGCAACUUUUGCCACAAAGUACAUCUAUGGAUUUUUUGAACACUUACAAAUAUGAUUUUUGAAGGGGUUUUCACGUUUCCACCGAGAUGGUGGUUUGCACCGAAUAUUUUCAUGUGACCCCCUAUUAGUUAUAUAUUAAAACAAUAAAUAAAGUAUUUUACAGGGAACAAAAAGAUCAAAGAAAGAGAAAGAGAAAAGAGAAAAUUACAGCAGAUUUUGUAUCCAUUCCUUGUGUGCAUAUAUCCACGGCUGGAAUGUUGCUUAUGUCCCAUUUUUUCUCCUUAGAGAUCAUUUUCAAUUAAAAGAUUGAAGCCGAUGAUUUUAGUUUUUUCAGUUUACCUAGCAUCCCAGUUUCUUUUCAUGGGCUAGUCAGCAUCCUCAUGAUCUUUAGUUUUUUCAGUUUACCUACCAUCCUGAAGAUCUAGCUGCCAGGUAUUCAGAAACCUGACAGCCUCCGCACAAUUGCAAGUAACCCGAUCCUUUGUACCAGGAGCAACCACUAACCACGCACUAGCAGUCAACGUGAUACAGAUCCAAUCUUGGGUUAAGCCAUUAAGAUCAAAUCAGUGAAGGAUGGUCUGACCUUCCCCCCUGGUCAAUCGAAUGGGAUAACUUUUUUCGACUUACGAGAUGCAAAUCAAACAUAAAAAUGAGCACAAAGUUUACCAAUCAAUUCAGAAAAUGACCUGCUGUGAACUAUCCAAUAACUUAAAGUCUUGCUUAAAAUCAAGUCCGUGACAAAUGCUCGAAGGUAAUAUGGUACAAACACGGGCAAUUGAGAGCUUGCAAAGUUCCAACCAUUUAAUAAAAAUGAAGACUAAAAUGAGCUCCUUCUCCAGGUAUAAUAUUAGCUGCAACAGAAGCUUAUAUGCGGUAAUUGUGCUGCAUGUUUUUGGUAACAAACGUCUAUUUUGUAAAUGGGAUAGUUGUGUGUCCACAGAUAGAUGUGCUACAUGUUUUUGGUAACAAACGUCUAUUUCGUAAAUGGGAUAGUUGUGUGUUCACAAAUAGAAGGAAUAGUACACUUCUGGGGAAUGCGCCUUUAGUACCUGGUCAAAAUCCAUCUUUAGUACCGGUUGUGCAACCGGUAUUGUUAUUUCGCCCUUUAGUACCGGAUCAAAUAACCGGUACUAAAAGGGUAUUAAAAAAUAAAAAAAAGAAAUCCGCCAACCGGAGACCUGACCGUACCCUGCAGCCAUCCGCUAGAGCCCUAGAGCCCCGGCCGCACACCUGAGCCUCGCACCACAGAGAGAGAGAGAGAGAGAGAGGGAGGGAGGUGGCGUACUUACGCUGCUCAGCCACCGCCGCUGAUUGCUGCCACCGCCGGAUCUGAGGGAGAGGUGGCCGCUACUCCAAGAUCCACGCGCUCCUUGCUCCACCAUGCCUGCCGACGCUCCGCCACCGCGCCCUCCCGCCGGAGCUCCGCUGCUCCUUGCCUCGCCACCGCUCCUUGCUCCGCCACGCCCUGCCAACGCUCCACCACCUUGCCGCGCCCUCCCUUCUUGCCUCCGCUGCUCCUUGCCCCACCGCCGCUCCUUACCACAUGUAAGAGGUGAGGGGCGAGUGGAGGGGGGAGGAGAGGGGCGGCGACGGGGGCGGGGGGGGGGGGGAGGGGGGGGGGAAUGGGAUCUGUGGGAGGGACAGAGGGAGGGGAUUCAGCUGUGGAGAGAGAGGGGAUUCGGCGGGGAGAAGAAGAGAGAGAGAGGCGCGGGUGAGAGGAUGAGGGGGACGAGCAGAUAAGUGUGGGGAGGGGGUGAGAGAGACAGAAGGGAGGACUGAUGUGUGAAGAGAGGUUGCGAUUUAGUACCCGGUGAAGCGUCCACCCGGUACUAAAGGCCUUCAGGCACAUUAGUACCAGUUGGAGGCUUCAACCGAUACUAAUGGGUGACUUUAGUACCAGGUGAAGUCUCCACCCAGUACUAAAGGGGGUCACAGGGGUUCCUCGGGGACUAGCCGUUAGGUCCGGUACUGAGCCUCAGGACGAAUGCUGAGUUUUCUAGUAGUGAUAACUAUUAUCACAUAAUAUCUUGUGGACUAAGGGACUGAUUGGUUGGGCACCAAAAUGUGCCAAACCAAAAUCAGGGCAAGCCCAAUGAUUCUAGUGCUCGCUUGGUUCAAAUACAAAAACCUGGCGUGCCAAAGUUUCUGGCACAUCGGCAAGGUUCAGCUUGCCCACGUUUUGGCUGUCCCUGCCAUGCUCCCGUAUUCCCAUCCCUUACUAGUUUGCGCUGUUGUCCUCUACCUGUCAUCUCACUUCUUGCAGCCUCCAGUCAACCCGCCAUCGUCUCCUCUCCUCAAGUACCCAGGUUCUCACCCAUCAACAACAAAGCACUGGAGCUGGAGUUCCACCACCACCCUUUCCCGUUGAAGAUUAAAGGGAACUACCUUGAGUAUAGAUGGGGUAGCAAAAUCUUUCCAUCCGUUGUUAUGCAAGCUGCAUAUUCUAAAAGUGUGUGCUAGUAUGAAUCAUGAACAUUGGCAGUUGUGUUUUGGCAUCAAACCAAUUGGGGGCCAAAAUUUUGGCUGCCACAUUUUGGCACCCAACCAGGUGCCAUCCUAAAACUUUUGCCCAGAUUUUGGCAUGCAAAUUUUGGUAGGGCACAUUUUGGUGCCCAACUAAUCAGACCCUAAAAUUAAAAGUCUAUGGUUAGAAACUUAUUAUGUUCAAUUUGAACCUCUAAUUUAUUAGUUCCAUUUUGGGCUUUGCUACAGUGCGCCGGUUACUUCCCAGGAGGUACAGGAGCUCACAUAAAUCAUAGCCGUUGAUUUGUAGAAUAACUUAUUCAAGAAAUUAAAAAAAUCAAGGAAAAGAAGAAAAAAAAUCCAUCCCAGGAAUCACGUUAUUUCUUCUUCAUCCGGCUCUUUCCUUGUCACCCACGGAGAGAAAGAAAGAAAAAGCUACACCGACAUGGAAGUCGGAACGCAGGUCCUCGGCGACACCUCUCGUGAAUCCUCCCCAUUCUGCAGCAUCCCUUAAAUUGCGGAAGCAAAUCAAAUCCAGGUUCAAGAUUUUCGAUCUAAUCGCAAUCGACUUUACCUGCUAGAUCUAAUUGCCACGUUAAAAGAAAAGACGUGAUACAUGCCAUCACGUGAAAAGUCAUCCAGAUCGAUGACAUCAUUUAUUUCGGUCGUCGCAACGUCCACUUUGAUAACGUUCGAUACCGCGGAUGAUCCAAGAUUCAUAAACGAUGUUUUCAAAUUUGGUUACGCAUGCGACGUGCUUCCUUGGUGGGCUAUAAAGGUAACUUGUGUGACGUACUUCCUUGGUGGGCUAUAAUAAUCUUCUAUCAAGAGUAAUGGAGCGAUAGCAAGAACUAGAUCUCUUUCAAGCCUUGUGGUCCUAUUAUCUUCCAGAGUCAUUAUCAUCGUGAAUUUAAUUCUAACUUUCCAACAAGGCAGCUAUUCGAGUAGCUACAAUAUGUCUAUUUCUCUAAACCAGCUGUGCCUUUCAAUCUCUUUCGUCCUUCCGUUCGUUCACUUAAUUUCAUCGAGGAAUUGACAAGAUCAAACGUGCUUUACCGUAGGAGUUACCACGCGCACUCACCCAUAUGAAUACACAUAUGCAACCCUAUCCAUAUGAGAAUAUUUGAGAGACACCAAUAUUAUUUUUCUUUCGCAAAACACAGUAAGUUCAUGUAUACACACGCAUACUCACCCUUAUGAAUACACACAUGCAACCUCACAAUAGACGGACAUGUCGUCUAGGUACCACUGAAAGAAUAGUAUUUAGCAUCUGUUAAUUCCUAGAAUAAAUCUAGGAAAUAUUCCAAGUCGAGGACUCGAACCGAGUGGGUAGGUUCUACCACAAGAAACCAUAGUAACUACGCUUAGUUCACCACCUAUAGAUAUUUAGCAUGAUCUGUGCACAGCUUUUCUUAGUAUCCAACCAAACUUGGUGAUUCGUGGUUUUGAAAAGGUCUUUUAAAGCUCAGCUAGGAUUUUCUGGGUGGGACCUUCAAAAUAAAAAAUGGUUCACAAACCAGAUUCUAGUAGGAGAUCUGGAUAGGACUUAAACCACUUAAGGAAAAAAUUUCUAGCCUGUAUAAGAUAGUCAAUUAUUACCCUCAUGUUACAAUGACAAAUGUGAUACAUCAAAUGCCACUCAAUAUCUAUUUUCAAAGAGCUCUAGUAGGGGGAUAAGUUGACAGUGUGGCAUAAUACGGUAGCUCAAAUAACUUUCAGAUUUCUAACGAGUGGGAUAUUUUUACCUUCAACCUACAUAAACAUGGGACUGUAGAGCAGAGACAUCACACAAAUAUUCUAUGCAAUUAUGGCUAGACUCUCAAUUGUAAUUUUGCUUAUCUUUUUUGUUUCCUUUUAUGUUUCUUGAGGUUUUAUUUGUAAGCUAAACUCUUGUUUCCUUUAAUAUAUAUAAUCAGUAGGGGCUCUCCUCUCCUGUUACCAUCAAAAAAACAUGGGACCGUACGAUCAAUGUAUCAAUACCUAAUUAACCAAUUUCCAACCGUAAGAAAUUCAUAUGGAAGUUAAAAAAUCCUCUAAAAAUUGGUACCUCCAACAAGAAAUAAUUUUAAUAAAGGAUAAUUUGGCCAAAAGGAAUUGAUUUGGGAGGCAAAAGUGUUGUUUCUUUUAUUGCAAGGAAACAACUAAACACAUCUUAUUUGACUACCAUGCCAAAGCAAUUUUGAGGAUUGUUCAUAUUGUUACCGAGUUAACUUCACCUAGAUCUAUAGUUCAUAUGUUUGGGGAAUUGGUUAACAGGCAUAGAAAAGAAGAAAAAAAAUGAUCUUUGUGGGGUUGUAGAACUUCUGUGGGGUAUUUGAUGUACACAAUGAUUUAUUUUUUAAUAUGAAAACAAUUUUUCUUUUAUGCAGGCUACUUUUAGAGAGAACAUAUUAGCUAUGAUUUUGGACACUAUUGCAGCGUGCAGAUAGGGAGACAGUCCACCUAGCAAGAAGUCAUUGCUUUGAAUAUUUUCACAAAAAUAGUGGAGAACCAGUAAUAGACUUUGCAAAUUGGUUGUAAUUGUUUCCUUUCAUUUGUGUGCCCCCCCCCCCCCUCUUGCGCCCUCGUGAACAAUGCUUGAGAAUAUUGUGAGAAUUUGACUGUGUGCGUCCGGCAGAGGUCUAAAACAUUUCCUUUUCCUAAAAUAUAAAAGUGUGUAGGGUGGUUUAUCAAUUUGCGUAGAGGACUCCUUGUUGGUCAUAUACAGGAACAGAAUAUAAAUAAAAGAACUCUGAUGUUUAGGUGGGUGAAAUGAUUAUGAGAAAUUUACUUCAUGUGUCCACCUCUUGCAGUACCAUCUUAAUUUCAAAGCUGUAAGCAUCAUGCUUUUAAUUUGCAUCAUUUUCAGUUAGCUUUCCUAUAGCCAAUGCAUUUGUACGACAAAAAUGACAGCCUAUUAUGGUCGUGCAAUAUGUUUAUUGCCCUAAGCCACAUGUGUUUUUCAUUUCAUUCUUGUUGUUUUGCGUGGGCUCUAUACUUUCCCCUAGAGAAUACGAUGACAACUUGCCUCAAGCCCUCGACUAGUCCUAACAUAGAGGCCAAUAAAGACAAUUAGAAAGAAGACUACAACGUAACUGAUGUUUUUCAUAUUAGUAUAGAUAAGUCUGUUUUAGCUCACCCACACAUUUUACCAUAGAGGCCGACUGUAGACAAUAAACAUGCUCAAACAUGAUCUAUGCAAUGUGGCCGUGCAUUUUAGGAAAAAAUGGAACUGUUUUUUUUUACUGGACGAAUUUUUUUUAGCUCAUCAACCCAUGCCAUUUCUUCUUUAUCUAAUAAUACAUCAGCGGCUAAAGAGGCAUGCUCGUGGGCCAUGGAGAUGGGUGAAAGAACAUGUUUUUUUUGGCACCUCUUAUAUUUCAAGUGCUUGAAAAUUUUUAUUGUUUCAUGCAAUGUAUUUCAAUAUUAUAAAUGCUGCUACGUGAUGUUGCAUAUGUUGGUAUCUGAUAUUGCGUACAUCGCUAUUCAAGUGUUAUAAGUGAAUUGAAUAUGAAACAUAAUUUAUUUUUUUAUGUUUUGGAUGUUGAUUUUCAAUGUCGCAACCCAUUACCUAAAAAUUGUUAAGCUAAGAAACCUGGAAUAUGGAAACUAUAAAAGACAUGUUUUCUUAUGAAAGACAUGGCCAACAUGUUUUAGGUUUUCAAAAUUUACGCCACCUCACUAAAAAUAGACGUGCUUUAGUGAUCAAAGCAAUAGUUGCCAACCAAGAUAGCCUAUAUAAGAGCUCAAGGCAGAGCUAGCAUCUCCCAAAACGGAUUAACGACAAUGCUCGGUGCAGCAACUGAGCAGCUGGUCUGUGUGACCGGAGCUGGAGGCUUCAUCGGGUCAUGGCUAGUCAAGGAGCUUCUCCACCGUGGCUAUGCUGUAAGAGGCACCGCAAGAGACCCUGGUGAGUCAGCGACUCGGUGUAAUGCGUCCAUCAAGGGUGAUUGGUCUCUAAAUUUGCAUGGAUUUUUCAAAGGACUCACCAACUAGUGUCGGAGCACCCAUUGUCCUAGCUUUCCCACUCACUAUGCCACACCAACGUAUCUCCUUCCUCCACCCUCACCAGCCAUGUAUGAUAUAUAGCAUGCCACACGCCCUUUAAUGCCUUCUUACAUCUCAAUCUCUUAUUACUAGGUGCAAACUGUGUAAACUUCAAACAACAUGUUGCUAGCUGGUUGCUGAUUUUUGUGCAUCUGCUAACAUGAUUCCAGUGGACCGCAAGAAGUGUGUAUAUUUAUCUCACUAGUUGUUUUUAGUUCUGUAAUUUAUAGAUUAAUGAUUAAUUUUUUGUUACGGUGCUAGACGACUGCAAGAACGCCCAUCUGCAUGCACUCGAUGGAGCUGAAGAACGGUUAUCUCUGUACCGUGCUGAUGUGUUGGACUACAAGUCACUUCGUCCUGCAUUCAGCUUAUGUGAUGGUGUUUUCCAUGUUGCCUCCCCAGUAUCGAAUGAUCCUGUCAGAAUACUUCCUAUAAUAAGUACCAUCUAUCUAAGUCUCCUACAUGCUCAGAAAGAUUAUUGAAUCCAUGUCUAACAUGAACCUAUUUAAUUUAUUCCAAUUGAAGCAACAGGCAAAUGUUAAACGUGUCAUGAAAAUAUGCAGGAACUUGUGCAGGUUGCUAUUGAGGGAACAAAGAAUGUCAUCAACGCUGCAGCAGACAUGGGAGUGCAGCGUGUGGUGUUUACCUCAUCUUAUGGAGCUGUGCAUAUGAACCCUAAGAGGAACCCUAAUCAGAUUCUGGAUGAGAGUUGUUGGAGUGACCUUGAGUACUGCAAGGAAACACAGGUCACCACUUCUACCAUAUAAAAGAACCCUUCCAAAAUAAUUACACUAUUCAAUGAUAUUUUUGGUAAAUGAAGCACACUUUUUUAGUUAUCACAUAAGCAUUCGAUGAAAAUAAAUAGGAGACAGCGGAGUUAACUAAAUAUAAUUAAGGUAACACCACAACAAACCUUUUCUAACGUGAUACACCGACAAAAAAUUCAAGAAAGAGUGUAUUUUUGUCAUGGAAAUAUAUCAAAAUAUCCUUCAUGCCAAUCACCACACAAGUAAUGACCAUUUCUGAAUGCUAUUUGUGACAUUUUCUUGCAGAUGCCAUCUCAUUUUUUUUAUGAAAGCAUGUUCGUUGCCACAUUAUAUUAACUCUAUAAUUUUUGUGUCACUAAAUAAUUUUGUUAGAAGCAUAUAAAUAAACUAACAAUCUUUGCCAUUAUAAAUAUAGUACAUAUUUUCCAUUAUAUUGGAAAUUUAAUUUCCACUGAGAAUUUUUUGAGUGGCACAUAUAUAUAGUACACCUGCCUUAUGGGUCUAUUAACUUAUGAUGAAAGUGCAUGCACAUUCCUUGACAUUAUUGCACGUUACGCUAUAGAUAAACAUGUCUCGUGAAAACCUUAUGACACGGGAAUAUAACCAUCAUUAUUGGGUUAGCACACCUGCCAUGAUUAACAUGCAUCAUAUUAUGGACUUAUUAUGAUUGAAUUAUAGAACUGGUACUGCUAUGCAAAGGCAGUUGCUGAGAAGACUGCAGUGGAAGAGGCAUCAAAGAGAGGGGUACAACUAAUAAUAGUCGUCCCUGCAGUCACGAUAGGCAGAAUGCUACAGUCAACGUUGAACGCAAGUUUAUACGGAGUCGCCACCUACAUGAAUGGCACAAAGAAGGCGUAUCCAAAUGCAGUUGCCGCAUAUGUCGAUGUGCAGGAUGUUGCUCUUGCCCAUGUUUUGGUGUACCAAGAUCAGAAUGCACAUGGACGCUACCUCUGCAUAGGUGACGUGCUACAUCGGUCGAAGUUUGUUCAAAUGUUGAGAGGGCUCUUCCCACAAUAUCCUGUCACCGCUAAGUAAAUCUCUGCACUCUGCAUUAAAAUUUCAGACAUAUAUUUCAUUCAAAUGUGGCCUUGUUUAAUCUUUUAUAUUCCUUUAGAAAAGCUAUGAAAUUUUAUAAAGCAAAGUAAUCAAAAUUAGACUGCCAACUUAAAGUUAAUCCAAUUUGAGAUUAACCAUAGAUAAAAUUUUGAAUAUUUUAAAAAAAGUCUGUGUCAACCGGAAGUUUGAGGAUUAAUUAGUUUAUGUGUUCAGAAUUUGAAUACAAUUAUACUGCUCCCAGGUCCAUUUCUAUAUAGAUUAAACUAUAAUGAUGUCCCUGGUGUGCAUUAAACUUGAGUUCAUAUUAGUUUGAGUUUAAAAGAUUUGGCUACCCUUUAUUUGCAUCUCAGUAUUACACAAUAUAUCACUAUUCAUAUGUUCGUUGUAUGUCCUUGAUGUCUCACUGGAACGAAGGUCCAGGUUCCACAAGUGAGCCACAAGUGCAUAUUGUGGAUUUCUCCUUAAUUAUGUAAAAUAUUCUAAGUAGCCAUUUUUAUAUGUUAUUAAGUGAUGGCAAACUACAUGUAUAUACCAUUGUCGCACAGUCUUUUACAUGAUGUUUUUGACAUUUCUUUCGAAAUUUGAGUUACUUUAGGCAACGACCAUGAUAAAAAAAAAAAGAGGUUUUCAUCAAAUUUUAAAAAUAUCUAAAGUAAUAUUAUUUUCAUAACAUUACUAGUGCUGCUGCAAAGGUAAAAACUAUUGUCAUACUCAUCAAGUGCGGUAUAGAAAAGUGCUAUGUAUUACUUCAACUUUUGGUUCUUUUUCCUAGUAACAACCUAAACACUCACCAAAAAAAAUAUAAAAAAUAUCUAUCAUCAGAGCAACUUAGUUUGGUCCCAGCUUCCAUAAAUGAAAAGGUAGUAUUUUGAUUUACAAAUUUAAUUUCUCUUGUCUUUGUCUGCCCAUUAUUUAGAUGUGAGAACGACAGUACGCCGAUGGUGAAGCCUUACAAGUUCUCUGUGCGACGGCUCAGGGCUCUGGGUAUGAAGUUCACUCCUUUCAAGGAAAGUGCAUACAACACAGUGAUCAGCCUACAGGAAAAUGGUCAUAUCCCCAUACUGCCACAUAAGUCAGCCCUGUGAGAAAUGAGGAUAUAUAUUUAAAUAAAGGAUUUGAACAUGGGUGUUGAGUCAAUACUUUAGUUGGUAUACAUGGACUAUGUAUGAAGGAUUGUUCAAGCUUUAAAGGGAAUAACCACUCAAAUUAUUCUUAAAUAAUAUAUAGGAAAUUCGGAGCUGGUCUUCGUUUAUAAAGCAAAGGCACAAGUGUGGGGAUAGAUCCUCUAGUAACCGUAAGGAAGGAAGAAGAUAUGAUUAUAUUAGAAUUCCUAAGUACAUUUGUAAUCCUACUAGAACUCCUACCUUUACAUUGUAAUUCUAUCAAGACUUAUAUUGUAACCCCUUAAGAUAUAUAAAGGAGGGCAGGGGUUCACAACUCAUACCUCAUACAUCCAAGCACAUGGCGCAAUAAAUAUACUCCAUUUCAAAUAUGACGUAAGGUAUUACGCUACUCUGACAGUCCAAACUUGUAUAAAUCUGUGUCUUAUGUCUAUUGAUUUACCACCAAGCUUCAGGCCCGAUGAUUCCUCCAUUUAACAAUCUACUAUCUCAGGAAUACUUUCGGUAGGUUAACGGCUACAGAACACCAAUCUACUAUCUCAGGAAUACUUUCGGUAGGUUAACGGCUACAGAACACCAACAACGUAUCUGCUCAGUUGGUUUCUGUGACUGCCCUUUGCUUGCUUUUGGCAAACAUAUUAGAUGUGUUGUAUGUGCUCUGUCUGUGCGUCAAACCUGCUCUUACAUCAGUAGCUUGAUUGAUCCUAAACUUAUUCUGACAUAGCUUGUCAAGAUAUCUUUUACGGUCCUUAGAUGAUGAGACACAAAGCAUAGGGGGAAAAAGUCUAUAUCACACCUAGGUGUUUAUGAAGGCCCAAAACACCCGAGCUCGCUACUUUAUCGAUAGUGCUCCUCCUUCAUUGUCCAUUCCUCAUUUCUUUCUUCCGAACCGCACUGCGGCCCAGAUCUUCCUAGCUCUGCUCACCCACGAGGCCACGAAUGCCUUGCACAACUUUAGUUUUGACUUAAGGAUCUGUCUUGCACAACUGGGUGCUUUGACUUAGGAUCUGACUUGCACAACUUCAGCUUCGAGAUUCAGGUUGAAUUGUAGUUUGUACACAGUAGAUUAAACUAGUCCAAAUAUUUAUAUUUAGGCACUGUUUGGUAGAGCUCCGGCUCCUAUCAAAACGGUUCCAGCUCUAACUUCUCUGGUGGAGUGGCUUCUCCAGUGGACUGUUUUGAAAAACGCUUAGUAGUAAAACGGCUUCUCAGUGGCAAUAUGGAUAAUUUUAUGGUCAAUUAAUACUUGCAGAUGGAGAAGUCGGUGAAGCCAUUUUUUUUUGUCCCCUCCGCUUUUGUAUAAGCCGUUUUGUGGUUUCUUCUCGGUUUCGGUGGUGAAGCCGUUGUGAAUUUGCUUCUUUGAUACGUCUUCACUAGAAGCUGGUGGAAACGCCUUUUGAGAAGCCUUACCAAAGGUUAGUCUGCACUAUAAACAAAAUUAUUCACUAAAUGUUCCUGACUUACGUCUAGCUCUAGAUCCAAAAUUUCUUAGUGCUACCAAUAUCUACCUUUAAGAGAUCCAUAGUUUUUUUUAGAUAAGCUAUACCAAAUAGACCCAUAUCAGCCACUAGUUUGAGUGCCCUUGUGUUGAUUUUGGCAAAAAAAAAAUAAUUAUCAUUGUCUUGACUGAGCCAAGCAUUUCUCUUGUACACAAGCGAUCAAUACAAGUAAAAGCCGGCAUACCUUUUUUUUUUUGCGAGUAAAAGCCGGCAUACAUGAUACAUGUACACCCAUAAACCUGCGGUGUGUAAAUUGGCCAGAUAAAACGCUGCUGCAUUCCUGGCAGUCUGAUCGGGUGCUGGAGCACCGUUUCUUUUUUUUUUGAAAAUUAAGUGCUGGAGCACCGUACCAUCACAGUCUGUUGAUCCAUACCAUUGGUGUUCUCCGCGCGACGCCGUCCCUCCGGCGUCCUCCAUUCCCCGUCGCCGCUCCACCUUCAUCACUGAACGUCUUCCCCUAGCUCCGCCUUCUCUUUGCCGGAGCCACGAACCAGUUGGCCUCUCCUCCUCUUAUUCAGACGCCGUUUCUUGCCGGCCUCCACCUUAGCAGCUCUCUCCAUGUCGCACGUCGCGACGUAGCUCGCGUACGGAGGGAUGCGGGAUUGCCACACCAGCACGUCAAACCGCUUCUCCCCGGCCCAUUCGACGCCUCUGCCAACCUCCAGCAUCGUCACCGUCGGGAGCUCGCUCCGUGCCAUGCCCGUCGACUUUCGCCUGUCGUAGAACAAGCACGGAGCAUUCGGCGGGGCGCCCUUCACCGGCACGCGGGGGUAAUAAAUCCCCCACUCACCGGCGCCAAGCUGCAGCACCGUCACUCCGGUGGACACCUUCAGGACGCGGCGCCAGGACCGCGCGCUCAGGUCGGCGCGGAGCGACGCGGCGAUCUUGUUCACCGCGGCGAACGGCGUGAGGUCCGGGAUGCCGGCGAACAGCGCCAUGGCGACGCGCAGCAGCUCCGGGCGCUCCUCCGGGUCGGAGCCUCCGAACGCCAUCGCUUUGAACAGGUACCAGAGCUCCUCCCGGCGCAGCUUGCGCAGCCUGAGCGGCGGCACGGUGCCCAGGCCCGAGUGCGCCUCCGUCCUGCUGAUGAUUACGACCUUGCUCUCUCCGUGCGCGCGGCGGCGAACGGACGAGCGGAACCUUUUCCAUCGCUCUUCCUCGUCCACGUCGCCGCCGGCGAGGUCGAUCACGAACAGAGAUCUAGCAGCGGUGUCGAUCAACCCUUGAUGAUGCUCAUGGCUCGGUAGAAUAAGAUUAUCACUGUUAAGAUAAUGAAUCUUGGCGAAUUUCUCUCGCACCCUCUCCUCGAGGCACGCGUGCUCAACCAGAGUCCGCUUGCCGACUUCGUGAGGGCCGAUGACCGGAAGAACAUCCAAAUCUUUAGCAGGUUGUAGCAGGAAGCUGACGAUCUGCUCCUUCUCUAUCUGCCGGCCAAACAUGCACGUCUCCAUGAACAGGUAGAAGCUGUACGGCUGGCGGUUGAGACGUGGACAGGCACCGAGGAGCACGAUGAACUCCCUCAUGUCGCUCAGCGCAGCUUCCAGGGUGUCCACCAGAACAGACAGCUCACCUGUGGCGUCACUGCCCGGAGGCAAGCCGAGCGACCGCCUCGCCGUGGCGUGCGGUCUCCUCCUGCUGCGCUCGACGGCUCGCCUCGUGAAGGCGUCGAGCACGUAGGCGCCCCGGCACAUCUCUCCCCUCAGCUGGUUGAGCUGCAGCAGCAUCGCCCGGUUGGUGACCUGCCGCGCCUCGGCCUCCUCGACGACGACGCGGGCUCGCAGCAGCGCUCGCUGCAGCCUGACGACGUCGUCGUCGGUGGUGGUGGAGCCGGGCUCCUGGAACUUGCUGAUGAGGAAGGAGAUCAACCGGCCGACGAGGUCGCUAGCAACUGCAGACAGCAGCGCCUCCAUUGCCAAGGACCAAUGCCCCGCCCUGCCCCAGGCCCUUUAACUCCUCAUUGACUGAACAGCAAUGGACGUAUGAACGUAGUAGGAUGCUGGUUUGGAAUUUUAUUCGCCAUUGAUUAUGUGUGCGGUUACGGUUGUCACAGGUCACUGACCGAGAUGCAUUGGCCGACGACCGGGUACACCAGUACAGAAAAGAUUAGCGCCAUCUCGCUUUCAGACACACGGACCAUAUCUUUUCUCCCCUCUUUGCAAACACGCAAUGCUUGGUAAUAAGGCAGGAAAGAUAUGCUGACUGGCAGAGAAGAAACUUACUUGCUCGUUGUCCAAGGGAGGACCUCUAGGUGCUCAAUAUUCCAUCAAGGCAUUGCCACUGUAAUCUUGCCAAGAAACAGCAAUAUUGCCCGGUACAUAUUUGAAUAGUAUUUCCUUUAACAGGUUUACAAUGGAGCCAUAGUUCUUCUCAUAUAGUAGGCACGAAAAAUUCCCCAGCAUAUAUACUAGUAAAAAAGAAGAGGAACGAAGCUCUCCAAAAAUCCUUGCUGCGCUGUGCAAAAUUCAGCUGCCAGAGUAGCUGCACAAAGAUGUCCCAGGACAGGAUACGCAAUUGGUGGAUUUAUUUGGGUUUCAGCUAGUAUCAGCUCGUACAUUCCAAGCUGGCUACAUUUUGCUCCAGUGCGAGGAAAUAGCAAGCACUGUGCAAGAUCCAAGAAGUGGGAACCCACACAAAUUCUGCUCCAAGAGAGAAAUUGUAUUUUAUUUAUAUGAUUCAGUAUGGUGAUCCCACAACUGUAUUUGCCACAUAAGCAGCCCUAAAGCCUAUAGGCUUCAUAGGAUUUCGUUAUAUCAGAACUUGCUAAAGAACUCACAGAUGUGAUCAGAGACCUCACUAGGCUUCUCCUGAUUGAUGAAGUGGCUCACUCCCUCCAUAACAACAACAUCCUCCAGUUUUGGUACGCUUGCCUUGAAGCCACCCUUGUGGAUGUAAUCCUGUACCCCCGGAGUGUUGUACGUAAUAUCCAGGUCCCCAACAAUGAAUUUUGUUGGAACUUUUAUCGGAGCACCAGUCCAUGGUGCAGAAAGCUCCCAAUUCCUGCAUGAACAUAAAAUGAAUCUGAUGAGAUCAAUGCCUUGGUCAGUUCUAAACAAAGCCCCCAUACAUAAAGUUUGAAUUUGAUUGGCUGACACUAUCUGAAAUCUAAUUCAGUCAUACAUACCAACUAUUGUUUAUUAAGAUGAAUAUAUUUCAGUACAUCUGUCAUUAACUCCUCUCCUUUUUAAGUUUUGGCAAACAUUUCAGGGUGAUAGAUCCUCCUAGCAUGUGAAUUCAAAAUCAUAAGGUAUGCACUACAGAAUGUCAAACCAUUUAAACAUUUGAAGGCAUCAAACGACAGUAAAUCAACAGUAAAAUCACAAAGGUAUGCACUACAGAAUAACAAUAACACUGGCCAACAGUGAACUGAAAGUUGACUUGGCGGAUGGCAAAUAAUUGAUUGCCUGAAUAAAGAAGUAAAUUGAAAAUAAAAAUUGUGAGAGUGAACCAUAAAAGACAUACAGGUCCAUGCAUCUGUAGUAGUUAAAUCCUCCAGUAAAGCCUGUCUUUGAAAAUUUUUCUGCAUAGUAGGAAAUAUCUUCCUCUGAUAGCCAUGGAGGGCAUGUUCCGUCUGAAUCAAGUGAGUCAAAGAAGCUCUUGUCCUUGGGUAGAAUAAGAGGAGCUGGCUUGCGCAUGCCAAAUGUCUUAUUAAAAAUAUACUUGGCAUCAUAUUGAGCGAAUUCAGCUUCAGCAACUCCAGGUUCCUGCAUGCAACAUUAUGCAAUUCAGAUGCGCAAUAUUUCUUAAAAGAAAAAUCAUGUCUAAAGCGAUAUCAAUAUGCACAAAUUAUAUCAUAUAAAAAUAAAAAUCAAUAGCUGACUCCAUACAACCACACUAAGGGAAUGCUGCAUUUUAUAUUCAAAGGGUGUUACGAAGUUGAGGAUUUCAAGAGAGUGCCAUCCCAAGAGUUAUUAUUGUUCUUAAAGAUCUAGAAUGAAGAAAAAUCUUGGAAUUCAAGACCGAUUACUGAUUACUAGACGAUGAAGCUUAUCCCCCAUCGUCCCACUGGCCGACCUUGACCCCUGUUAUUUUUGGGUCAUUCUGAAGUCACUGAGACAAUCUGAAUUAGUAAUUUUUUUACAGCUUUGAAAGACCCGCUGCUGCGUGCAUAUGCUCGGUUGGUAGAAUCCCAAAGAAGGUUUGAUAUUUUCCAAGAAGCAAUGCUAUUAACUGGUGGUUUGCUGAUGCUAAUUUCUUUUAGGAAAAAUGAAAUCAUGGACUGAGUAUUUAAGCUUGUAUAAAAUGAUCUGCUAAUAAUCUCUCAAUCAAGUCUAGGGUUGCUUCUUCAUCUUCUAAAUCAAGUAAUCUCUCAAUUAGCAGUUAUUUCGUAACCCUUAUCUAUCUACAAUUCUGGAUAGUUGUUAUUGGUCACUCGCAGUAUUAUCUGGCGUCAAAUCUGUUCCUUCAUCUCGCUAUUUUAGAGCAGCCAGGAGAAUACAAAUUGCACAGAAAGUAGGCACCAAGUAAUCGUUCCAGCAUCGAUCCAACCAAUCUGCCAAAUUAAACGAGUCCAUCGCCAGGGCCAAACCUCGUCCAUUUAAUGUUUGCCAGGACAGAGGACAGAACAGGGCUACUCAUCAUAAAUAAAGGUCAAUUCUGCCUGAGUAGUGAGUACAAGUACACAAUGGGAAUGGAAGCAGAGUACUCCACUUGUUACCUGGAAGCGGCACAUGUAGUGGUCUUCCCCGCAGGCGGCCUUGAUGGUCUGGAGCGGGCUCCCCUCCGGCCGCCGCGGGUGGUACACGACGCUGAGGUUCACGAGCGCCCGCACCAGGUCCGGCCGGAGCAGGCAUAGCUGCCACGCCACGAUGGCGCCCCAGUCGUGCCCCACCACGAACACCUGCCGCGAGCAGAGGACCCAAUCCAAAAAAGAAGAAAAUAGAAGUCAACGUCGAGUAGGUGAUUGCUGCUUCGCAGCUUCGCUUCGAGGAAUCGAACGGAUUGCCGCUGCCAUGAAACCUGGGGCUGGCCGAGGUCGGCGAUGAGCGCGACGAGGUCGCCGACGACGUGGAACGUGGUGUAGGCGGACGCGUCGGGCGGGGCGUCGGAGUCGCCGUAGCCGCGGAGGUCGGGCGCCACGGCGCGGUAGCCCCGCGCCGCCAGGGCGGCCAUCUGGUGGCGCCAGCCGUACCAGAGGUCCGGGAAGCCGUGCAGGAGCAGCACCGCGGGGGCGGCGCCGCCCUCGGGCCCCGCCUCCGCCACGUGCAAGCGGACCCCGUUCGCCUCCACCGUCCGGUGCCGCACCCCAUCCACCACCGCCGCCAUCCCUAUCCUGUGCCCUCCUCUCUGCUCCAGUGCUCACCGAGGCGCCCUGGCUCACUCAGGCAGCAAGCCUGCUACCAGUGGCGCACGCGCAGCCGCCUGCUUUUGUAGCGGGGGGCCGCCGGCGGGUGGCUUUGGGAGCGCAGCACGCAGCUGGGGUAUUUUGGGGCGUGCGAGGCGUCCGAACGGACGGGCGGCGCGGGCGAGAGUUUGUGCGGAUUUCUGGUGGUUGCGGGCGCGCGUGGCCGGCAGCGGCCCAGCGGCAGUCGGCAGGGCCUGGGGCCUUGGGCGCUUGGUAACUUUCGGGCUUCUCGUGUCGGGAAUUGGAGGUUUGCUUGGCACUGGAAGCGUGGAACUUGCACUUGGUUUAAGCAAGCAUGCCCAAGCGUUGCAACAUGGAAACAACGUUGUUUUUGCUAAUAUUAGGAUGAACUGAUGAUGUGAUAUUAAGGUCCCGUUUGGUAGGGCUUCUCAAAGUGCUUCUCCACCGAUUUUUGAUGAAGCCCUACCAAAGGGUCAAUUUCUAAACGGCUUCACCACCAAAGCCGAGGAGAAGCCGCAAAACGGCUUACACUAGAGAGGAGAAGCCGAAAAAAGUGGCUUCACCGGCUUCUCCUCUCUCUCCAAGCAUUAAGUGAUCAUAAAAUUACAUAUAUUGCCAUUGAGAAGCCGUUUUACCAAACAUUUUGCAAAACGGCUUCAGCUUCACUAAAAAAGCCACUCCACCGAAGAAGCCGAAGCCGAAGCCGUUUUAUGAGAAGCCGAAGCUCUACCAAACGGGACCUAAGUUUUAACCGGCUUGUCACGGAGAAAAGGCGAUAUUAUCACACGAAGAUGGGUGUGCAUUCGUCUGGAGAUACGAGGAUUUGUAAUAAGAUUGGUCCUCUCCAUGGUAGAUCCCUUGCAGAAAAAAAAAGUAGAAAAAUGGACUGAAAUUGUUAGCCUUUGUAAAAUGGACUGAAAAUGAACUACUUUAGGUGAGGUUGCAUUUUAUACAAGAGAUUGUACUAUUGAAUCGAUUUGAAAUUUGUACAGGUGGUUCGUGAGGUGAUACACUGGAGGGGGACGUGGGGAGGGAAGUCGGUUUUACGGUGAACGGCGAACGCUAGCAAAGUAGCAAUUAAGGUAAGUUUUUAGAGGUGGACAGUAUUUCGAAUAAAGGUACUUUCUGUGUUUAUCUGUUUUUAUAUAAAAUGUAUCCGAUAUAAAUUCAAAUAUCCUCAAAAUACUAAUGUAAAUUGGAUGCUUCGGUUUGCUGAUUUUUUGUGUCAGCGUCAGUCUUCCAUUUGCGGUGGCAAACGCUGGGCGGCAAGCGGCAUGGGUCGCUCAGACGGUCGCGUCCUGCGGUUGGUGACUUGGUGGACGACCACCAGCCGGUCAGUUCAGCUGUUAGCUCGCUACUGAAAGCUUGAGGCUGAUUGGCAAAUCCCUUAGCUGAACAAAACAAAAGGAGAGCUUCUGGAGAGGACGAAAGAGUGGAGCAGCUUUUACAUUGUAAAGUGCUAGGAUUGGUGGUAGUAUCUCUGACUUAGCUUGGUGGUAGUACUUGGUUAAGAAAAUUGCAUACAGACGGUGAAACCUUUUUGAGAAAAUUGUAUCUGCUUUAUUUUAACUAUGUAGGAUUACAAUCACGAAAUAGAAAAAGCAAGAGAGCAGAAAGAAAUCAAACUUUUUGAGAUAGUAAAUCUUGAUGAUAAACUAGACGAGUAGUUCGAAACAUUAUAAACAAGGAACAAAAGCUAAUAAUUACAAACCCACAAGCUAAAGUCGAUCGACACUAGCUUUUUUGGUGUUUUUUUUUUUUUUGAAAUAGGAGAUUCUAGGUGCCUAUCAGAUUAAAAGGUCAUGUUAGGGGAUGUUUGCUAGUUUCGUUUUCUCUUAAGGCACUUGUUUCCAAGGUUAACUCUUCUAUUUUUCUCCACAACCCAGCAUGAUACGUAGUUGUGAUAUGGAGGGAUGUGAGAUUGACCGGCUAUAUCAAACAUCUCUCCAUUUUGCACAGGCCUUGAAGUAAGCACAUCUUCGGCCCUUUUCUUGUUGGUCAUGUCUCCUUGCAUCAUAGACCUUGUCUUGUAUCUGUUAUAGCAAAACAUGAGAGGACUAUCCUGGCUAAAGCCAAGAAAAUACGAUAAAAAUCUAUUGCUAGAUUGUGUUUCCCUUGGGUCUUCUCCAAAGACAUGAAUGUGCACCUGCAUUACCUUUCUUAUAGAACACAAAGCACGGCGCCAAAAUUGCACAUUCAGAUUACCUCUUAGCACCCUAGCAAUUGUUCUCGUUGUCAUAAGUGAACCACGGAUCCCCAUUGCAAUUUCCUUAGCUAUCGAGGCAAGAUCUGGAUGAUGAUCAUAUGGGUUUGCACUACCAAAGGCAAGGACUCUAAAGAAGUACCAAUGCUCCUCUUCACGUAACCUUGUCAGCCUAAGAGCUUCCACUGUCCCUAAACUUGAUGCACAAUCCAUUCUGCUGAUGAGUAUGACCUUGCUGCUGUCGACUCCACGGCGCAAUGAAUGGUAAAGUUUACCCCAUGCCACCACAUCACUGUCAUGAACAAGCUCCACGACAAUCACGGAUCUCCCACCCGAAGGAUUAAACUUCUUACAUAUAUGAUUAUCCGUGUCAGUACCAUUAGCUAGAUCCAUGAGAUCAUCGCUGCUGAAGUGCAAGAUUUUUGAGAAGUUUCUUCGCACUAUCUCCUCUCUACAAGCAUGCUCAACUAGGGUAUUUUUUCCAACAUAAAUUGGUCCAAUAACAGGAAGGAUAUCCAAAGACGAACAGGGGCUUAAUAAGAAGUUGACAAUAUGCUCUUUUUCCGACUGUCGGCCGAACAUGCACCUCUCCAUGAACAAAUAUGUACUGUAUGGCUGACGAAUAAUCGGAGGGCAAUUCAUCAAAAGUAACAGAAACUCUUUCAUAUCAUUAAGCAUGGCUUCUAAAUUGCUCAUAAAUUGUACUUGGAGUUUGUAUUGGCUCACCUCUAACAGCCCAUUUGAUCGAGAGGGCCAAACGUCGGAGGUGUCCAACAUGUAGUAGCCACGGUACAGGGACUCUCUGAGCUGCUUAAGCUGCAAGAGCAUGCCAUGGUUGGUGAUUUGCCGCCCAUCGGCCUCCUCAACGACGAUGCUGGCUCGCAGGAGCAGCCGCUGCAGCCUUGAAAUCUUAUGGGUGGCAACCUGAUGAUGAGCCUGGUAGUUUUCAACGAUGAAGGAGAUGAACCGGCUGAUGAAGUCGCUGAUCACUGCAGAUAUCACUGUAUCCAUGAUCUCUGUGUGCCAGGGAGAAAUAAAAUGAUUAUUGUACAAAUCAUGAUACAGCUGCAUACAUAUAGUCAGGAUUGGAGGGACGCAAGCAGGAACUUGGCUACCAGACAUGGGGACAGGGUAGUUUUUUCCCCCUGAUUUUUCCACAAGUGUCCCUCUCGUUGACUAGUCUUCGAAGAAGAUGCCGUUGUGCGAAAAAGAGGGGUACUUCCGUCGUCAAACUUGACGAACUUAUGAUAUAACCUUUUUCUCCAUAAUUUUGAAGGGGUAGACUUUUCAUGUUUUUUACAGGAGUCCCUCUCGUUGACUGAUCUUCAAUAGGGCGCUCGCCAUGGGUGUUCCCAGCUAUAGAUUCCUGACAACUCGAACUUGUCUUUUUUUAAAAAAAAUUAUUUUUCACAGCUUUCCAUUUUUGAAAAAUGAUGAAAUUAUAUAUAUAACUUUUAUGCAUAAUUUUGAUUUCCAAACUUGUUACGAUAAAAAUUAUAUAUAUAAAUUAUGCAAAAGAAACGAAAAAUUAUAUAAAAAUUAUACAUAUAACUUGUAUGCAUGUAUAACUUUUAAAAAGAAUAAUUGUAUUUUUAUUUAAUCACGCUUGCACGUAGAAAGGUUGCAUAUGCAAAGAAGUAUACUUCAACCCUCUCUACAGGUUCCCUCAAACCUCAAAUAUGGAAGUAGAAGUCGGGUGCAAUCAUUUUUAUUUAAUCAUACCUAUCAAGAUUAAUACUAAUGAAUUGCAUGCAAGACUAAUUCAACUAAAAAUUUAAGAUAACAAGAAAAGAUGAGCAAUUUAUUUAUACCUCACCAUUAUCGCCUCUCAGCCUCCACGACGACGCGACCUCGGAGGAGCAAUCUGUUUGUAGCCUUGGUAUUUUGCUGUGGCAACCAGAACCUCGGAUUUUGCAGCGACGAAGGAGAUGAACCGGCUGAUGAGGUCACCCGCCACUGUAGAUAGCAGAGUAUCCAUUGCAUACGCACACUACAGAGAGUGCGGCGGUUCUAAUUCAACAGUGCAGAUUUAUACAUAAUUGGGUUCAGGGGGAGAAAGCAGUCGGUGAGGGUGAGGCACAAGUUCGAAGCCAGACAGCUUGAGCGGUGUAGCCUGUUGCGCAAAGGCAAAGGGAGGCGACAUGAUUUUUGUUGUCUCCCUGAAAUUUUUCUUGCUCUGACCGACGCACCGCCAAAGGGUCUGUUCGCUUCAGCUUAUUCGACCAACUUAUCAGUCACCAAACAGUAUUUUUCUCUCACAACAAAUCAGCCGUUUCAGUCUUUCAGCCGACUUAUAAGCUGAAGCGAACAGGCUGUUGACGUUACGGCGCCGGUUAGUGGCCACCGGAGCUGCGCCGCUUCCAGCCACUCGAUUUGGCCGUCGUGACUUGUGAGUUGUGGCGGCGGAUCCCACAAGACCUGCUGAAGUUGUUUUACAGGAAGACCUGUAAGUAUUUAAUUUGAAUGGGAGAAAAUAGGAGUCAGCAGUCCAUUUUUGCGUAGUCUUUUCGCCUCUCGCGGAUGAACAGAUUCUACAGCGAUACGCCGAUGCCAACAGCGAGGCGUCAAAAAAGCAAAAGGAAAAGAAAAAAAAUCGACGCUCACUUUCUGGGGGGUCCUAUAUGCCUUCCACGAGAUGUAUAAGAGAUACAACUAUAAAAGCCCAGUAUAGCCCAGCAACGGCCCAUAGGAUUACGCAUGCGCAAAUUAGAAAGCAGGCUGCCGAAUCGUUGCAUGCGUGUGCCUCCGUUCCUCAAGCAGGGAGACUCGACGAUAGGGCCAAUCAUGGAAAGAGACUCAUGCUUUAUCAUUUUUUUGGUUUUAUACUUCGCUUUGUUUUUUUUCCUACUAGAUCACUAUGAAACAGUAUAUUCAACAUUUUUGUUAGACUGAAUCAAUAUUUUUUAAAAAAACUAGUUCAACAUUUAGUGAAAAUUAAUUCAACAUUUUUCCAGAAUGUUGAAAUAGUAUAGCAUAAAUGUUGAAACGAUAUCUAAAGAAUGUUGAACAUUUUUUUAGAAAAUUUCUUUAGAGGAAUCAAUAUUUUUUUAAAAAGUUGAAAUAGUAUAGUAUAAAUGUUGAAACGAUAUAUAAAGAAUGUUAAACAUUUUGAGAAAACUAAUACAACAUUUUUUUCAGAAAUGUUAAAAUAGUAGUAUAAAUGUUGAAUCGACAUAUAAAGAAUGUUCAACAUUUUAAGAAAACUAAUACAACAUUUUUUUAGAAAAAUUUGUUAGAGUGAAUCAACAUUUUUUAAAGAAGUUGGAAUAGUACAAUAUAAAUGUUGAAACAACAUAUAAAAAUAUUGAAAUGUUAAAAUAAACAAUUAAAAUAGUAUAUUGGAUCUUGUUUUGUUGCAUUAAUUCUAACAAACAUUAUGAUUCAAAUGGAUUUAAAAUCAAAUGUAAUAAGAGAAAACAUCAUUUGAAGUUUGAAAUUUGUUUAGCCUCCCACCCACCUCCCAGGUCACGACACGUGUCCCUGAAAAGCUGGUGCUAUGUUUGACCCGUGCAAGCUUCGCCUGUGUAGUGGACGCUCUUCGCAUGUGCGCUUUCUUCCGGUAUAAUCUCGACAUGCUAGACUUUGCACACAUCUCAAACAGUGGAAGAUUAGUUGAUAAAAAUCUUCCGAAAGAUAGAUACGAAUCCCAUACUUUUUGCUAUUACUCCACAAUGAGAGGACGUGGCUAGGGAUGGUAAAGGAUCAUCUAGUUUAGCCUAGCAAAUUUAAAAUAGUAUAUUGGAUCUUGUUUUGUUGCAUUAAUUCUAACAAACAUUAUGAUUCAAAUGGAUUUAAAAUCAAAUGUAAUAAGAGAAAACAUCAUUUGAAGUUUGAAAUUUGUUUAGCCUCCCACCCACCUCCCAGGUCACGACACGUGUCCCUGAAAAGCUGGUGCUAUGUUUGACCCGUGCAAGCUUCGCCUGUGUAGUGGACGCUCUUCGCAUGUGCGCUUUCUUCCGGUAUAAUCUCGACAUGCUAGACUUUGCACACAUCUCAAACAGUGGAAGAUUAGUUGAUAAAAAUCUUCCGAAAGAUAGAUACGAAUCCCAUACUUUUUGCUAUUACUCCACAAUGAGAGGACGUGGCUAGGGAUGGUAAAGGAUCAUCUAGUUUAGCCUAGCAAAUUUAAAAUAGGAUCCAAUAAGGAUCAAACUAUAAUAUUAUAUGAUUUUAAAUUAAAAAUAGAUGGAACUAAGUUGGAUUGUGAAGAAGGUACAAGUGUCGUGGCAUGUUCUUGUCAUGGGCCUCGGCAAGGUUGAAAAUGGCCGCGUUUACUGAUUUGUGCGGCGACCAGCCCUAAGUUGUCGAGGUUGUCCACCGGACCUUUUAAGCCUGGUGCUGCACCUCGUUGUUCCAAACUUUCGAAAACUUCAAACGGAUGAAUAGAGACUGCAAACCAAAGCUUUUUCUUUCUCCAGUUUGUAUGGGGCAUUAGAACGUUGUCAGGAGGGCUGCGGCCACGGACGCCGCCGUUGGCUCGGCCGCAAGGCCCUGGGGCGCCUCCCCAGCCAACGCAUGUUGCCGCGGGCUCGGGCUGCCCGCGGCUAGGUGGGGGUCCUGACUCCUGCAAUUCUAUUUGGCCAGGCGCCGCCGGCGGGGAAUGGGUGACCGUCGGCCCUAUGCGCGACAGCGGGAGGAGAACAGGCAGGCGGCAGGAGGGGAACGAGCUGGAAAAGAAUUGGCGGCACCAGAACUGUCGUUUUUGGAUGGGCUGAAUUCUCUCUUUGGGGAGAGUUGAGCUAGGAUAUUGGGAUGAACCAAAAAAUACUGGGAAAAGAGACAUAUUUUGAGAGACUGUUGGAGCUCUUUUCUUCCCAAUGCUAGUAAUUUUUCUUGGAAAAGGGAGACCGGUGUGGAUGCUUAGAUCUUAAAUAUAAUCUUUAGCUUAUGUAUAUUGACAAGGCUGUUUGCAUACAUGUAUACUGUGGAGUUUCAGGUCACCCACUGCUGCAGAUAUCACAAUGAUCAAUUGUAUAUGUACCACUAGCCCACUACAAAGAGCGUGGUGAUGAUUCAAAUUCAGCGGUGUGGUAUACGUACAAGUGAGAUUACAGAGAGGAGAUACGCCCUUAUACAUAAACGUAGAUGGGAUUAUAGAGUGCAGGAGCAGUAGCGCACAAAGAUCAAAGCCACACAGCUAUAGCGGUGUAGACCAAAGGUAAAGGGAAGCGACUUGGCUUUUGUUGUAUUCCUGAAUUUUUCUUAAUGGAACCGACACACGGCCGAAGAAGACGGCGCCGGUGAACAGCCACGGGUGCUGCGCCUCUUCCAGCCACUCGAUUUGGCUGUUGAUGUCACGGCGGAUCCCCCUCGAAGACCUAAUUAAUUUGUUUAGAGGAAGGGCCAUUUUAAUUUGGAAGGAAGAAAUACAGGAACAAGAGGAAUUGCAUUCCACUUUUACGUAGUCUCUCUCAUCGCCGCUCAUUACCCGGUGGGCCGCGACCCGUUCGUGUCAUGGGCCUCUCUAGACCGCGUUUACCGCUGAUUUGUGCGGCUACCAGCCCAGCUGCCGAGCUACCUUUUUGGCCCGGUGUUGCACCUCGUUCUUCCAAACAUCCUCGAUCAACAAACAAAUCCUAAUAGGAAUUUUUUUAAUAAUAACGAUAUAUAAAUCGAAACGGGUGAAUUAAUACGGUAAAGCAAGCUUAAUUUCUUGUUCUCCACCAGCUUAUCUAGAACGGCAAAAAAAAAGUAUGACAAGGGUCCAGAGAACGGAAGCUCAACGUCACGGCAAUCUCUCCGAAGGAGCGUUGAAGCUGGAUCACUGAUCGGUCAGAGCAGUUUGUUCAGACGUGAGUUAGGUCUUCAAUUUUUUCCAGAUUAUUUGUGUAAGAGAGCUGGACUGCUGGAGAGGAGGGGUGGAACUCGACCGCGCGUCAGGGAUGAAUUCACGCACGAGAUCCAUCAAUGCACAAGUACUGACUAGCCUGCUGCCUCGCUCCUUACCUACUCGGCGGCGGGCAAAAUUCCUUGUACCUCACAGUACAGUAUGGAUUGGAUUGGAGCCCACGGUGGAGGGAGCUCGAUGGAUGGGCAGGGGCGCAGGGCUGCAGAGAACAUAACUUCUCACCGUACGCGCUGGUUCCACGCAGAAUUGUUGUAUAUACACAUCACUACAUCAGCUUCAGCUGUGACCAGACCAAGUCAAACAGCACGCACGAUGUCGCAUUAACAAACUCGGGAGAUUGACCCAGAUCAAAUGAAUUGCCGGAGCUCGUCGGGAGAACAGGGUGGCAAAAAGUAAACGGAUCAGCCGCUGGUCCAUCUCGUUUCUUGAAUGGCAACAGAUCCAACCGAAUGAACUGGUCCAACGCAGGCAGCUGUGGCCGUGCUAGCUACCACCGGUUGUUUUCCCUUCGUUACAGCUCACAGGACCGAACUUUUUGCGUUUGGACGUCCCGCUUGAUCGAGUUCGACGGUUUCUUCAAAGAAAGAUACUUUCCAGCACGAGUUAUCCUACCUGAUGAAUGAAAGAAGAAAAAAACGCCUGCAACAUGAAAGGAGGUCAAAAGUAGGCUUGCAACUAGGUAUCCAUACCCUCUUCCUAAAUCCACACCCAUUUUAAAUAGCGAGGUUAUGGGUAGAAAAUUAUAUACACAUUAGAAAUAGGAAAGAUAACAAUUAAUCAAUUGGAUAUGUAUACGUUGAGAAAUCGGCGUCCUGAACUUGACACCGAUGUACUAGAAAUGGCACCAAAGUAGUGUGCUACUACUUUUUUUUAGACCCUUACCCACAUUACUUCGAAAAGAUAUUCGUACUGAUACCAAUGCGGGAGAUCAACUCUCUACGAAGAAACUCAAACAUUUAUUCACUAUAUACCAGACUUACUUGCACACUCUUUGUGUAGCUAUCCUACCAUGACACCACUAUACUACAUGGCUACCUUGCAAUCUUGUAUGAGACAUCUUAUGCUAUGGUAUGGCUAGGAGGGAGGGGAAGCUCAUGAUCAUUGUGGUGUUGCCAUGCGGCAACUUCCACAUUUUUCCAUACAAAAUAUCGUAACUCUAGAACCCUCCUCAUCCUUAUCUAGUUUCUUAUAUUUCUACUAUGCUAAAAUAUCUAGUUUUAAAGUAUUCUACACUUCACCAUGAGCAUGACAACUAUGACUUAUGCAUUCUCUCCAAUUUUCUAGAACCUUCUUAGCUUGCCAUGAUCUUAUCCCUAUACAUGGCAAAGUUAGUCUCUUGAGAUCUUCACAAUCUUCUAGAAUGUUUGUAUACAUUACAUAUUUCUACAGUAUAUAUGUGUAGUAUAAAGUUAAUUAUUCAUGGGAUAUAGGUUGGAUUGGGAAGAGUAAGGAGUUGAUAAUAAUUAUUUGAAUUUCCAUGUGAACAAGAAUGGAUUUACCCGUACCCUCCUGAUAGCAGGCCUAGUCAAAAGGUGGCGAAGCACACAUGGGCAGAGAGGCAGGCAUGCACGAGCACGAUAUGAUGCCAUGAUGGGAGGAACAUCUCCAUUCUCCAAUGCUGUGGAAAAGAAAAACAAGAAAUGAUGAAGACGAAGGAAAGUAGAGCUCUGGCACGUAGCCCGGGGAGGGGAGCACGAUCGAGCCGGCCAGUUGUGCACAUCAUCACUCCAUGCCGAUGUGGCGCCGCGACACAGAGAAUACACGUUGGUUUGGGAUAGUGGCGACUGGCGAACCGCGGUAGGAUCAUGUCCUGAAGCUAGUUUUGUUUGUAACGUCGUCUCGCGUGCACGUACACUUUAGCUGCACCGGCCGAGAGGAUAAAAGAGGAUCGGAGAGCGACGCGCCAUUAGCAAAAACAAACCAAACUCUCCUGCCGCGUUCGCAUACCGCUGCUGACCCCGGAGAAUCAUUCUCGCCGGUGAGGUUUGCCCGUCCUUCUCAGCCUCACCUCGCGGCCCCACCUUCCUUCCUUCGCCCCGACGUCGACGCUGCCGACUGCCAAUCACCACGCCAAGUUAUAACUAUCUUAAACAAAUCCGAUUCCCAGUAGAUUACUCCUCCUGACACGUCGAGCUAAUUAACUCACCGCUAAUCCAAGUCGUCUUCGGCUUGAGCCCGCCGGCGCGCGUGACCCACGCGGGGCAAUUCCAAAACCAACCGGCCGCCGCACGCGAUCCAGCCAGCCGAGGCCGACCCGGCGGGCAACCUGGCUGAGCGGCUGGCUUGGCCCCAGACCCCAGAGCCAACCGCAUAAUUAACGCCCGCUCACCCGCGACAAGCUUUUUUUUCUUUAUCGCUGCUCCGCUCCGGCCCUUCCCUUCCUUCCUCUACCUGCCCCCAGCGAGUGAAUUCCGGAAUCCCCCCAAUCAAUCCGACGCCACACACACGACACGAGAGAGAGGCGACGCGGCGGCCUCCCCCAAUUCCCAAUUCCCCUCCGCAGGGACUCGGCCGGCCGGGACCCCGAUUCGAUUUCGAGCCCCCGUCGGAUUCGCCCCCAGCUCCUCCUCCUCCGCCGCCGCCUCGAUUUUCGAGCCGCGGGAGUCGCACCUGCCGAUCGGCCGGUAGGCAGGGCAGCAGGGGGAGGGGAGAAAAAAAAAAGGAGGAUGAGCUUCCAGGACCUGGAGGCGGGCAACGUCCGCGGGGCGCCGCUGGGCGGCGGGCGGCGGAACGGCCGUGGGGGCCCCGCGGCGGCGGGCGGCGCCGGCGCGUCGCAGGCCGUCGCGUCGGGGGUCUUCCAGAUCAACACCGCCGUCGCCACGUUCCAGCGCCUCGUCAACACGCUCGGCACGCCCAAGGACACCCCCGACCUCCGCGACAGGAUGUGCGUCCGCCCUACCUACCUCCCCCCCCCCCCCCCCCCCUCCACGAAUCUGUGGUUUGGCCCUCGAGUUCGAUCGAUUCGGUUCCGCGGACUCGGUCAGCGCUGCUCCCGAUCCGUGUGCGGAGUCGAUUUAGGUUUUCGGCUGAUGCGUCGACGCUGGCUUCUAAGGGUUGCUUAGGGAUUAAUUUUCCUGUAUUUUUUUGUGAGAUUGCUUACGUGUUCAAUUUGCCAACUCCACACGUUACCCAUUCCUUAUUCGUGAUUUGGCUGGUAGCCUUCUUGGAGGUUGAAUAGGGUGAAUCACGCCAUAGGGUGUAGUACCCAAAUAAUUUCAGGGCCUGAAAUCAAUUCCUAUGAUGUCCUUUCAUAUGGAAUUUUACAGGAUUUAGCUCACAUCUAAUUCACGCCGUGUUGUUUUCGUGAAAUUUAGUUUUAAAAUUUUUAGUUAAGCUCUAGUGCCUUAAGCUUUAUUUUGCAGACUCUAGGUCAGGCAAGUUUGCUUGCAAGUUGAAAUCGUUUUGAUGUGUCAGCUAACUAUAAGUUGGUGUUGCUCGCAGACAUAAGACACGGCAACACAUAACACAACUAGUGAAGGAUACAUCGGACAAGCUUAAACAAGCUAGUGAGGCGGAUCAUCGUGUUGAAGUCAGCGUAUGUGCCUAUCUCUACAUAUAACUUUUUGUUCAUUUGAAUGGUACUGUUUUGUUCUGUUUUAUGGCCUGAAGCAUUUCCACAUUCUAUUUUCCUCCUUUACCAAGAUAUGAUGGGAUUGGGAACCAUGCUCUUUUCGCAUUGUUAAUUUCAUGGUUUCAUAAUGUAGCCUUGGUGUUUGCCUCUAGUUUGGGAAUAAAUUGAGCAAAUAUUUCAUGUUUAUGUAGGCUGGUUAUUAUGCAAUACAUUUGAUGCUGCACUUUGAACUAAAACCUGCAACAACAUCAAAGCCUUUCCAGUUCCAAGCAAGUUGAGGAAGGCUAGUGAUGAAACACAACAUGAGCCACUAACAAAAUAGAGCAAUGCAUAAAAUCUAAAAAGGCCUUAAUAAUAGCCAUAUUACUGGGGGCUCUAGCCUAGAUCAUGUCUCAAGCACGUGGAUUGCUGAUUUCCACGUGUUUUUAUCCAAGGACAAUUGUUUGGGUAUAUUUCACCCCUUCGAGUCCCUUUUACUGUCUCUCCCCCAUUUUAACUUAGAUCGGCCCUUGCCUCUCCAUAUAUUGUUGUCGUGCCUUAGGAUUCCGCUGUGGACUAGUGCCUCUGGAGGCCUGUGUGGCGUAUGUUUGAACCAUCUCAAUUGGUGUUGGACAAGAUUUUAUUGAACUGGUGCUACCCUAGCUUAUCACAUAUAUCAUUGUUCUGAAUUCAAGCUAAUACAACGACAACAACGACAUAGCCUUUCAGUCCCAAGAAAGUUGGGGUAGGCUAGAGUUGAAACCCAACAAGAGCCACAAAUCAGGGUUUGGGCACAUGAAUAGCUGUUUUCCAAGCACUCCUAUCCAGGGCUAAAUCUUUGGGUAUAUUCCAUCCCUUCAAAUCUUCUUUUAUUGCCUCUUCCCAUGUCAAUUUUGGCCUUCCUCUACCUUUCUUCACAUUACUAUCACGCCUUAGGGUUCCACUACGCACCGGUGCCUCCGGAGGCCUUCGUUGGACAUGUCCAAACCAUAUCAGCUGGUUUUGGAUAAGCUUUUCUUCAAUUGGUGCUACCCUAACCUAUCACGUAUAUCCUCAUUCCGGACUCGAUCCCUUCUCAUAUGACCACAAAUCCAACGCAACAUACGCAUUUUUGCAACACUUAUCUGCUGGGCAUGUCGUCUUUGUGUAGGCCAACAUUCUGCACCAUGCAACAUUGCAGGUCUAAUCGCCGUCCUAUAAAACUUGCCUUUUAGCUUCAAUGGUACCCUCUUGUCAUAUAAAAAUCCUGAUGCUUGGCGCCACUUCAUCCACCCCACUUGAUCCUAUGACUAACAUCCUCAUCAAUAUCCCCAUCUCGUUGUAGCAUUGAUCCCAAAUAUCGAAAUGUAUCCUUCCUGGGCACUACUUGGCUUUCCAAACUUGACAUCUCCCUCCUCAUGUGUAGUAGUGCUAAAGUCACAUCUCAUAUAUUCAGUUUUAGUUAUGCUGAGUCUAAAACCUUUUGACUCUAGGGUCUCCUGCCACAACUCCAGUUUCCUAUUUACUCCUGCUCGACUUUCAUCAACUAGCACUACAUCAUCCGUGAAGAGCAUACACCAAGAGAUAUCCCCUUGAAUGUCCCUUGUUACCCCAUCCAUCACCAAGGCAAAUAGAUAAGGGCUCAAAGCAGAUCCUUGAUGCAGUCCAUUCUAAUCGGAAAGUCAUCUGUGUCGUCAUCACUUGUUCGGACUCUAGUUACAACAUUGUUGUACAUGUCCUUAAUAAGUCCAACAUACUUCGUUGGGACUUUAUGUUUGUCCAAAGCCCACCACAUAACAUUCCUUGGUAUUUUGUCAUACACCUUCUCCAAGUCAAUGAAAACCAUGUGUAGGUCCUUCUUUUUCUCCCUAUACCGCUCCAUAACUUGUCUUAUUAAGAAAAUAGCUUCCAUGGUUGAUCUUCCAGGCAUGAAACCAAAUUGGUUCAUAGAGACCCGUGUUAUCCUUCUCAAACGAUGCUCGAUAACUCUCUCCCAUACCUUCAUAGUAUGGUUCAUCAACUUAAUUCCUUGGUAAUUAUUACAACUUUUAAUAUAUCCCUUAUUCUUGUAUAUUGGUACCAGUAUACUUCUCCACUCUUCCGACAUUUUGUUCGACCGAAAAAUAUGGUUGAAUAACUUGGUUAGCCAUACUAUGGCUAUAUCCCCGAGGCAUCUCCAUACCUUAAUUGGGAUACCAUUCGAGCCCAUCGCCUUACCACUUUUCCUCCUUUUCAACGCCUCUCUAAUGUCAGAUUCUUGGAUCUUCCGCACAAAGUGCCUGUUGGUGUCAUCAAAAGAAUCAUCCAACUACAAGGUUGUGUUCUCAUUCUCACCGUUGAACAAUUUGUCAAAAUACUCUUGCCAUCUAUGUUUGAUCUCAUCCUCCUUUACCAAGAUGUUCUCGAUUUCAUCCUUGAUGCACUUAACUUGGUUGAAGUCUCUCGUCUUUCUCUCACGAACCUUAGCCAUCCUAUAGAUGUCCUUCUUUCCUUCCUUCGUACCUAAUCGUUGGUAAAGAUCCUCAUACGCCCUACUCUUUACCACACUUAUAGCUCGCUUUGCGAUCUUCUUUGCCUCCUUGUACUUCUCUAUGUUGUCCACACUCCUGUCAUGGAACAAGCGCCUUCUGAAUUCGAGCUAAUAAAAUAAGAAAAAAAUUUGAACAAUUAAAUUACUUCUCCUGAAUAUCCAACUGACUGAUUAAUUUCUUAUAACACACUCUAUUUUUCUUUGCCAAAUAAGCCAGCAAACGUUGACAUUUCUGCGGCACUUGCUGAAUAUGUUACCUUUUAGUAGGCCAAAACUUGCAGCACAGACAUUUAUGUUCUUCAUUGCUACACAAGAAGGGAGUAACGGAACACAGACAACUCAUGUACUCUGAUUGGGAAGAUCAAAUCUAUUAUGCUGUGUUUUGUUUUAUGUAAUUUUUCCAUUAGUAACAGGAAUUUAGAUGAAUUUCCUAUGUAUCUGUAGAAGUUUUCUUCACUAUUGCAACAUACUUCAAUGUUCAUAUUAUGGCAUGAAUUCAUAGUGAUACAAGAUGCAGCAAGAUCUUAGAUUUGCAUUUAAGAUGAGUCCUAUAUCAGCUCCUGUGUUUAAUGUUAGUCAUUUAGUUACCUAUGCUCAUAUCUUCAUUACUUGGGGAAAAUUUGUUUUCCUCAUGUGCUGCUAGUUUGUCUAAAUACAAAUUGUGUUUAUGGCAUCAUAUUAAACUGCAGGCUACCAAGAAGAUCGCUGAUGCAAAGCUAGCUAAGGAUUUCCAAGCAGUCCUAAAAGAAUUCCAGAAAGCUCAACGGUUAGCAGUAGAGAGAGAAGCUGCAUAUGCACCUUUCAUUUCUCAAGCGGGCCUGCCACAGAGGUAAUUUGCUGCUCAGAAUUUUCUGCGCUGGUGCCACAUGCUACUGUUUUAUUUUUGCAUUACUACAGGGAUUCUUCUUCUUUGAGAUGAAAUGACUGCCCUGUAGCUUUUUGAUUUGUUGUUCGUUUCUACCCUUCUUGGUAGCCUGUAAGAGUAGAAUUCCUGAAAACUAUUAUCAUGCCUCUGUUGUAAUAACAAAAAGUCCAAUGAAUUUGGAGUUAGUGGUCCGAUUCCUGCUGUCUUGACUUUCUGGCUUCCCUUAUGCCUUCCUGGUGGGUGGCUGAUCUAGAGAUGGCCCGAUACUUCGAUUGUUGGUUACUCUAGAAAUGGUCAAGGAUUUUGCGAGCCAGUUGCUAAGUGCAAUAAGAUGCCUAUUAACAUCAUAACAUCACAAAGAUACUUAUUGGAAAUUGAUUUAAUUGUAGUGAACCUUUCUUGACUCCUUUCAGGACCUCCUGAUCGUAAAUUUCAGUGCAAGGUUACUCAUCGAUUGAAAAUUAAUCCAACCUGCCAUUAACCUAGAAUAUCAGUUAUAUUCUGUUCUGAGAUGAGCCCUUAAAUUGAAUAAUUUCUGCUUAAUAUAAGUCUAAUUGCCUCUUAUGGAAAGAAGUUUGGUUCACUGCCAUAUUUUGCCACAACAAAGUUAAGCUUGUUUGACCUAGCACACUAGCAUUUGGUUGGUUCAUGAUUGCAGCCGUGGCUUGCAAGGCCCUGAGCCCUGCUUCCAUAAUCUCAUUUUCUAGCUGGGAAUACUUCUGUUGCAAGAAGUUAGGGAAAAUGUGGCGGUCUUGAUUUCACAUGAUAAAAUAUUCGGUAAUGCUACAGAACAGACAUCCAAAAUAUUAAAAAAAAAUCGAAUGGCUCGACAUGUGUUCCAGUAUUUAAGCAUCGAUGUUGCAACUAUUGUUUCCGCAUGUUUCAUAGUGAAUGUUGCAUCAAACAUAGUGUUCAUGUUGCGGCGAGAAUUUUCUAUCCCAGAACCGAACGCCGUAGUCAUUUUUCUUGCGUAGUUUAUUUUAGUUGGCUCUUCAAGACACUGUAAGCUAUGCCUUCUGACAUUAUUUCCCCUUCAUGUUACUAUACCUCUCUUUGCAAUAAUUUUCCUUCUAUAGUUUGCGAACUCAAUAAGUUUUAACCAACCAUUGCUUCCUUUUCUUUUCGUUUGCCUUAGUUUAUUUCUAAAGCAGUUUAAGUCUAUUGCCACCAUAUGCCUAACCUAAGAGUGACCAUUUUUUUGCAGCUACAACUCAAGCGAGGUGAAUAAUGGCGCUGAUAAAUUGGCUGAACAGCGCACGCAGCUUCUAGAAUCUAGAAGGUAAGUUGAUUAUGCCUGUUGUGUUGUGGAACAACUUAUUUUGUACAGGUUCUGUCGAGUUUUGUGGAUCUAUUUUGUAUAGAUGUCUUUGUUCAAGCCGUACUUUGGAGAUAUCUAUUCCUUGAUGUACAGAUGCUUGGAUAACCCAUUCAGCCUCCAUUUGGAUGUCAAGAAUGAGCCUUUCCCCCUUAAAAAAGGGUCAUCUUUCUGAAUAUGUCAAGGUGCUAAUUUUAUACCUUUGAUUUACCACAGGCAAGAGCUUGUCUUCUUGGAUAAUGAAAUUGUGUUCAAUGAGGCCAUCAUCGAGGAGAGGGAUCAGGGAAUACAAGAGAUUCAGCACCAAAUUACUGAAGUAAACGAAAUCUUCAAAGAUCUUGCUGUGCUAGUCCAUGAUCAAGGAGCAAUGAUUGGUACGUGACCUGUUGGGCUGACAGAUGAUAUAUCUGCAUUUCAAUAUGUUCAAAGCAUAGGUCUGCCUGUUUCCCCGUCUAAUUCUGUUUGUCUUGUGCUGCAGAUGAUAUUGACUCACACAUAGAGAAUGCUGUUGUAUCAACUUCGCAGGCAAAAGGCCAGCUUUCGAAAGCUGCUAAAACUCAGAAGUCGAACUCUUCACUGGUAAUUUCGGGAGCCCUUUGGACUUCAUUAAUGUCCUCCAUCUUUUUUUUUUUUUGAGAAACAGCAUCCUCCAUCUUAAAUUAUUUUCAGGGAUAUUUAUGUUGCUCACUUGGCCACACAUUCUUAUUCCCCCUUGCUGCAGAUAUGCUUGUUGCUGGUUAUUUUCGGAGUUGUCCUGCUCAUAGUGAUAAUAGUCCUUGCAGCCUAAAAAAGCUUGGAAGGCGCUUGAGGCUCCGAAAUCUGGUCAAGCUUAGCGCGAAGGAUUCCUUCAUAAAUUAUUUUUGCUGUGCAGUCAGGAAUGUAUCCUGGUUCCCGCCUGGAGGGUGGGUGGGGGGUUGGCGUUCUGGUCGUGGCGUGGUGGUGUACGGGGUGGUGAUGUGACUGGAAUGCAUCGGUUUAUAUAAGCAUAAUUUCCUGUCAGUGUAGUGCCUCUUGUCUCACAUGCUCGCUUUGUUUAUAUAUAUGUAAUGUAUCGACGAGUGCGUGCUGUAGAACAAGGAGGUUUGGAUUAUCUGUGGUAUGAAAUUUCUUGAUUCCGUGAGAAAUCAUUUGCAAUGUAUCAACUUGGUUUUCCUUUUCUUCUCAUUUGGGUGCGUAGCAUUAGAGGUGGUAUUCAAGGUCCAAUGUUUUCUGCUUAUUGAAUGCAAAGGUUGCAUUGGAUGCCUGUAACAUUCAGUUCAUGGGCUGGUUGGGCCAAUAAUUUGGAGUAGCAUGCAUGUGGCAUGGUAGUUAUGGAAGUUCACUUCCAAAUUGGAAGUGGAGAAUGAGUGAGGCCAACUUAAAUAGCUUGAGUUAACCCUUUUACGCGAAGCGAGCACGAAGCGUAAACAUGUUGCAGUGUAGGUGUGGUUCACUCAGUGUGCAGAGCGGGAAUGAGCCGUUUUCCUAGGCUGGAACGUUACAAUUUUAUUGGAUGAACUGUCUUCCUUGAGAUAUGUCAUGAUCAAUGCUUAGGAUUUAAACACACCCACAAUCACAACUAGUUGAACAUCAUCACAACAUAAGUAUAACCAUAUGUAGUCCAUCACAUUACAUAAAGAGGUCCAAGUUCUCAUCGAGUUUUGCAGCGGAAAGUUAUUUCAGUGCGCUCACACGAUAUAACACAAAAUAAGAAGGUUAACACUAUAUGCCGAUAGUGCCCUCAUAGCCAUGGCCAUCUACUUCUUCCUCGGACCUCUAUUCGUGGGGAAGAAGUACCCAAAGACGACAUCCGGCUGCGGAUCACCUACAACAACUUAACGUUGGCACCGUCAGUAAAAAGGUACUCAACAUGUCUUAUAGAAAAUAUGGGUAUAUGCUUACCCGACUCUAUAAGGAGAAUGCAUUUGGUUAAGUAGCAAGGAAUGGCAUAGAUAAUUAAUUUGCAUAAAAGCAUCUAAAUUUGAUGAAGUUAUAAUAAGCAAAAGACAUAGCAUUCUAUGAUCCCUAAGUCAAGCAUCAAAUAAUUGCAAUAAUUAAAUGUGAUUCUGAACGUGAGCUCAAUCUUCCAUGAACUCCAUUCGGUAACUCUACUUUGAGUUUCCAAACUCAUGAGCGUGCUCUUUGACCGGGAGCGUGGCUAUUGCAAUAGUUAAUACCCUGCAUGGGUGUACAACUUUCCCACAUGAAGCGCAAGACCAACAACCAUACCCUAAGUCUAGGAUAAGUGUUGAUUCAUGCCCCCGACCAUUCACAUACCCACACCCAUCUAUGAAUGAACGGUCGGAAUGGAUAGAUGCACCGGACACGACCAAUCACACCUCGUCCCCUCCCGCACCGAAUCCGGUCAAGGCAAGGUGUGACUUAUGCUACUUGACUUACAAUUCCCAUAUUAAGCAUGUGGUUUGUACUAGAUAGUGCUCAAGAGUCUAGCUACAAAGAUUGGUCCUUAACCAACUCAAACAAGUCUAAGCCAAGUGAGCUCCAAUCUCAACAUGGCCCUACCAUUCUUGCUCAAGUCCAGCUCAUGAUUCAAUGUUGAUCAACUUUUAUUUACUUAGCUACUUAGUAAGAAUUAAGCAUACAUGCCUAUAACUCGCGAGUGGUGACCUUGCCACUUCUUGACUUCUACCGAAACUAAGCAUGGAUAAGCAAUUAAAUUCGUGACACCUAUACAAGCAUACUCACCUAAAAGGCUUUAUUCUAGAUCAAGGAUGGUAAUGCAUCAAGUAGGAGCUAAGAAAACAUAUACAUAGUAUUAACUCAUGCACAUACAAGACACAUAUACUUCAUUGAUCCAAAAUAGGGCUAUAGGAUGCUUAGGUGCCUGCGUUGGGGGUUCAAAGGAAGCUUCAUCGGUGACGGGCUCCGGCUGAGCUCACCCUCCUCUUGCUCCGACAUUUCGAUCUCUAUGCGAAUGCAAUGAUGCAUAAUUAAUAAAAUACAUGAAGAUGGUGCAAUGAUGUAUGAGAUGCAUGGAAAAGAAGGUACAUGAUAGAACACUUAAAAUCCUACACAAAACAAGGAUAUAUUCAUGUCCUCAAUGGUAUAACUGUGAAAAUGGUAUUGCCGGUGAUUCCAGCGACCGAUUGCAGUGGGGUUUGAUCCCAGAGCUUCCUUAGGUGAUGGAGAUUCAAUUUUGGGUCAUAAAAAUGACAUGCACAAAGGUUUGGACAACAUGCAACAUCAACUGGAUUGAGCUUCCAUGGGAGGUUAAUAGAGAAGCUUCCAAUAGAGGAGAGAGGAGGGGGAAACCAUAGGGGAACCUCACCUAGGAUGGGGAAAGACGAUUCAGAAAGCCAUAGGUUGGAGUAGGGUGGCAGUGAAGGAGAUCGGCAUGAUCUUGCUUCACCGGAGUUGGGAAAGAAGUCGCGAAAAAUAGUUUGGCUUGUCCUUGUCUCGGGAGAGAUGGAGGGCAGUGUGGGGGAGGAGGAGGAGGUCGCCUCUGGUCUGGCACCCCUUGUGCCUACCACCUGGAAGUAAGCCCUCCCUCUUUGAAUUGUUUAUUUUUUUAAAGGAUGGACUUAUAGAACAAGAAAGUCAUACUGAUCACAGCCUGCACACUUAAUUGGUAAUGUGCACUCUCCCACAAAUGAAGGGCAAGUAAUAGAGUAGAUAUAUUUCUAAUGUACACAUCAACAAUAAUAAUAUUUAAGUUUUUUCUAAUGUAUUAUGUAAUAUGGUUGUUGAUACUUUGCAGCAGGAGACAUCCACUGAAGACUGUACAUGUUUACCUAGUGAGCAAAUAGUUGCCAAGAUAUGCUUGUGUUGUUCAGAGCAUACUAGUUGAGUAUGGCAUAAUUAAGUAGACACAACCUCAUACACUUACCUGUAUACCUACCCUGUAAUAUUUCUUUAGUUAACUUUAAUAUAAACUUAGCUACGUUGUGGCUGCAGGAGGAGGCACAUAUUCAGAGUUCUAUUCAUGAAGAUAAUGGUAAUGCAGCCACAAAUUUUUCACAAAAUCCCAUGUUGACAAACAUGGUAUGUCUAAGCUAACAUUGCAAUAUUGUUUAUAAUGAGUGAACUUACUUUAGUGAUGCUGUAUUUUGACUAAUAUAAUUUCUGCCUAUUCUAGAGGAAUCGAAGAGAUAAAGCUCCCAGUUUGAACUAGCCAGAAUCAAUAUGCUUCUAUUCUUCUUGUUUCUUUCAUAAUUAAAUUAGUUAAAUGUACAAAACUCUUGUCUUCAUGUUUUGCAAAAUGGUAGAACCGUUCUCCAGUCCAUCUUCUUUCACUAAGAAACAAAUGAAGAAUUAUGGCCAAAGCGAAGUUAGUGACUAUUGAUGGCAAACAAGAGAUUGGAGAAAGUAUGCUUGGAAAGGAAUAUGUUGGGGUUUAUGUUGAAGGUCUUGAAAAUGUUGACAAUAGAAAUAAAGGAGAUGAGCUGAUACCUAGACCUAUUUUUAAGAUUCGUACACUAAUAGAUGCUAUUGGCUAUACUAUACCUUGGUCUCGUUCACAUGUAAGUUUUUUUCAAAUAUUAAACCUACAGUAUCGUAAUAUCAUCAAAUUGUGCUAUCCAUCUAACCCUAUGCCCUGUUGCAGGUGAAGAAAGCUACAAGUUCAAAUGUAAAAUAACCUAGUGAUGUAACUUUUCAAGGGAGAAGUGAAGAUGCGAUGGAGAUAGGGGCAAGAAUGGGAAAAGAAGCGUAGGUUUUAGUUAGUAAAAAAAUUUAGAAAUAAUUGUAUGAUAUUGUCACUUUAUCUGUGUUUCUUUGUCAAGGCAAUUGUCUUGUUGACAGUACUUUAAUUAAUGAACAUGUUGGUUCUUGAAUGAAGUACUUAGUUUCUUUUUGGUGAAGCAAAGAAUUGAUUGCCAAUGCAAUGUCAUGGAUAAUUUAUUUAGGCAUUAUUAACCUAUUAGAGAAUAAAAUGAUAUAUUGGAUUUAUAAAUGCAAAUAAAAUAAUCAUUAUAUACACAUGAAAAUAGAUGUAUCUAUAAAUCGUCUCUCCAUUUCUUGAUACAUAAUAUGGUGUUACUAUAAAACGUGUCUAUAGAUGCGUAAUAAAAAUGUAUCUACGAUAUUGUUUUGACAUUUAUUAACACGCAAUUUGGUGUUACUAUGAAACGUGUCACCCGCCACAUCACCUGUCACGCUCUACUAAAUCGUCUCUAUACUAAUUACUGCGCAAUAAGGUGUCGUUAUAAAAAGCGUCUAUAUUAGUAGGCAUGUUUUAUAUAUGUAUCCAUAAAUUGUAUCUAUAUUUCUUAACACGCAAUGAAGCGUUACUAUACUACGACCACUAGAGAUGUUUUACACAUGUGUGUACAAAAUUGUAUCAAUAUUUUUAGAUAUGCAUCUAACGUAUAAAAUGUCUCUUUCGUUCAUAGCAACGCUUAAAUAAUUCAUCUCUACAAGGUCUGACAUGGUACAUACGAAGACGCUUCUAACACACUAUAUGAAAGCAUGCCUACAUUGACAUAGAGAUGAAAUAAAGCGUGUCUAACUCUAAAUCCAGAGGGGGGUAUUCUAGUAAUGCACAUGACCCUAUGAUAAAUUUGCCUCGCAUAUGUGAAAACUUGUUGAAACUCCUAGCAAAUGUAUUCAAUUACCUCAAUGGUGUGGGGCAGAAUGAAACUAUCAAAAAAUCAGUUAGCUAGCUACCACUAUGAAUCGCCUCAAAGGUCGCCAUGAGUAAACUACCAUAGACAACACAAAAAUGUGAUCCACCCCCAAAUCCACACCACAAAAUGGCCUAAGACUAGACUACAAGGCAUGGGAGUAAAUCGUAGAUGGUAGGAGAAAACAAGAGGACUGAAAAAAGGGUGGAGUACGGGUUGAAGGGGCAAUAAUGGACAGACCGUAGAAAUCCCCUCACGUCGUUGCCUUGGUGCUCUCCGGGUGGUAACACUAAUAUAUAACUCACCUUCCAUACGUCCCCUUUUGUCCCGAUUUAAAGUUAGCCUGGAACAAAAGUUUCACGAACCGGGACUAAAGCUCGGUCACUGGUAGGAGGCUCACCAACCGGGACCUUUUAUCCUGGUUGCAAAGUCUAGUGGAAAAAAAGGCCUCGAGAGGUCUUUUAUCCCGAUUUGAAACACCAACUGGGAUAAAAGACCCCCCCUUUUAUCCCGAUUGGUGUUACCAACCAAGAUAAAAGGGUCAAGGACCUUUUAUCCCAGUUUGUAAUACCAACCGGGAUAAAAGACUUCCUUUUAUCCCGAUUAGUGUUUCCAACCAGGAUAAAAGGGUCCCCGGAUGGCUAAAAAAAGGACGAAAUCCCUCGAACCCUUUUAUCCCGGUUUGUAAUACCAACCGGGAUAAAAGGGGAUUUUUUAUCCUCGUUGGUGUUUCCAACCGGGAUAAAAGGGUCCCCCACGAGUUAAUACAAAAGGAUUGCAUCCCCUAUAUAGUCAAAUAUGCUGUGUAGGUGGGAUGGCAAGGAAGCUGCACACGAGGCUUGAGGUCGUGGGUUCGAAUCCCACGCAUCGCACACGCGCAUAUUUCGCGUGAAGAAUCACGUGACUUGCGACGUGCGCGUGAGGGGAUCCCCCGGGAUUUUUUUUUUUCUGGGCUGCGCCUAGUGUGGUGAUUCGGGACAAAAGACCCUCUCUUUUAUCUCGAUUGGUUUAUCCGGAUAGAUUUUCGAGAGAUUUUCUCUCUAGUCCCUACCAACCGGGAAAAGACGAGUUUUCUACCAGAACGGAAAAUUGGAGGGUAACGAGUCCCAAUCUGAAUGAGAAUAAUGGAAUCAGCACAGAUUAAUGAAGAAAAUGGGAGAAUCAAAAUGAAAUAACUAAAAUCUCUGGAGACCCUAGCUAAUCACCAUCACAUGUUGCAUACGGGGAUCCCAUCUUCUCGACAGCGACGGCGCCGACCACCCUCAACUCACGUAUCGCGAGUGCCUCCUACGCGCCGCCGAGGCACACUGCACGGGACGUUGGAAAGAGGAUGCCCUGGGUGAGGUGGGCUGCGAGCACGACGACGUGGUGGUCCUGCGCCAGUUGCACAUGCGCCAGGCCUCCGGUGAUAGGACGUCGGCCAGGAUGUUGGUCGUCCUAUCGGAGGCAGCGGUCGCAGCCGGGUAGAGGGACCUGUUGUAGGGUUGAAAAAGUAUCUUGCGCCCGUGCCUUUUAUUAACGAUCGACGAUGGAUAGAGCCGGCCGUUCCCGGAACCAUAAUACGGCCAUACCUUAACUAACCAAGUUUUUAAUAUAUUAACAUCUAUUACUGGACAAAUAAUGCAGUAAUAAGAUAUAUAUAUAUAUAUAUUUCAUAAUGAUUUUAAUGAAAUUAAUUGGAUGUUAAAAUUGUUGAUACCUUUUCAUAUAAACUUGGUCAAAGUAUCAGAAAAUUGGAACAACUUUAACAUGAACUUUUUUUUCUUCUAAAAAUAGGACUUAGGGUGUACAACUUUAACAUGAACCUUUUCUGAAAAUAGCUACAACCAGCAAAGCUAACACAAACAGUUACCCAAAAAGAAAUAGGACAAGCUCGUCCGAUUGCUGACGUAAUAUAUCAUCUCACACGUGUUCUGCUACGUACUCUGACCUCGCUCUGCAUGAAGCCAUGAACACAAAGCAUCACGUUAACCCUAUCAUCACCGGCUCACACCCUGUGUGGCAAUGCAACAUUCACGUACGUAACAUGUGUUGCCAGUGCACUUGACUGAUACAGCCGUCGUCAGGCAUCGGACCACGUGACGGGGACCCUGCCGACGUCGGUGUCGAGCCCGAGCGCCUUCCACACGGCCGCCGACGAGUCGACGAUGUUGUCGUCGCAUCCGCGCGAGGAGUCGCACUCGUCGACGACCUUGGCCACCACGGACCGCCCGCCGCGGCUCGUGAUGCGGAUCAUCCGGUUGCACCGCCGCGUGCCGUCCAGCCGGAGCCACCCGCUGGAGAGCGCCACGAUCCUCUCGCCGUUGCUGUGGAAGUGGCCGUCGCAGGCCGACGCCCCGCCGCCGCUGCCCCCGCGCUCGAACCCGUUCACCGUCAUCACGGCAGGGGUGUGCGCCGACACCGCCGGCGAGUGGUGGCGGGCGCACGAGACCGAGGCCAGCUGCAGCAGCAGGGUGAGGACGACGACGGCCAGUAGUGGCGCGGCGAGAGGCUUGGCGUUCGCCAUUGCUGCUUGCGCAGUGUUCUUGCUCUUGCCUUGCGCUGCUGCGGUGCCGGGCUAUGUGCAUUUCACGGUGUUUAUAUAGCGAUUGCUGCAGGCGGCCCAACAAAGGGAAAACGGCGCGUUCUGCCGGACUUAACCAAUCGUGAGUCUCGGCUUCCUUUAACCAAUGAGAUUGUUUGGGAGACGUUAAUCAUAGAAGCAGUGUAUCUUCUUUUGGAAUUGAUUCGCCGGCAACGAUACGCGGUAAAUCCAGAUAGCGAAGAACAAGUCGUUGAUGGGGGCUGGAAUUCCAGUUUACAUGUGGGUGGUGUCAGAUAGUAGCUACUAGCUCAAAAAAUCACACUCUCCGACACAGGACAGGAACAACCAUGACAUCAUAUCCUAGGAGAUGGACGAUCAGCCGUACGUACGCACGUAGUUAAGCUAACUGCGCAUGUCUAGCAAACCCGACAUUUUGUUGAAAAUAUUAUAGCUUCUCCAUUCACCUAAUUAAUCAUAGUUCUUAAAACAAAUGCAUUUUAAAGAUUUUUUUUAUACAGAUUAGUAGUCAUGAGAAAUGACCUAAGUACCCCUAGACUAAACACCGGCAAAGGCUUGGGCCAAAAAGAAUACCCUAAAGUUAAGUUUAUUUUAUUUUUGGAUGUUAGAAAUCAGAAUAAUUAUUUUGGAAAAAAGGUAAUCGAGAUAGUAUUGGUUAACCUAAUAGAUUACUUUUGUAAACCAAAUAAUAUCGGACAAUCUAAUAUAUCAAUUUUAUAAAUCAAAAUAGUACUCCUCUAUCGAGAAAUGAUAGGCGUUUUUAAAUUGAGGGAAAGAUCUUCCACAGUUAUUUUCUGUUAUAAUAUGAUGCCAAUUAGUAAUGGCUCAAUAUCAAUCCAAAUUGACUUUUAAGUAUAAACAUAUUAAUUCCAAUUUUAUACACUAAGGGCGUAUUUGGGACUGCUCCGCUCCAAAAUCAUCUUGUCAAACAUCUCCCGCUCCAACUGUACCAACUCCAGAAAAAGGUGAAUCUGAGGCAACUCCAAGGUUUUUAGGGCUUUUCAAAGGGCGCUUCCAAAAAGCUAGUUUCACACCUUUUCUUGGAGUUGGGUGGAAAUUGCCCAACAAUGCCACACUAUUUACACAUACUGAUUCGAGGGAAAAAAACAAGCCCUCGCGCCUCGCGAUGUCUCCUGUUCCGCUGCCGCCCCCUCCCUCGCGACAUCUCCUGUUCCGCUGCCGCCCCCUCCCUCGCGACACCUCUGCCUCCGCCUCCGCAUCUCCCCUUCCUCCGGCCGAACUUCAUUCCACCCGCCGGCACCCAUGGCCAAGCUCAUUGUUGGCUGAUCCGUCGCUGCCGCUGCUCCCACCACUCCUCAACGACAAGCCGGGCUCCUCACUCGCCGCGCGCGCCAUGGACCCUCUCGCCCUCCUAGCGCUCCCGCGCGCCACGCGUCCCUUCGCCGCCACCGUCGCGUCGCCAUCACGUUCCACAAGGUGAGGUGCCACCCGCCUCGUCCUGUCGGGUCAUCGGUGUCGCGGUGGCGCCUACCGCCAAACGUCGCGUCCGCCGUGGCGCGUGAGGCGCCGCGCGCUGACGAAGCGUCAGCUCCCGCGAAGGAGCGGUUCGACUGGCUGGACCGAUGGUACCCUUUCGCCCCUGAGAGCGAGCUCGACCCAACGCCCCGCUCGGCAAGACGAUGCUCGGGCUCAGCGUCGUCGCCUGGAACGACCGCACUGCCGGCGAGUGGCGCAUGUUCGAGGCGCCUGCCCGCACCGCCUCAUGCCGACAGGGGUGUUUGGUUCCAUGGGCUAAAGUUUAGUUCAUGUCACAUCGAAUAUUCGGAUGCUAAUUAGAAGGACUAAUAUGAGCUAAUUAUAAAACUAAUUACACAGAGGGGGGCUAAUUCACGAGUCAAAUCUAUUAAGCAUAAUUAAUCCAUCAUUAGCACAUGUUUACUGUAGCAUCAUAUUGUCAAAUCGUGAACUAAUUAGGUUUAAUAGAUUCAUCUCGCAAAUUAGUCUCCAUCUGUGUAAAUAGUUUUGUAAUUAGUCUACGUUUAAUACUUCUUAUUAGUAUCUAAAUAUUUGAUGUGACAUGACUUAGACUGAAGAUCCAAACACCCAGAUGCUAGCUGCUGCCGCGAUGAAGAAGAAAGUCUAAAAAAAAAAGGCUAACUAACCUGAUGCUAGCUGCUGCCAAAGGUAAACUGUGACAGCAGUCAGCAGUGUACAUACUAACAGAGAGAUCAAGGUAAAGAGCAAGCAAAGCGAUCGAGAAGGAAAUUAUGGUCGCUGCUUUGGUUGCUGUCAGCAUGGUUAACUGAGAUUGCAGAGUCGUCAAAAAUAUCGGCCCAAUGCAAGGCAAGGUAGGGUGUGCAAGUCGCAGCAUCCAUCUUACAGGUAGAGGAGCGAGCGCUAGUUUCUGUAGCGACGUGGAAAAAAAUCACCUAAAAGCAAGAGUGACUAUUCCACUGGUUCCUACAAUUCCUAGACCUGGAUUUGCAUUCGGUAGCCAAACAGGUACAUAGCUCCCUAUUUUCCUAAAGUUGGUGGAGUGGAGUUGUUUUUUUCAAAAAGUGGAGCUAUUUUUUUUAGCGGAGCAGUCCCAAACAGAUCCUUAAACUACGCUCGCUUGGUCCACAAAGCAACUGCCCCUUGAAUCAUUUAUACUUGCCCAUUGACUUAUCGAGCCACAAUGACUUGUUUCAAUCAAUGGGAGAAUAUGAACCCCAACUAGUAGGGGAUUAACUUAAGGUGAUCUAACAAACUCUUAAUCGAGACAGAUCAAGCAUAAUUAGUGUGCCAUGUUUGUGUUGUACCUAUGAUUUUUUCCUCCUUCAUGGUAAAAAGAAAUAAUGACAACGAAUGCAGUUCAGUCGAACCGAUUCGUGAUACAAAGUUACACAAGAUGAUUCCCUUUUUUUUUCACAUUACUAUUCACCUCAAGGCUCAAGUUUUAUUUAUGUGAACAUGAUCCAUAGCCUAAUGAUUAUCAAAAGUCCAAAGACAACCGAAUGAUACGGCAGGCAACCCCUGCCGCCACCCCCUUCUCCCUUACACAUUCCUUUUGAUCUUUUACGUUCCACUUGACAGUAUUGUUAUUGCAGAGGGCAGAGCACAACUCAUGCAUUACUGAACGGCAUACACGUCAGGACGUCACGGAUACCAAGUAAGCAAGAACAAAGAUUUGAGAAACAGAAGUGCGAGACAAAAAGCAAGAACAAAGAUUUGAGAAACAGAGGUGCGAGGGAAAGGGAGAAACGACUUGACAAGGACUUGGGUCUUCGCUGAGCAGAGCACAAGAUCGGUCAGUCAACCACUUCCACUCGCACUUCAAUUCGAGCUGCGCUUCCCACUCGCACUUCAAACACUCGGAGCAAAGGCUAAUAAUACAGCCGGCUGCUUACUGUAAAUAUCUUUGCAGCCUACCUCUCAGCCCACCCAUAUACUAGUGUGCUCUUCAAUAUUAAUAUAAAGCUCACUUAUCUCUCUCACAAAGUUUCUUGAUUCUUGUGUCUAAGCGAUUUGUAAGUUUACAGUCUGCUUCUCCUCUCUCUCCUCUUCUCUCUCCUCCACAUCAGUAUUCAGUCUACUUACAUCCUGCUAUUAUACUUACUCGCAGUUCGGUUGCGCGUCUUGCUUCCUUCUAGGAAAUUACUUUACGGGGACUGGGAGCAAGGCAACAAAGGGAAUCACCCCUCUAUUAUAAAUGUCCACCCAAGAUUCAGGGGGUGUUUGGGAACAGCGUGCUAAACUUUAGCACCUAUCACAUCGGAUGUUUGGAUACUAAUUAGGAGUAUUAAAUAUAAUCUAAUUACAAAACUAAUUGCACAGAUGGAGUCUAAUUCACGAGAUGAAUCUAUUAAGCCUAAUUAGUCCAUGAUUUGACAAUGUGGUGCUACAGUAACCAUUUGCUAAUGAUGGAUUAAUUAGCCUUAAUAGAUUCGUCUCGCGAAUUAGACUCCAUCUGUGCAAUUAGUUUUGUAAUUAGUUCAUAUUUAGUCCUUCUAAUUAGCAUCUGAAUAUUCGAUGUGACCCUGCUAAAGUUUAGCACCUCGUAUCCAAACACCCCCUCAAGCAAGAACUCGAUACGCCAAAAACGACGGGAUGAUACAUCCAAGCACGGCGGCAUGAGAACGCGUGAACUGCAGCUUUGCAGGCACUAAACAAGGAUUUCCCGGAUGGCCGGAUCUACCUCACGCAUUCCUAGUUUCAAUUUCUUAGGCUCCACUUGGCAGUAUUGUUAUUUCACAAAGGAAUCUGAAUGGCAUACACUUCGCGGAAACCAGCAAGCAACUGAGCAAGCAGUAACAAAAGAGAGGUAGCCAUGGAUAAACAACGACUUGACGAGGACUUCACGUCAGGACUUUAAAGCAGGGGGUGUUUGGGAGGAGGGGGUUAAAAUUUAGCCCCCGUCAUAUCGAAUGUUUAGACACUAAUUAGGAGUAUUAAACUUAGACUAAUUACAAAACUAAUUACACAACCCCUAGGUUAAAUCGCGAGACGAAUCUAUUAAGCCUAAUUAGUCCAUGAUUUGACAAUGUGGUGCUACAGUAACCAUUCACUAAUGAUGGAUUAAUUAGGCUUAAUAGAUUCAUCUUGCGAUUUAGCCUAGGAGUUCUGCAAUUAGAUUUGUAAUUAGCUUAUGUUUAGUCCUCCUAAUUAGAAUUCAAACAUCCGAUGUGACAGGGCUAAAGUUUAGCCCCCUCCUCCCAAACACCCCAACGCAGUUCAGUUGCGCGUCCCGCUUCCUUCUAGGAAGGGACUGGGAGCAAGGCAACCAAGGGAAUCCCCCCUCUAUAAAUGUCUACCCAAGAUUCAAGCAAGAACAUCGAUACGCCACUCUAGGAGUACUUGGCGCACAGCUGAAUAGAUGGGCAGCACCGGCAAUGGUGUCGUAGACGUGGAGCGGUUGGGCCAGCAGCAGGGGCAGGGCGGCGAUAGCCUCCCGCAGAAUGAUGGCGGCGGCGGCGGUGGACAGCACAAACCCACCUUCGACGCGAAUGAGGUGAGCACGCUGCUGGUGGUGGCGACGCUGAUCACGGCGCUGUCGUACCAGCUGGGGACCAACAUCCCGGGCGGGUACUGGCAGGAUGACAACGGGCACGUCGCAGGCGACCCGAUCAUGCGGGACAAGCACCGGCGGCGGUACUGGCUGUUCAUGUUGGGGAGCUGGGCGGCGUUCGGCACCUCCAUGCUCCUCACCUUGGGGCUCCUCACGGGGGUGCCCGCCAAGUCGCGCCUCGUCCGGUACGCGUUCCUGGUGGCCUACUCCAGCCUCGUGCUCACGUUCGUGACGUCGCAGCCGCGCACCUCGCUCGCCAUGGACCUCGCCAUCUGGGGCGCCGUCAUGGCCGUGCUGACCGUCUUCACCAAGUACCUUCGCGUCGACACGCUCCCCAGCUGGGUGCGCUCAUUGUGCCCUCCUCCAGCCUCGUGCUGCUGCUCAUGUUCCUGACUUCGCAGCUGCGCGUGUCGCUCGCCAUGGCCGUGCUCGCCGUCGUCACCGCGUCCGUGCGCGGCGACAGGCUCCCUCAGCUGGGCGGGCCGCUAGCUUUAUCAUCAUUUCGCUAGUUAUUGAUCCAUAAGCUAGUGGUAACAGUGUGAUUUAAGUUUGUUUUGUUUUUCUUCUUUUUUCCUUUAUGAGUACUAGUUGUUGUUGUUCUGUGCUGCUGGGCGCUCAUUAACCAAUGAGUCUGUGAACUCUGUCGUAAUUUGCUAUUCAGUAUUUGUGUUGUAUUUAAAAAAAGCAUUCAAUAUUUCAGUAGUUCUGUUCCCAAAGGUGUGCAGAGAUAAACAUCGUUUUCAUCUGUGAGAUUAUGAUGCACUUCAGCAAAAAAAUAUUGCAUGAUUACCAUCGAGUCCUUUCACUAAAAAGUUGAAAUGCAAAUAUCCUUUUCCGUAAUAGUAAAAUGCACUUGCGGCACGCACGUGUUCAAAAAAUUUAAAACAUGAUUUACAUUUUACUUUCGUAAAAUAGACUAAUUAUAUAUUUAUUAAUCAGCAUAAAUAGCAAGGCCAUAAAAAUUAUCUAAACAUAUUAUUAAAUCAAGGUUUAAUAAACUAUUUAAAUUGUCUAAGUACUUCAGCAGAGCUGAAUGAAAGUACAUGAUCGCUUUUUUAAAACAAAGUGCAGAUAAAAAACAUGUGAAUGCCUUCUCGCUUUAGUUUUCUCUUUACUCCUCUCCACCUCCCUCCUGUUUCUACCUCUCAACCCUGUCAUUCCACCCUUAUCAUUUCUCAUUAUUCAAUUUAUUUAUUGAGAUGGAACAUACAUCUAUUAACUUAAGCUGACAACAAAUAGUCAACCACCAAGUCAAUUAUAUUACCAGGUAGCACGUGAGACCAUAAAUGGACAUCACCCGGCAUCAAACUCACACCCACACCAGCUAAAUAACAAGCGACUGGAGAAUUGCAACCAAGUGCCCCACUGAUCGAGAAGGCUAAACAAACAUCAUUUGUCACCUAGUAUAAGCACACCGUGUGAACUCAAUUAAGACACUUCUUUCAUUGGGUACUUCCGCCUUCCAUGACCAAGAAUACCAUCUCUAAUCACAACACAUGCCACAGAAUUCACCAGAAAACAUAAGAAUGAGGGUUUAGAGGAGGGCAUGUCUAUGCCCCAUCCCCAAGCCAGGACAUUUGAAUAUGGAAUGAGUAAAAUGGAGUGAACAGGAGAAGGACUGCAGGUCAGGCUUGCAUCUGAGAAACCCAUCAUAAGACUCCAGUUCCAAUCCUGAUUCGGGUUUGGUCGCUUACUUGUUUUGGUCGACAUGCUUGCAAGAGAUCAUCAAUUAUGGCUACCAACCUUAUCCUCCUGGCCUACCAUGUCAUGGGAAAAUUGGAUUCAGUCUAUCAAACAAAUCUGAUGAAAGAGGAAUAUCACAAAAAUGAUGGUGAAGAAUGAAAAAAAAUAAAUUUAAUUGUAUUGGGCAAAAUCAAGCAUCUGCACCACAUGAAAUUCCUUCGUACCACUAAUCAGAUCAACAUGUUGAUAGAGAUGAGUGAAGAAGAUGCAUAGAGGAGCGGGAGCCACGAUCCAUGGGCGCGAUUGACGGGCGGGACAGGUGCGGGUAUGCGAGCGGUUAAACAAAAUCGCCAGUGAAAAAAGUAGUGUCCAAACAGCAGAGUCAUUUUCUAACGCCCUGUUUUCACCCCUUUCCAACGCCCCCUCGAACUGCCAUGUGAGGCCUCCGUGAGAAGUACCGAGGAAUUAUUUUGGGUGGAAAACGUUUUCAAUUAUUUAGGAUCUUUAUAGUAUAGAUGGAUUCAUCAAUUAAGGUUUCUUUCUUUCACUUCCACAAAUUCAAGCGUGAAGACUAACUUAGUUUUAUUAGUUGUAGAUUGAUUUACCUUGUAUCGUCAUGCUUCUGGCCUCUGGCCGAUCGAGUUGGCCCACCGGGUAGCCGGUGCGGUGAGGCAUUUGACGACAGUUCCGCGUGGCGUGUGCUUGUGAUGCCUGACAAGGUGGCCCACUAAGCAGGUGCCCUUAGUCUAAGACUUUGUGUAGAGCAAGAUUCGGAAUCAUCACUGCUGAUUCGAGCGCAUCUACAAGCCCGCGGCGCCAAGCAAAACGAAGGAAUAGACACCUUGAGUGUUGGUGCAUCUAAUGCCAAGCUCUCACGAGUCACGAGCCCUGAGCUUGCUAUCUAUGGUAGUAGCUAUUUGCCUAUGAGAGUGCACAAUGGGUGGUCGGCCCCUGCUGCGCGCACUUUUUCAGCUCCGGGAAGUAGCCACAGCCCAGAGCAUCUCGCGAUCGCGCAUCCGAUGCAUGCACACGCAUGUGAAUUGCACAACAAGCAUGGCACAACCUCAUCUUCCUCAUCGCCUCAUGCAUCCAUCCGGAUUCCUCUCGUUUAUUGCUUGCUUGAGAACUGAGAUCUAUUGGUUGAGCCAAGUGUAUCUCACCGACACUAAAGAUGCUGCAUCUUUUUGCGAAUCCUGUAUCAUCUGCAGCAUCCUGCAUGGUCACUUAUUGAUUUGCUCCAAAGUUUAUCAUCAUGGACCAUGGCUGAACUAAGCAGUAAGCGCUUACCGCCUUAAGGAUCGAACCCCCUUUUGCUCAGAGCGCAAAAGGGCUCGCAAAGACUUGCCCAUCGUGCACACCUUUCUUCCACAACAAAUUAUACCUUGCCUCCAUUCGCACCAAGGAGAGCACGCGGAUACCUCUAUAUACCCCCACACACGCCUCGUGCUCAUGGCAACACACUCCUCAGCUCGCGGGCACUUGCAAGCUGCAUGCAUCUUCGUUUUUUUCAAUGGCGCCGUCUGCUACGAGUGCCACCAACUUCCAGUUGCUGCUGAUGCUCCUGCUCCUCGCUACCGCGCGACGCGGCAACGCCGCCGCGGUGUUCGCCGGCCUGUCGUUCGAGAGCGAGGGCGAGGCGGAGGCCUUCGAGGACGCGCUGCUUCGGCAGGCGUGCUUCAACGUCUCCGUGGGCGGGCGCGAGGCCUGCGUGUCGCGCCUCGACACGGCGCGGGGCGGCGCCGGCAGCGGGCCCGUGCCGGUGCUGCGCGCCGCGCUCCGCGACACGCUCGGCGAGGCCGUGGGCGCCGCGGGGGCGGUCAGGGGGCUCGCCUCGCUGUCCAACCACGCGCGCGAGGAGAUGGCGGUGCGCGACUGCGUCGAGCUGCUGGGAUACUCCGUCGACGAGCUCGGCUGGGCGCUCGACGCCAUGGCCGAGGCCGGCGACGGCGGCGUCGAGCCGGACGCGCCCGGCUCCGCAGCGGCGGCGCGGCGCGCGGAGGACGACCUCCACGCGUGGCUCAGCGCGGCGCUGGGCAACCAGGACACCUGCGUCGAGGGCUUCCGCGGCACUGACGGCCGCCUGAUGCGCCGCGUCGAGGCGGCCGUGGCGCAGCUCACGCAGCUGGUCAGCAACCUCCUCUCCAUGCACAAGCGCCUGCGCAGCAUCACGCCGCUGCGCCACGCUCCGCCAGGAAGCAACGGCACAGGCGGCGCCGCCGCUGACCCCGGCUCGGAGCUGCCGCCGUGGGUGAUGGACGUCGAGGGCGAAGGCGGCAAGGACGAGGAACCCAAGCCCAUGCCCAAGAGCGCCCGCGCCGGCGGCAGCAAGCCGACGCGCGUAGACGUCGUGGUGGCGCAGGACGGCAGCGGGCGGUACCGGACCGUCAGCGAGGCGGUGGCGCGGGCGCCGAGCCACAGCAAGCGGAAGUACGUGAUCUACGUGAAGCGAGGCGUGUACCACGAGAACGUGGAGGUGAGGAAGAAGAAGACCAACAUCGUGCUUGUCGGCGAAGGCAUGGGCGAGACGGUGAUCUCCGGCAGCCGGAGCUUCUCCGGCGGCUGGACCACCUUCCGGAGCGCCACAUUCGGUAAGCAUGUAUACAUGCCGUGCUGUCCAUCGAUCUUCCUUUUCUAAUAAUCUCAGCUACGUGAUCGCAAAAAAGCUCGCGGCGGCAGAGUUAUUGCCAUGCAUUACUUCGUUCCGAGGGGCAGGAUGCACGUGUUCUUCCGUUGAAGCAAGCUACCCCACCCAUGUCGCCAUGUCCCUGUCUUAACCUUUGCUUGUCAUGCGCAGCGGUGGCCGGCGCGGGGUUCGUCGCGCGGGACCUGACGAUCCGCAACACGGCGGGGCCGGCGGCGCACCAGGCGGUGGCGCUGCGCGUGGACUCUGACCGCUCCGCCUUCUUCCGCGUGGCCGUGGAGGGGUACCAGGACACGCUGUACGCGCACUCCCUCCGGCAGUUCUACCGCGACUGCCGCGUCGCCGGGACGGUGGACUUCGUCUUCGGCAACGGCAUCGCCGUGCUCCAGCGCACCCUCGUCGCCACGCUGCCGCUGGCGCCCGGGCAGACGGGCAGCGUCACCGCGCAGGGCCGGAGGGACCCGAACCAGAACACGGGCUUCGCCUUCCACGGCUGCGUGGUGGAGGCCGCGCACCCGACGUUCCUGGGCCGGCCGUGGAAGCCCUUCUCGCGGGUGGUGGUCAUGGAGUCCUACCUGGGCCCCGGCGUCCAGGCCCGCGGGUGGCUCGAGUGGGCCGCCACCGGCGCCGGGGAGCACGCCGUCGCGCUCGCCACGCUGUUCUACGGGGAAUACAGGAACUACGGGCCCGGGGCGGGCGUCGCUGGCCGGGUGAGGUGGCCCGGGUACCACGCGAUCGUCGACGCCGCCGUCGCCGGCAGGUUCACCGUCCGGCGGUUCAUCGACGGGCUCGCCUGGCUGCCCGGCACCGGCGUCACCUUCACGGCCGACCUGUUCAGGAAGUGACGACGACGACGGCCAGUGCGAAAGCAUGGGUUCAUUUUUUUUUUUUGGAAAAGCACACACAAUAAGGAUGGAUAUAUAGUAGUACCAAAAGGCAUAUUAAAUUUUUUACAUUUUACGUUGUAGUAUUGAUUAUUUUGGUGGAGUAAACUAGCUCUUUUUAUUUUCUCUAUAAAAUUGGCCGAGCAAAUGGGGCAGCCCCCCUCGCGUCCAGACAGCCAGCCGGACAGCUCAAAUCGCCAGGGCAGCCGGACCUGAUUCCUUUCCAGCUCCCACAAACAAAGUCCCCGGCUAAAACCCAACGGAGCGGCGCGCAACGGCACAAGCGCGUCUCGGCCUCGGGCGUUUCCUCCCAACUUCCAACACGACGCCUCGAUCCAGAUCCAGUCCAGGCAUUCCAUCCCCCUUCCCGAGUUGCAGUCUUCCCCCGAGAAUAUUCAUUCCACUCGCCCCGUAGGCGGCGGCCUCGUCCUCGGCUCCCUCGUCGACUCGUCGUCCUCGUCUCGCGCUUUGGAGCUGCUCUCUCCGUUCUCUGGUAAGGAAUCCCAGGCUUCGCUUAGAUGGAUUGAAGGAUUGUAUUCGCUUGGAGCGCGCUGCGCGCAGGUCGCCGUUCCGAUCCGUUAGUUCGUCGCUGUUUUUUAAUCUGUUGCGCAUGGAUCCGUCCAGAUGGUAGCAACGCCUAGUGAAUAGUGAUGCUGGGAUCGCUUGUGGAGUUGCAGUCUGCACUCUGUGCGUACGUGCAGGAUUUAGCCUGAUAAGCCAUCUGUGCCUAGUUAGUUCCCAACGGCAAGCCGUGCAAAAUUCGCGUGCUCUGGAUCCGUUCGUGUCCUGCUAUUCCCUUUCUUUGUUUCUUGGAGGCAGAGAGAAAUCGAAUUCCGAUUAUUUCUUUCUGGGGUGGAUGCUCCACUCUGUUUGUUUGCUGCGCGGAUCGCUGGAUAGCAAAAAUUUCCCGGGAAAAUUUUUGGGGGUGCAUCUGGAUCCCAGAAAACUGUAUUGAAUCUGCCCCCGGGCAGUCUUAGUCCUAUAGUCAGACUUUGACCAAACCCCUGCCCCUGGAUAGCAUUCUUUCCACAAAAAGUUUGGGGUGGUGCAUCUGGAAUUCUGGAUCCCUGUGCCCUCGGUUAGGUCUGCUGUGGUUAUCUUAGUCUGAUUGAGAGCACAAGGAUAUGGUGUGUAUGCAGAACCUUGGUCUGUACUCAUAACUAAGAGAGUCAUUGUGCCGUUUAGCAAAGGAAGGUACCUUCGAUGGUAAGCGGGCGAUGUGUACAUCGAACAAAGUGUGUCCUCCAAUUUCUUUUUUAUAUGAACAAUAUUGGCUUCAAAGGUGCUUUGAGGUGGCAAGUGAAUAUUUACUUUAGGACAUUGUUCACGAUAUAGAUUGAAAAAAACAAGUGUUUUCGUGGGCUUGUUGUAGCUCAUUUGCAUAUACAGAGCAAAAGGAAAAUACGAUACUAAUGUAAAUAUUUUUCCCAAAAUUGUUCUUGUUAAAAACCCUCUGUCUGCUGAUUGAAUUAUCUUUUCUUGAUCAUUUAGAUUUCGUGCUGGUCUUUUCUACAUAGUAGUUAAGCAUAAUUGCUGAGAUUUCGAACUUCCGUUAAAGCAAAGUAUGAACAUGCCUUGGCCAUAUUUUAAGUAGUAAGAGACUCUUGGAGGAGGAUGGAUGAGCGGAAUGACUUGUUUGAUUAGCUAGUUGCUGCCGCCUAUCAAGCCAGUAAACUGAUAGAGGGCAGAAGUCAAGUCAGGCUGCAAAGUUGGAGAAAUGGAUUCAUGAGCUUUUUUAUAUUUGUGUCCAUCUCUAUUUAAGUGCCCCCUAUGCCAUGGCAUACAGUAACACUUCCCUGAAACUUGUGUUAUGUAUGGAAUUUCCAAAUGGGUUCAUUGCUUCUGGUUUCAGUAAUCAUAAAACUCCAUGAGGCUAUGAUUUUUUUACCUGUCCAUCAGGUCUUUCAACCAUGAAUAGCAAAUACAAUAGUUUGCAUGUCAGCAACUUUUCAGUGCGUCAAUAUAAAUACUGUUACUCUGUUUGCACCCAAUUGCAUUCAUCACUUGUUAAGCUGCUUUUUUGGAAUCAGAAUAUCUAGAGACUGUACUCUGUAAUGUCUGAAAGCCAUUUGGAAAUUUGGUUCAAUCGAGAUGCAAUAAUUUUUAAUCAUUUCCAUUCCGUGCCCCCACAUGCAACACUUGCAACCUGAAGUUCUGAUCCCAUCAUUGGAUCCGUUAUAUACUUGUUUCAGAUGUUCAGAUUACCAUAUCCUGCUAUGUUACACUCUGAAUCUGGUAUUAUUAGCUUGAAGAAACAAUCACCUCAACAACAUCUUUGUUUUGGCAACGUGACGCUUUAUAGCGACAGGCUUACUGUUGAUAUGUUAUUUGAUUGACAUGUCCGACAAAAACCAUGCUAGUCUUUUUAUUUUUGGUAUAAUAUCCACAGACUGCUUAAACUGAUUAUGCCCUUUUUCUCUUUGCAUUAUCAGAAGCGCGGCAUGGCUAAGAUCAAGCCAAAGGCGUUGUUGGCACAAAGCAAAGUGAAGAAGGGCCCUAGCCAAAUCAGCGUGACCACCAUCUUCACCUACUUGGUCCUUGGUGUCGUAGUUGUGUCCUCCGUUUAUGCUGCAUACAAAUACUGGGUAGGCAAAGGACCAGCCGUGACAGCAGCCGGUGUCGAGGGGAAUUAAACCCCAACUAUGUAACUGAUUUUGUUGUUGUAUCAUCCGCUUGGAUACUUUUGGUUGUUGCAGCCCAGUAAAUGGAACAUGGAUAGAUUACAUCUUGCUACAGUUUUAUUGUAAUCCGAGGGUACAUUGUAUUGAUAUAUGUAUGCUAAAUUCCUUUCUCUUCGGUAUGAAUGCCUAUACUGGAAGCCUGGAACUACCUCAAGUUUGAGGUGGUAUUCUUGCUGUUCUGGGAUUUCUUGUUAGUAGUUGAACCGUUGAAGACACUGGAAAGAUGCAGUAUAACAGUAUGUUUAUUAUGGCAGUUGAAGGAAUCGGGAAUAGUGCUGUGCACAAAUCCUGAAAGACUAUUGUGGUGCAAGAAAAAUAGAUUUCUGAGCUUAUCCUAAGCUAAAUUAUCCUAAAUUUAGCCAAUUUUAUAGAAAAAAGGUUAAACAACCACCACAAUUAUAUCAAAGAAGUAAAUUAUUUUAGUACCUGAUCUAACCAUGCUCAUUUGAUAGUUGACAUCGCAACUAUUUGUUGUUCUUUUCUAUAAAGAAAUUUGUUAACCUUAGAAUAGUUUGGUUUAGAACAAACUCAUAAAUCCCUAUCAGGGUUGUGCUUAUUUGCAGCCCUGCAAGCCUUUGGUUGUGCUGCAGCCACGCAAACGCGUUGGAUUACAACAGCAAUUAAAAAACACAUAACAAGGAGUGUAACGUAGGCAGCUGAACGGCUGGGCUGCAGUUACCACUGCCUCGGCCUGCAGAUGCAACCGAAGCCGCUGUAAACAAGCUCAAGUAAAUAUAUUUUGAGACAGAAAGAGUACCUUGGCUUGUUUUGUUAGGCAUAUCGGUUAAGAUUUGAAACGUACCUGGGCUUGUUUUAUUAGGCAUAUUAGUUAGGAUUUGAAACAGUAUUUAGAAUUUUGGGUGUACAUUUUGCCCAUAAAUUUCUCUUACAAUCUAUCAUUAUAUUCUAUAAAACCAAAUGGCAUAUUAAAGGGUCUUCGGAAUAUGAAUCUAUUUAUCUAAACUUUAGAUAAUUUGACUAAUCAUUGAUCAAAAUUUUGACGUCCUUUGAAGGCGAAGGGAGAAGAAUAUUUUUUCAAGCGAAAUCCUCGUCACAGACGAGUGGAACGGACACACCUGUCUCCCCUGUUUCCAAAGUAGGCAGCCCCCACGCGUACGAAUGUCGCUGCAAUUUUGUGGGGGGGGCAUUCUUUCAGCUCUCGUGGGAUCAAUGAUUGAUACCAUGUAUCGUGACCCAACAACGUGAUUUCACAAGGCUAAACGCGUGGCGCUGCGUCGAGUGAUCCAUUCCAUCUUCCAAUCACAUCCUGUCACUGACUGGCGAGGACGCGAUUCAUCAGAGCAGAGCUAUUCGGGACCGGUGCUAGUGACGUUUGGUGCGCCAAACUCAUUGGCAGGAACAGGAUGAUGCAUUCUUUUUCUUCCUACCACGUCGUACUACUUUUGUGCUGGUCUUGUAGUACACCAUAUUCCAUACCUCCUCACAAGUCAAACUUUUGCACUGCAGACAGAUAAAGAUUUUAAACCUGGUCCUCAUCCCUAAAAAAAUGAAUGAUUUUGUUGUUCCGACUUCUCAGCUACUGGGAUUAUCCUCUCUUUUAUGUUCUUGCAAUUGCUCUAAAACAUGAGUGAUUUUUUGGAAGCUGCAAAGCUAAUACGACGACGACCGACGUAACAUCCACAUCCAACGUUGACCGUUGCCGUGCCGUGAUAUGACCGCCGUCGCGUGACGACCAGUAUUAGGGGCGUGAUACAUGACUAAAAAUUGGGCUAAAAGUGAACUAAUUAUAAAAUUAAUUGUAUAAGUCGUGGCUAAUUCGCGAGAUAAAAAUCUAAUCAUAGAUCUAUGAUUAAAUAUUUACUGUAGCAUCAUAUGAUCAAAUUAUGGAUUAAUUAGACUUAAUAGAUUUGUCUUCCGAAUUAGCCUUCAUUUAUGCAAUUGAUUUUGUAAUUAACCUAUAUUUAAUACUUCUAAUUAGUAUCUAAAUAUUUGAUGUGAUAGAUCCAGGUUCGAGCGGGGCCUUACCAUCUCGUUCCGGACUGAUGAUACCUACGCGUACGGUCCUUUUACGUGGAGUUCCUUUUUUUUUCUUCCGAAAUCGUCCACGCGUUUCGCUAUCAGCAGUAAUAAAACGGAGGAUAAAGAUUCAGGCAGCCUUUGCCACUUAUUCUCAAAAUCAAAAGGAGGAAGAAAAAAAGGAGAGCCAAACAUUUGGCUCUUCUCUUGGUGUGCAAGGUGGCUAGCUGUGCCGCUGUCAGCCUUAAAUCUCCAGCGGUUGACAUCGAUAUCAUGUACGUGUGUCUCGAUGAUAUACGGGCCAUACGGCUAUUGGUUUUAGUAGUAGGCACGUUGUGUUGUGUUCAAAGAAAAGAAGAGAAGAGAAAACUGAAAAUGGUCCAAGAAUGAACUGUGCCAUUCUCCGAUUGCCAAGAAUAAUAUGAUAUAGAAACUCCUUGUCUAGGAUAACGACUUCCGACAGGCCAAAGUAUACGACGAUGUUGCCUACUCAGUCGCUCCACUAAACUAGUUCCGAUCGAGUCACCAUUGUUGAAAGUUGACUGCUACGCUAUUGUCCGUGCACCAAGUUCCACGUAACUUCUCUGCCUUUGCUAGCUUUGGUGCUGUGAAAAUGGUCGAGUGCUACCUGUAACAAAUAUGCAUGUCAUCAACUAGGUCAUUAGCGGUCGUCGCAGAUACUAUGAAAUGGACGGAUCGAAGGACCAUGGCCAUUUAUACACAGAAGAAGAGGCCUUUGACAUGGGGAGAUACCAACAGACAGAUACCCAGCAGUUUACCCUCUAUGUUUUAAAUUGUAGAUGACCUACACUUUUUUAAACGACCUACGAUUUGGGAGGAAGGAAGUACUCAGGUGGGCACUUGGGUAGGCAAAGGUCCCAAUUAGUCGUAACGGAAACUACGCCGUACGCUCCACAGCUUCACCAGUCUGCUUUCCAUAAAGAUUAAGUAGGAUUAACGCUGCGAAUUAAGCAAGCAUGGACUGAAACUGCUGUCAGGUUUCACGAUCCGAAAGGUCAGUCUCGCCCAUUUUACCUGGUCGGCAGAAUAUACAAAUUAAAUGGACAUUGCUGCAUACGAGUCCCAUAUGCAAUUGACUAGUUCUAUUAAUCAUCCGAUCCUGUCGCAAUCAUGGCGUUGGUGAGCGACGGCAUUAGUUAGCAUGCAUGGAUGAGACGAGUCGCAUGGGUGAUAGCGCGAAUGUGCGAUACGUCCGCGGACAAGCAAGUACCGAAAGGUACACCACCGAUUAGUAGCGCUACUAAACUAAUUGCCUAUGGGUACAGCUUAAUUAUGGGACUGAUGGAUGGAACCCUCACUGACAGCGGCCCCAGCUAGGACGCAGCCGAAUUUAUUUAUUUAUUUAUUUAUUGGUAAGAGAAGAAAAACAAUCGUCUGCGCCUUGUGCAGACAGGCAUUUGAUUUGUUCAUCAUUGAACCAUGCAUGUAGCUAGCAGAAAAGUCAAAGCUUCAUGCAGUCGUUAGUAAAAAAAAAAGCUCCAUUAUGCAGAAACCAGAAAGAUAGGGAGAAGAAAAACAAGAACAGGAGACCUGAACGACUCGUGGUCCGUACGAGGUUGCUUGAUCCACGGCAACCGAGAGAAUCGUCGAGUCAUCAGCUCAUCACAACUCGCAAGGGAGAGGGUGUUCGAGAGGGAGCUAUCGGCCUGCGCCACGCAACCCAGCAGCGGCGUGCGGCGAGACCGCACGGGCGGCGCGGUCCAACCUGCCGACGCGCGGAUCCGCCAGGCGCCCAGCGUCCGCCGAAGUGCUUGGGAUCGGAGGACGGGGAAGGUCGGCGGCCCGGGACAGGACACGGAUUCCUCUCCACUCGGCUUUCGGCGAACCCACACCCACAUUGUAUUUGCGCCAAAGGAGACGUAGCUUUAUCCCUACUUUUCCGGAAGCGCACGCAGCUGCGUGCGGCGUUCUUGGGGAAAAAAAAGAGGAAGUGUUAGCACUGACGCGCAUGUGAUUAGGGGGUGACUACUGAUCACUGAAUAUUGACUAAUAAACGUUACAACGUUAGAGCGAGAGGUCUGGAUGUGGGUGGAAAUCAGAACCAGUAGAAGUCAAUGUCGUCCUUGGCUAGAUCAAGUGCCCCUAGGUUGCUAUGAUUUUCGUGUAUUCAUAACAUAGAUAUUGUAAAGCCACCGCCACCAAAAGCCGCUCUUCGCCGCUGCCUCGGUCCCCCUCCUCUAUCCCUCCGACGAGGCUGGUGGGUGGAGGAGGGGGAUCCGUCCUUUUCACAGAUCUAAUCUUUUAGUCUUUGUUUCUUUUAGGGUUGGUUCUUCAGCGUUAUCGACGCCACCUCGUCGAUGGCGCUUUGGAAUAAGGUCUCUCCGGCCUCUCCCUACCUCGAUGAAGGGCCAGUGAGAGUUGGUUCUGCUAGAUCUGUAGGUUCUCUCCAAAUCUUUACAGUUGAUGUGUCAAUCAGGAGAUGCAGUUGGCUGCCUUUUGUUGUGACGACUUCGACCUCUUCUUUCGGUUUGUUCUGCGACAAGAUCCGGUUUCUUCAACCCUCUGUGUUUGGUGGUGAUGGAUUGCAAGCCUGUGUUGCUUAGGGUGUUCCCCCAGCCGAUGUUUUUUCAAUGGUUUCAAGAUCUCGUUGUUAGUGGCGAGUGUUUUUUGCAGUCUUCAAAGUCUUGUAUGGCGAGGGUAUUGGUAGGUGUCAUUUUCCUUUACUGCCUUUCCAGUGCACUUUUCAAGCUCCGGUGGACGACCAACAAUCGAAAGAAGAAGACAACCAGAAAGUUAUUUUUUUAGAUGUCGUUUUAUGUCCUAUUGUUUUUCUUGAUAUAAAUCAAAUAUGAGGCACCUUUUGUGGCUUUCGGAAAAAAAUGUCGUCUUUGGCUAAUUGUUGUAUGCAAUGCCACAAGCCGACAGAGCAAGCGGAGGUAGGAAAGUCCAGGGACGUGGCGGUCAAAUUAAAGAAACCAUUUUGGUGAACAACCAUGAGUGGAAAAAGGAGGAGUAAGGUUAAGGAACUACUACUAUGAUGAAGCAAGUAGGGAUCAAUCACUGUUAGGUUUAAUCUUUUUUUGAAACCAGUAGUAUUUAUUUGUUUCUCGAUCGGGCAAAGAUUUUCCUUUCGAAUUUCUUUUUGAAAUAAAGAUUUUCUUUUUCUAAAAUUGAGCAUGGAGUUUUUUUGCCGUACUCCUUACUGGUUUGAGCAGAGUGGAUGUCAUGCUCAACAAUGUUCACUGUUGAUUUGCAGGGAAUACUCUGCGCUCAGUGCCUUUUUUGUUUUUUUAUUUUUUUAAUCGAACCGGGUAGAAGAGCUGCCUAUUAUAUUAAAAAGAAGAAUAAGUCCAAACCGAGCAAACAACAACGCUAGCCGGUUAGAUUAGGACAUCAACACGCGCCGCACAACAUCGCACUACUCAAACUCAACUCAACUACACAACAAUAUCGGCCGGUUAGAUUGGAACAUCAACCACACCGCACCAAGCAACUCGUUACUCAACUCAACAAACAUCAUUUGACCGGUUGGAUUGAGACAUCAACUCAUGCCACACAACAUCGUCAUCUUGCCGCAACUCCACCGCCGAUAGCCUUGGCACCUUCGCGGCAUCUCCAGCUACCACUCCAGUACUCCACUGGAACAUCAGCCUUGCAGCGCCUGCACCACCACCACUAGCAGCUCUCUCUCUCUCUUGCUUUUUUUACUUUUUGAGGAAAGGAAGAAAGAAGAAGAAGAAAUGACCCACCUUUGUGUAGUGUAGUUUUUUUAGUGUAGCAAGGGCUGUUUGGUUCCAUGAAUUAAAGUUUAGUUUGUGUCAUAUUGAAUAUUCGGAUGUUAAUUAUGAGGACUAAAUAUCUAAUCUAUGGCCAAAUGAAUGAACCACCGAGAGCUCGUAUUCAUUCUUUUUUUUUCUAAUCUGAAUUAGAAAUUUCAUUUGCUAUGAUUCUAUCUUCUCCUUAGUGAACUAUUUAUCCUUAAAUUAUUAACAAAUAAAAAAAUAUAAUUAUAAAACUAAUUACACAGAUGGAGGCUAAUUCACGAGACGAAUCUAUUAAACCUAAUUAAUCAAUCAUUAGCAAAUGGUUAAUGUAGCAUCACAUUAUCAAAUCAUGAACUAAUUAGGUUUUAUAGAUUCAUCUCGUAAAUUAGUCUCCAUCUGUGCAAUUGUUUUGUAAUUAGUCUAUAUUUAAUACUCCUAAUUAGUAUCUAAAUAUUCGAUGUGACAGGAAUUUUAGGAUAUCAUGAAGAACAAACAUCCCCUAACUUCCGAGAAUUAACGUACAACAUCAUCAGUUCAUCGCAGUCGCUGAAUCGCAAGCAAAAGUUGACGUUGCUUCCAUACGAGGCAAGUUCGUACAUACUGAUGUAACACUCGUUAGAUGCAAGCUCGACAUACGGAUGGCAAGUGGGGACAAGUGAUGUUAAUGAGUUGCCGGUUUUAGCAACAUGACUUUAGGUCUUUAGCUGCACCCUUCACGUAGUACUGCUUUGCUCUUUGAUGAUACCAAAUCAUUUGUUAAAGUUUCUUUAAAAACUGCCCUAAUACAAAAGAACCUUUCGUGGUAUGUGAUGUUUUUUAUAAACAUAACUCUCCCCGUCCUAAAGGAAAUGCAACUCGCUUCUUGGGAAGUCAACUAAUUUCAAAUUUGACAAAAUUUAUAAAAAAUAGUGCUAACAUUGAUGAUACAAAAUAAAUAUCAAUAAAUUAAUCAUAUACUAAAUCUAUUUGGGGACGUGAAUGCAAGUAUAUUUUUAUAUAAAUUUGAUGGAUCAUAGAUGGAUAGGGAGGGAUGGAUCAGGGAGAGGGAUGGAUCGUGGAUGGAUCAGCGUACGGUCCGGUCCUCCCCCCCCCCCCCGGCAGAGUGCACGACUGCCUGUUCCGCCUCCGGCUGCACGCCCCCGGGGCCGCAUCCGCAUCGCUGGGCCGAGGGAUGAGGAAACGACGACGAGGCACGUCACGGCUGGCAAGUACCCCUGCCCCCCAAGUGGUGCAUCAAAAAUCCAAGGGCUAGGUGCUGUCCCGCUCGUUGCUCACCGCAGGUGACUGCACCCUCCCCGCGGCAGCGCUUGUCGGACGCCCGAAAGGAAUCUCCUCGCCCCACUGGCUCACUCCUCUUCACACACGCUCGUGAACGGCUAAUCCUUUCACUCUCUCUCCCUAGUCCCUUCUGUGUGGUGGCCACUGGCCAGGCCUGGGCCUGGUCGUCUCAGCAGCUCUGCGGCUCUGCUCGUUCAAACCCAGAGGCAGAGGCCAGAGCCAGGCCAGCAGCGGCCAGCCCCCUACACCUACUGGCCACUGCCGCGGCUGCCCCCGGCCCUGCCGUGUCGAUCACUCCAUCUCCCGUCCACUUCACCACCCGCAACGAGAUUUUUUAAUUCCAAACAAGUGCGGUUUUUUCCGCGAGCAGCAACACGUAACGGACCCUCCGAUCGCUCCUCCCUCUCUCUCGGGACUUCCUCUCGCCGCGCAACGCAAGGCGGGAGAGAGCUGCACGAGACGACGUCCUCGCGUCUCACCAAAACGCGUCGGUUCCGCGAGAUGAUCUCCCGUCCCGGGGCCGCGUGGUUUCUAGAGAGAUCCAUCCAGCACCACCCGUCCCGUAGGCCGACGGCACCGCUGGCCCCCGGGUGGCGCAACAGACCCGUCGCUGUCGGCCUCGCUCGCUCCUUCUCCUCCUCACCCCGUCCUCUCCUCCUCCCUACCUGGUCCUCGUCUCCUUCUCGUGCCUCCGCAGCGGACGACGAGACGUGAUCCCGCGUGCGGGUUGCUCGCCUGACGCGACGCGCGAGAUCGUUACUAGCAGACGCGAGAGUACGAGAGGUGAAGAGGAGAGAUGGGGCGCGCGAGGGGUUGGUUUUAGCUUACCCAUUCUUUGAUUGGCGACUUUUCUUAGGUUCCACAUGCCAAAGCCGACCCCGCUUUUAUGGGCAUCAGCAGCCAGCACAGGGAAAAAGAUGAGGAGGGCGCGGAGCCUUUUCGGUUUUUGGGUGCACCGGCGCACCCGCUCGUCACCGUGGGCGCGGGGAGGGAAAGUGGUUGCAAGUUGCAACUUGACGAGGAAGCAUCUGGUUACCUUGCUUGCAGGGUGAAAUAAGGUCGGGUUUAGUUUUCAAUUUGGGAGUGACAGAAUUACCAUUUUGCCAUAAAUGUACAACUGUAGUGUUUCGUUUGUAUUUGUAAAUUAUUGUCCAAAUAUUGACUAAUUAGGCUCAAAAGAUUCAUCUCGUAAAGUACAACAAAAUUGUGCAGUUAGUUUUUAAUUUCGUCUACAUUUAGUACUCCAUGCAUGUACUGCAAGUUUGAUAUGAUGGAGAAUCUUCUUUUUGCAUAGUGUCAAAGUUGGGAGUUUGGAGGGAACUAAACAUGGACUAACUGAGACCUCUCGGAGGUUACUGCCGCAAGCUACGCGGAUCGAAGAUUUGAAGUACCUGGCCAAACAUUCUUGCUCUGAGAAAAGUUAAAACUUACACCCUCCAUACUAAAUUACUAUUCAUUUUAACUUUUCUAUAUACAUAACCUAGUCUAUAUACAUAAUUUUUAAUAUGUAUCUAGGUGCAUAAUAAAAUUCAUGUACUAAAAAAGCUAAAACGAAUAGUAAUUUGGAACGGAGGGAGCUUGCUUCAAAAAAAUGAAAAGUUAAAACUUAAAGUUGAUGAGAUACAGUAGUACCGGAAUGUUCCUAUUGUGGAAGAUAACGCGCUUGUUUUAAAGAUGGAAAGAUAAUGUAGUGAGAUCAUUUUAGGAAGUGUUUGGAAAAAUCCUAGUACCGGCUUUUUUAAUAGGACAAAGAAUCGUGUUAGAUUGUGAAUAUAAUCCUUUCCUGUCACCUCUUCUCUAGCAUUCAUCGUAGGAGAAUUCUAAUGAUCUUUGGCACCCCAUGCAUACUACGUGUUUUAGAUUAGGCUCGUGUAGAAUGGUGCCUAUUUUAGAACUUUUUCCGUAUCGUCCUAAAUCAAGGUAACGACAGAAAAGUAUUAUUGUCGUAACAUCAUCCCAAAAUAAGUGCAUGUAUACCUAACAUUUUUGCCCCCCAUAAGGGUAUUGAUUUGUAUCCUAUCAUUUAUCUUCAUUCAAACGUCAUGCACACGUUACUCCCUUCCUCGAGUCGUUGCAAGCCAAAGGUCAUCAAUCUAUCAGGUGCAAUGACAAAUAAAUCAAUUGUAGGCAACGAGGUUUACUAAAGGAUGACUAUAUAUUUUCUCUUUCGCAACAAUCUGUCUAAGAUUUUGUAUAGAUGCACUUAUUUUGUAUGGAUGGAUGGAGUAUAUAAAUUGAACAAAAUUGACAAAAUCCUCAUAAAAGCGAAUGGCAAGCAUAGUAUUGUUAUAGCAUCACUAAUAAUCAUAUGCUUGUAUUUUUGUUCAUGCUUCAGUUUUCACACCACGCAACACUCACCAAAAUGUUUCAUUUGUCUUCUAGAGCAAUAAUAACCUCCACAUGAAUGUCUUUCCCUCAAAUUGUGGUCAUGGCUGCCAAUCACGCACUUGUCCUUGCAUCUCAAGAACUGAUGGUAAUGCAUUGUGGUCCUGUAAUAAAAAAAAAAUCUCACUAGAAAUUCACACAAGUUUUCAUUGUGAUCCUGUAAUAAAAAAAACAUCACUACAAAUUCACACGCAAAUCUUCGUACAACUCCAUAAAAAGUAGGAAAGAAUAAGAUAUAUGUUGACCAAGCGUGCUAAAACAAGAUGAGAAAAGCUCAUAGUAAGCUGUACCUUAUUUGAAUUCUUCUCUUGCCUCAACUUACGGUCAUCCGUGCUUUUAGUCUAGAUUCAUCGAUGCAUCAUAGAAUUGGACAUAACUCACUUUGCUUUCUAACUCAAACUCUCAUAAGUAUAUGCUCAAGUUUAUUGCUAACAUGUACUAUACCAAAAAAUAAUAGACUAGAAAAGGUGUAUUUCACAAUGGAUCUAAUCAUGUUUAUUUGAUACAGUAUCAUAAUAAUAUUAUUGUUCUUUUAUAAAUCUAGUCAACCUCGGUAUAAUUUGACUUCAAAUAAAACCCACAAAUCAUGUCAUGUGGACGAAAAUGGUAGCAAGUACUCCACUAUCUCCAACGAAUGAUGGAAAGCGAUAGCUCAGCUGGAGGUCUACUGUCCACUCGCGCGAAUACUAAACAAAAACCCGGCAAAAGCCUCGUAAAAAUGGGCGGUUGGCAGGGUUUACCAGGGCAUCACCCCAUUAUAAUUUGACUUAAAAUUAAAAAUAUCAUAUCCUUUUAUAAAUUUAAUCAAAUCGACAUAAUAUGACUUAAAAUAAAACACACAAAUUAUGGUAUUUGCACAGUGUCAAGUAUUUUUCGUCAGCUCACCUGGAGGUCUACCGUCCACUCAUGCGGCUAAAUAAAAACCUGGCAAAAGCCCUCGUAGAAGCGGGCGGCUGGCAGGGGUUUACCAGGCAUCACCCCAUUAAUCACAGAGACACGUGACCCUGGCCCACCCCCCUCCCCGCAGUCGGUGCCGUGCGCCACUGCUUCCUUUCCCACGCCACGCGAGCGACCGCGGCCGAUCCCGAGAAACCGCGGAGCGGACGCGAACGGCCAUUCUCCAGCCUGAACGUGAACGGAACCAAUAAAUGGAAGCCCCCGUCUCGUGCCGUCCCAUCUCGUCUCGUCUCGUCUGCUACUCCUCCCCAAUCGCGCCGAACCGCCCCCGCGCCACGCGAUCUCUAGCGUCUCGCGCGCACGUCGCCCUCACGACCGGACGCCAGCUCACGAAUAUCCACCCGAUUUAAUCCCGGCCCCUUCGAUUCCGCCGCUCCCGGCCUAUCAUAUAAGCGGAUUGACCUACCGAUAGGCACAUGCGCUUAUCGAUAGGGGAACGUGCGUAUCGCAGAUAAGCCAGUGGUGGGUGGCGUGGGGAGAGAGAAAAGGGCGAGAGGUCUGCAACGCAUCGAAGAAAGCGAGACUAAAGUUUCUCUCUCCCUCCCUCCCCAACCUCUUCCACAUCUCCGCUUCUCUCUCGUCUCCGCCUCGCUCGCGAGAGAGAGGGGGGCGACGACGGAACCCUAGGAUUCGCGGCCGCCCGGGCGGCACAGCCACCACCACCCCGCCCUCCGUGCCGGGGGGCGCCAGCCGAGCUCCGGGGCGCGCGGAUCGAGCACCGGGCGCGGGUCCACGCCGCCGCCGCCGCCAUGUCAUCGCUUAGCCGCGAGCUCGUCUUCCUCAUCCUCCAGUUCCUCGAUGAGGAGAAGUUCAAGGAGACCGUGCACAAGUGCGUAGCCCCUCCUCCGUCUCCCUCUCGUCCGGUGGUUACCUGCGCGUGCUCGGUUGGUGGGUGGUUGGGAUCGAUCGGGCUCUUCUGCGCUUUAGGGGAUUUGAUUUGUCACACCGCUUGUCUUGUUCCCGCUUUUCUCUCGUGAUGAAUUCGGCCAGACGCGGCUCUGUUUUUCUAGGUCGUAUUCUUUUUUUGUUCCUGGUUCUGGGCUUUGAUGAUGAGUUGUUGCCCCAAAAAAGGUUUCUCUCGAACUCUGUUGGAUUUGUUAUGUACGGUAAAUUCAUGGAAGUUUGGGGUUAUUUCGGUCAAAACAUUUAUAUCCCUCCUCGUGGCUUUCUCCGUGAUAGUCGUUGUUUUAUUUAUUAAUCCGGUCAAAAUCGAUUUUCGUGGUCUCAGUUUUUCUUUUAUUCGCGAAAAAUUGAGGGGCGCAUUUGAAAUUGUGGAGCUUGCAUGUGCGGUUUCCUACACCAAUCGCGUGCCUGAUGGUUUUUUCUUCUUUUGUCAACUGGGCUGGGCUUCGUCUUCUCUGUCGGUUACUUAAUUUCGUCGGAACACAUAGAUUAGUGUGAUUGGUGUACUGGCGCUCUGGUCCCCUUGUCGUGUCCUGCGUGUAAUCAGUAACGAUGCAGUAGGUGGUAAUCUAGCUGGAUUGCAUCAUUUUGGACAGAAUUCGUGGAGGAAUUUGAAGUUUGGCCUCGCAAUUCGGUCUCUUUAAUGUGUUCUGCACUCUGCUCUGUUCUGCUCCACCACGUUAUGCAUUGCAGAACACACCGGGAGGUUUGUCAGAAUUGGACUGUUUGACUUCUGAGUCUUCUGCAAUAAAUGGCAUGAACUUGGUUAAUUUAGGAUCAGUUUCCAAGUUCGAGUCUUCUACAAUAAAUGGCAUGUAACUUGGUUAAAGUGAUUUAGGACCAGCUUUCCAAGCUCAAAACUUUCAGUGUGGUUGGCUGUUUGGUUUAUGCCAUGUUUUGACCACUGGAGUCGUGGGCUCUUUUGUGUACUCAUUCUGUUGACUGAUUGGAAAAGUUAGCAGCUCAUGUUCUCCCACACUCUUUUCUCUAAGAAUUAGAAUUAUCCGUGGUCUGGUCUUCAGUGUGUAUCCUAUGCCACAUUGUGUUGUAGGCUUGAGCAAGAGUCAGGGUUUUUCUUCAAUAUGAAGUACUUUGAGGAGAAGGUCCAUGCUGGGGAGUGGGAUGAGGUGGAGAAAUACUUGUCAGGAUUCACCAAGGUAGAUGACAAUAGGUAUUCGAUGAAGAUCUUCUUUGAGAUCAGGAAGCAGAAGUAUUUGGAAGCGCUUGAUAGGUACUGUUCUUUAAUAUUUCACUUCAUUUGAAAGAGGAACUAGGUUUUCCAUUCCUUUUUUUUAUUGUAAAAUUUACUAACUUCUCUUCUAUAUGUUCCAAACAGGCAUGAUAGAGCAAAGGCUGUAGAUAUUCUUGUCAAGGAUCUUAAAGUCUUCUCGACAUUCAAUGAGGAGUUAUAUAAGGAGAUAACACAGCUUCUCACUCUUGAGAAUUUUAGGUCUGUUCGUCUUGCUUUAUGUCAUCAUUUACUAUGGCAUCAGAUUGUUGGUUGAGAAGCAUUAAAUGACAUUUCUUGGAGCUUCUUAGACCUUUUAAGAUAAUCAUUCAAAAGCAUCUCCUGUUUGCUGCAUUGCAAUUAGUGUAUCUUCACAGGUGGUGAAAAUCGGACACGUAUUUUAAUAGAUCAUGAACCAUUAGGAAAUCAUGGCAAGCAACUACUACUGAUAUGUUAACUGAGUGGGCAUGGCAAGCUGGCAGUGGCGUAAAUCUGUUAGCUAAGCCAGAUGCUUAAUUGUAAAAAAAGUUAAGCUUUGUUCAAGAUAUUCAUUUGAUAGAUUUUAUGUUAUGCUGGUUUUUCCUGUAUAUUUUUUUAUGGAAAAUGUUGGUUGCUUAAAAAUAAAAUUUUAUUACUAUUGCCUCUGAAUGUUUUAUUCCAAGUAUUGGAAUUCCUUCUGCUGCUUCUGUUUUCAGUUUUUAUCUCAAAUCGACAAAUAAAUGUCGCUUUUUUUGCAGAGAAAAUGAACAGUUGUCUAAGUAUGGGGAUACUAAAUCAGCUCGCAGUAUUAUGCUGAUUGAGCUUAAAAAACUUAUUGAAGCAAACCCCCUCUUCCGGGAAAAGCUUGUCUUUCCGACUCUUAAAGCAUCACGACUACGGACUCUGAUUAACCAAAGGUUUGAAAGUAACAAUCGUUACAUUACCAGACAUUCUGUUUUCAUGUUUAUUGAAUUUGUGUUUUUUUUCUUUGGCAACAUGUGCAGCUUGAAUUGGCAGCAUCAGCUUUGUAAGAACCCUCGUCCAAAUCCAGAUAUCAAAACUUUAUUCACUGAUCAUACUUGCUCACCUCCCAAUGGAGCUCGUGCAUCACCGGUGUCUGUACCUCUAGCAGCUGUUCCGAAGGCUGGUGCCGCAUACCCACCACUUACAGCUCAUACUGUAUGUUUGCUUAAUAAUUUUCUGCUUGUGCAUGUCUUUUAUGAUCUCUUGUGUUUACAUUACGUGUUUGUUCAUGCAGCCAUUCCAACCUCCUCCACCUGGUCCAUCUUUAGCUGGUUGGAUGGCAAAUGCUGCUGCCUCUUCAUCUGUUCAGUCUGCUGUUGUAGCAGCAGCAUCAAUACCUGUUGCACCAAAUCAAGGUAUGGAUGUGUGGGCUACGUUUCCGUCAAAAUGCGUCUGGUUGCUUGUUUUGAGCAUAUCUGCGUGAAUAUAUUUUCUCGAUUUUCUAUCUUUUGUGCAAUUCAAUGGAUACAUUGAACACCAAAAUUUGUAGUGCAUGGUUUAGUACGCCUUGUACUUUGCAUCAGUACAUUCCUGAAACAACUGAACAUGCGAAACUUCAGUUCCAGACAUAUAAAGGAUGCUGCUAAUUUCUUGUAAUUUACACAUUAUUCAAUGAUGAAUGUAUCUUAUAUGCAUUAAUGGUCUCAAUCUUAUUUUUUUGGGUAUGCUUCAAUCUUAUUCUAUUGGUUGCUGUAUGAUAGCACUCUCUUUGGUAGUUUAUGCUGUUUGCUCUAUGGUUCGUGGCGUAGUCUUAUCCUUUUGUGCUUUUCAUGCCCCCCGCCCCCCCCCCCUCUGUAGUAAUAAGUAUGACAUUACACAUACAGCAAUUAGUUGGUAAAGCUUAAGCUCACAAAAGGGAGCAUUCAAUUUUGCUUAGAACCGUUUUGUAUGUUGUCAUGGGAAAUGUCUUUAUGUUGUCUUGUCAGUUAUUUGUAUGUCUCAAAACUUCACAUGAUGCAUUUAUAUUACAUUGUUUCCUCAGCUGUCUCCAUGUUGAAACGGCCAACCAUAACAGAUUAUCAAAGUGCAGAGUCUGAGCAACUAAUGAAGCGACUGAGGCCUAGUGGACAUGGCGUUGAUGAGGUAAUAUUGCAUUUUGCACUCAGAAAACAUGACAUUUUUAUGUUGUAUGAAUUUUAAUAAUCAACCAUGCUUAUGCAGGCCACCUAUCCUGCCCCCAUCCCUCAACCUGCUUGGUCAGUGGAUGAUCUUCCUAGGACAGUUGCUUGUUCACUGUCACAUGGAUCUAAUGUAACUAGCAUGGAUUUCCAUCCGACUCGUCAUACACUACUUCUAGGUACUAUCAAGAUAACUAUGCUGUUUGAUUAUCUUUAAAAAUGUGUUUUUCAUGUAAUCUGUGUGAACUCUGAUAUACACCAAUAUAUUGAUUUUCUUAUGUGUUUUACUCCACAGUUGGAUCUGCUAAUGGUGAAUUCACACUUUAUGAGAUUGGUCUGCGUGAGACGUUGCUUUCAAGGCCCUUCAAAAUUCGGGACAUAAAUGCAUGUUCACCACAGUUUCAGGUAUAUACAAGCUGAAGUCAUAGCUGUAGUUUACUUCGUAGUUCUAAUUGCUAUUUACGUGUACCUUUUCCUUCACAUGUGUGUGUGUUUUUUCAUCUUAUGAGCCUCAUUAUUUGCCUAUCCUAUUCCUAUGGACAGAAUGCUGUGGUCAAAGACUCCUCAAUAUCCAUUAAUCGAGUUACCUGGAGCCCUGAUGGAGAAUUGAUUGGUUAGUGUCAAUACUGUGCAUUUUCAGUUAAUAUUUUGGAAGGCAACAAUUUUCAUUUAAAUUUACCUUUGUGGUUUCAGGAGUCGCAUUCACAAAACAUUUGAUUCAUCUACAUGCUUAUCAACAACCAAAUGAGACACGCCAUGUUCUAGAGGUACUACAACAAACUCAUAUAGAUAUUUAAAAAUGUGAUAUAAUAAAUCAAUUGUGUUACAAAUUUCUUAUUCGUCAUGUCAGAUUGAGGCUCACUCCGGAGGAGUAAAUGACAUAGCAUUCUCCCGACCAAAUAAGCAACUUUGUGUUGUCACAUGUGGAGAUGAUAAACUGAUUAAGGUAUGAGAUGUGACUUCCAGGUUAAUACUCAUACUUGACCUGUCACCUUGAACUGCCUUUUCGUUUUGUAGGUUUGGGAUAUGCACGGACAGAAAUUAUUCACAUUUGAAGGGCAUGAGGCGCCUGUGUAUUCUAUCUGCCCUCAUCAUAAAGAGAGUAUUCAGGUGCAUUUCAUAUCAUGAACCCAUCAAUAUCUCAGGAUGCAAUAAUCUUUGCUGUUGAUUCUUUUUCUAUACCAAGUUUGACUUUGCUCCAGUUUAAAGUUACGGAAUCAAUCAUGGGAUUUCUACUUUUACAUAAUUGCACACAAUAUAAUGAUAUGUUUAUUCAAGUGGAAAAGAGGGAGGUUUGCAAGAGCAUGAUUUUAAAGACACAUAUUGAUUUUUAUAGUAUUUAUGGUACCUCCCUUUUAUUCGAUAUAUAACAUUUGUUCUAGAGCAUGUACAUAACUCCAUAUUGUUUAUUAUUAUGAAAUAUGAUGUUAUCAAAUUCUUGACCUGAUAUUUCAUCAUAAUUUAUUUGAUUAAUUCAGGAGUCUUAUCUAAUUUAAAAUGCUUGUAAUAUUCACUUAUUCUGAGAACUCAGGAGCCUUAUCAAAAUCAAGUCUUAUACAUGAUUUUCUUAUGUUUAACGCAGUUCAUCUUCUCAACUUCCCUUGAUGGAAAAAUUAAGGCCUGGCUUUAUGACAAUGUGGGAUCUAGGGUGGACUAUGAUGCUCCUGGGAAGUGGUGUACUACUAUGCUCUAUAGUGCUGAUGGAACUAGGUAAGGAUAUAUAGGUUAGCCCUUGUUCUUCCACCAAAAGUGGUUCCAGUUGUUUCAGUUUUUACUAAUGAAACAAUUUGCUUGUCGAUAUGAAGGUUGUUCUCAUGUGGAACGGGCAAAGAGGGAGACUCAUAUUUGGUUGAGUGGAAUGAGAGUGAAGGAUCUAUUAAGAGGACAUAUUCUGGAUUUCGUAAAAGGUCAGCUGGUGUUGCUGGUGUAGUGCAGUUUGAUACUGCUCAGAAUCACUUCUUGGCUGCUGGUGAAGAUAACCAGAUUAAAUUCUGGGAUGUUGAUAACACUAAUAUGCUGACCUGCACGGAAGCUGAUGGAGGCCUCCCAGUUAGUCUCUGCUCCCUAUCAUGUUUGUCCUUGUUUUGGGGGUGGUGUAAUCUAACCAUUUUACAUUAUUGCCAGGCUCUUCCUCGCUUGAGGUUCAAUAAAGAAGGCAACCUUCUUGCUGUUACUACAGUAGACAAUGGUUUUAAGAUACUUGCAAAUGCUGAUGGACUCAGAACUCUACGCGCUUUUGGAAGCCGACCUUUUGAAGCAUUUAGGCCGCAAUAUGAAGCUUCUUCUAUGAAGGUUCCUACAUGACUUUUCGUCUGCUAUUUUUCUUUCAUGAUUCACAGCCUCGAUUUAGAUCGAUCUUGACACUUACUUUGAAUUUACAGGUCUCAGGUGCUCCUGUUGUUACUGGCAUCUCUCCUAACAUAGGCCGAAUGGAUCACUUAGAUAGGAAUUCUCCUGCAAAGCCAUCUCCUAUACUGGUAUUGUGGUUCAUAUUUUCAGACUAAAAGAGAUCAAUUCCUCCUUGCUUACCAUUUUAUCAACAAUUUAAACAACAUCUGACUUAAUAUAAAUUUGAAUAGAAUGGUGGGGAUACAGCAUCAAGAAGCAUUGAUAUAAAGCCCAGAAUCUCAGAAGAAAAACCUGAUAAGGCAAAACCUUGGGAAUUGAUGGAGGUCUUAAAUCCUCAGCAAUGCCGUGUAGCCACAAUGCCAGAAACUCCUGACCAGCCCAGAAAGGUUGUUUUAUCUUGAUGUAUGUUUCACACUUUUCAUCGUGGAAUAUGUGAGAGGGUUUAACAACAUUUAUGUGCAGGUCGUCCGCCUUCUGUACACAAAUUCUGGUGUUGGGUUGCUAGCACUAGGGUCUAAUGCCAUUCAAAGGUUAUGGAAAUGGAGUCGAAAUGAGCAAAAUCCGAGUGGAAAGGUAUAUAUUACUUUCUGUUGGUUUUUUUAUGUUAAUCAAGUUUGUGGUAUAAUUUUUUUCCAUUCUAUUAAGCAGGCCACAGCCGGUGUUGUGCCACACCAUUGGCAGCCAAAUAGCGGUCUUGUCAUGACAAAUGAUACAGCAGAUACCAAUCCAGAGGAGGCAGUUCCAUGCAUCGCACUCUCCAAGAAUGAUUCUUAUGUGAUGUCCGCUUGUGGUGGGAAGGUUUCCUUGUUUAACAUGAUGACAUUUAAGGUAACGUUUAACUAUUUUAUACGGAUGCAAUUUUCAGGCAUAAAGAAAAUUUACUCAUGCAUCUUCUGUGCAGGUGAUGACAACAUUCAUGCCACCUCCACCAGCAUCAACAUUUUUAGCGUUUCACCCUCAAGACAAUAACAUCAUAGCAAUAGGAAUGGAAGAUUCAACCAUCCACAUAUACAAUGUCAGGGUAGAUGAGGUAAUAAUUGCCUAAUGCCUGCGCAGAUUAUGUUUUUCUUGAAUCAUUUCAUUCAGCCUUCUGACCUUUUUUGGUUUUUCAGGUAAAAACUAGACUCAAAGGACAUCAAAAGAGGAUAACUGGGUUAGCUUUCUCCACCAACCUUGGUGUACUUGUUUCUUCUGGCGCUGAUGCACAGGUAAGUAAUGCAGUUCUUGUUUAUGUUACAAGAUGAACAUAUUUUUAACAACCCCCACAUCCGACCUCUACUGUUUUUCUGUCUGAAUUUAUUCUGAUAGUAGCGAUGCUCAUAUUUUCAGCUGUGUGUGUGGGCCAAUGACACCUGGGAGAAAAAGAGAACCAUUUCUAUACAGAUGCCAGCUGGAAAGACUGCUUCAGGCGAUACAAGGGUCCAGUUUAGUUCUGACCAAAGUCACUUGCUAGUAGUACAUGAAACUCAGCUAGCUAUAUAUGAUGCGUCAAAAAUGGAGAGGGUCUAUCAGGUGACACACUAUAUAUUUUGUCGAAAGUCAAUAUUUUGUCACUGCCUAAUUGCCUAUUAACUGUCUUUCUCUUGUUUCAGUGGAUACCCCAGGACACGUUGUCAGCUCCUAUAUCGCAUGCAUCGUACUCAUGCAACAGUCAGCUGGUUUUUGCUGCCUUCGCUGAUGGUAAUGUAGGUGUUUUUGAUGCGGAGAACUUGAGAUUAAGAUGCCGAAUUGCGCCAUCUGUAUACAUGUCUUUGACAGCCAUAAACAGGUACCCGAUUUGUACACUUAUUGCGUAUUAGCUGACCAUAUGAAAUGUUCGUUGUGCUGGUGUGUUUUCUAUUUCACUUUGGUAAUGUUUGAGUCCUGAUUCCAAUGCCUAUUCUAGUUAGUUGCUACCUUUAGCAAAGUUUGCUAAAAAUAAAUGACUGGCUUUUUCGUGGGGCUAAGUUUUGAUGGGAGCUUCUCUGUGGUUCGGCUUAGUGAGUAAUCGAUUUUGAGUUAUUAGCUUGCUAGUUGAGUAUCAUGCAUAUUCUGGAUUUUGUUGGUGAUUGAAGAUUGGAUAUAUUAUCGUCACUGUUCUGAGAUUAUUGUAUUAUACACUUGUGGGGCAACUGUUGACAUACAUGGACCAACCCUAAGUAUCAUAGCGCCAUUGAGCUGAUUCAGGGCUUCAGGCAGUUGAGGUGCUAUUAUGGCAGAUUCAGAAAAUAUCGGAUAAUGAACUUUCUGGCAUACUGUACAUUUGAGUGCCCUUUUCAUGAUACAUAGAUUGCCAUAAUGUCAUGUGAUCCUGUUAUAUAGCCCCUGACAUCUAAGAAAUGUUUGUCUCGUGAUUCCAGCAAUCCACCUGUUCACCCUCUUGUCGUCGCUGCACAUCCCAAUGAGCCAAACCAAUUCGCGGUCGGGCUGUCAGAUGGGUCUGUUAAAGUGCUGGAGCCCUUGGAGUCCGAAGGGAAGUGGGGAACACCCGCCCCGGCAGACAAUGGGAUUCCCAAUGGCAAGACGCCGGCAUCAUCAGCUACUAGCAACCCCGCCGCGGAUCAAAUCCAAAGAUAGAUGUAUCGCUGAAGUUUUCUCUGUAAAUUUUCUAAUUGAACUGACUUAUUUGUAUGUGGAUGUCGUUAGGAUAUUAUUGUUGCAUUUGUUGGAAAAAGCAGGACAGAACAGGUUAAGGUCAAAACUUGUCUCAUGAAAGGUGAUGUUUGCAUUAGGGGAUAGUAGUGUCCAUAAAGUGUGUCGCCUUAGGUAUUCUCAGGUUUAGCUCGAAUGAUGUAAGCUAUAUAUUUCUUAAUGCAUGUAAAGCAAUAUAUAGUUUUGCCCCAAUACCCAUUUUCGCCCUGUUCCGUUCUAUCUGGUUAUUAUUCUUAGGAUAAGGGCAUAAGGCAGUGCUAUAGUGGCAAAUCGAAACGCCAUGCGACCUCAUGGUUUAGCACUCGUCUGACAGCACUUAGUUUUCAAAGUCAAGCCGAAUCAGGUCCGGAAACUGCACGCAUUCAGUAGGACCAGCGUUUACAAGUCGUUUAGUAGCGAGUUAAACUGGGCCGAGUUAAUACAAGUCGUUUACCAGGCCGGGGCAACUGAAAAGCUGGGCCGAGUUAAAUGGCUAAAGCUAGCUGGCCCACAUAAAGAUUUAACAUUGAUUUGGUUGGGGGUGUGAGCGAGUGCUGAAGUUCCAGUGCAACAUGAUGAGAAAAGAAAACAAAGAGGAACAGUCGCAGAGAAGAGAAAAAGGGGAAGAAGAGCCGUCCUCCCCCAUCCGCGCUUCUUGGUUACGCUACACCUACCAAGUGCCAAUAUGGUCAGUCAAUGAACAUCGUCCAGCGCACUCCCCGCCAUCUUCUCACACAUCAUUUAUCUUCUUUUGAUCCAUUAUUCUUCUCCCUUCUAUUAGAUUUUUUUUUUCAUCCCACAUUGCAUUCCUCCCUAAACGACACCAAUAAACAUAGCCCAACUUUCCUCCGAUUUGGCCAACAACGUCUAACCUAAUCCUCUCGAUCCACUUAGCAAAUUUACAGUUAUUGAUAAGCACGUAGCUGCAUUUUGACAGGCAUCUUAGCUUUUUGUUUCAUGGUAGAGCUAGCGUGAUCUAUCAAUUGAUGAGUUAGAAAUCUACCUCUGACAACGAAAAGAAGCCCAUUUAUUUUUUUGUUAAGAAAACCUUUUAAUUUAAGCUUUUGACCACAAAUUUUAUUAAACGGUAUAGAGUGACGACAUAAGGUUGAUACUAUUUGAUUUACAUGAAAAUUUGUUUUCAUAACACACCACGUGUUCUAUUUAAAAAACUAUAUUUUUAUAUUUAUAUAUUUAUAUCCGUGAUUAGAGAAAAUAGUGAGUAUGAAACCAUUUCCUCAUAAUAUGCAAAACCAAGCUAUUGAAUUUACUAACGAACUUAGUGCAACAUCAUAAAAUAGGAGCAAUAUAAGUAGCAAGAACUUAGUGUGAAGCGCAUCUUGUAGCCAUGCGAGGUAAAAAGAAAAGUUAAUUAUUUUUUUAAAAAAAUAUUAGAUGAUUUUUAGCUGUUCCAUUAUGUUUUACUCCGUAGUUGAUGUUAUGUUUUUUAAAAAAAAUAAAGGGUCACGGUUUUUUUCUUAAUCCGCAUGGAGGCCAACGCAUCAAUGGUCCUGAUCUGACGUUAGCGGAGGAGGUUCUUCUAGAAACAACAAACUAGUAGAAGCCACCGAAGAAUCUAGAACGGAGCAGCCAGGCGGCCAGGCCACGCAGGCCACAAGGAGAAGAAAAGAGGAAGGAAUAUUCUUCGCGUCGAUAGAAAGAGAGAGAAGGCGGCAGGAAGAGUAGGAGGCGUCGGCCGAUCUGCUGCGGAGAGGGAGAGGAGGAGGAGUAGAUCGCGGGCGAGGAGAGCAGAGAUGUUCCUGGUGGACUGGUUCUACGGGGUGCUGGCGUCGCUGGGGCUGUGGCAGAAGGAGGCCAAGAUCCUCUUCCUCGGCCUCGACAACGCCGGCAAGACCACCCUCCUCCACAUGCUCAAGGAUGAGGUCUCUCUCCCCCUCCGAUCCACCGCCCCUUCCCCUGCGAAUUCCAGUCCUGUUGUUUUGUUUUCCCAUGACGGGGAUUCCUGAUCUGGUUUGUUGGAUUGAUCGCAGCGGCUCGUACAGCACCAGCCGACGCAGUACCCCACGUCGGAGGAGCUGAGCAUCGGCAAGAUCAAGUUCAAGGCCUUCGACCUCGGCGGCCACCAGAUCGCCCGUCGCGUCUGGAAGGACUACUACGCCAAGGUUGCCCCUCCUUCCUCCUCCUCGUUUCGUUUCUAUUAUUGUUAGAGCGCUUCCCUGUACAGUUGUUUUUUUGUCUGAUUUGCGUUGGAAUUUGGGUUGAGACUUUAGACGAAGAAUCGAAGAUAGUAGGGUUUUAGUUGCAAGUAGCAUCUCGUGUUAAAUGUACGCCGUCUUAAUUUAUUUGCUUGUUAUUGUUAGAGUGUUCCAUGUACAGUUUUUGUGUGAUUUGGUGUUGGAAUUUUGGUUGAGACAAAGAAUUUGGGGUUUUAUGUAUUGCAGUAUAUAAGUAUAUGGGGGUUGAACAUACUACAUCUGAAUUGCCAAUUAGGUAAGGUGUGCUGUAGGAUGAGGAGAAAAAUUUGUAGAAUCUUAAUAGCAUGCCAGAGCUAUGAUUUUGUGAAGAUAGUCUCCUCAGGUAACCAAGGAUGGCACACCCAUUGAGAGAUGUUGGCCAUCUGAUCAUGAUGUGAUUUCUAGUGAUACUAGAACAUGUCUGUUAUGCUGUUAUUUGAGCUCUGUCAUUCAGAUUAGCUGCCCAUUUGCAAUGGACCAUAUUUUAGUGGGGCUACCUACUGGUGCCAUUGAUUCUUCAUCAUCAAUCAUUCUGUGAGGUUUAUAGGAUGUGAUCUCUGUACCCAAUAGAAGUACACAAUCUACAUGUGCAAGUGGAACUAGUUGGUAUUUCCUAGCAAGGGUGUUGGCAUUGCCUAACCUUAGUAGAACAAUCUUCUGCGUAGUCCUUUUUAAUUCUUAUGGUAUUCUUUAUUUCAACAGAACACAGCUCCAAACAAAAAUAUGGGAAAAUUGUCCACGUAUCACUGUGCUUGGAGAGCUUUCCAAAUGUACAACUCAUGCUUCCCACUUGACCGAAUUACCCUAAUAAGACUAUGAGGUCUGCCUGCUUACAACUAUUGUGCAGUUUUGAUCCUCCAUCUUACUCUGGCAAUCAUCAGAACUCUGGUCAACACCCUGCUCCAUAUGGAACGGUGUAGAUUUGCCAUGGCUGAUGAUGGAGAGGUAAAGUUUGCCACCAGUGUUAAACAGGUUCAGAUCAUAAGUUUUUGUGGUAAUUUGGCAAUGUGGGAAGUCUGAGUGCUAUGAGUGCAAGGCUCUCCAGACACGCUGAUUCUUAGUCUACUUUCUCAAAAAGAAAUACUAGGCCAUUAGAGCAGCCCUAGUUGUUUUCAUGCUCAGUUCAGUCCAAGAGCUCCAGUGCUGCAUUCGAUCAUUCCCAUGCCUCACACCCAUGCCCUGUCUUGUGUGUGGAAAUUCUAAUCAGCUUGGUAGGGGUUGACUCGUCUUAAAAGUUUGGUCAUCAACGGUUCAAUUUCUGUAUGCUGGAGCUGCUCUAGCAGAAAUCAACAAAUCAUCCACUUUAUGCUUUCUGUUGUUCUUGGAUGAGUCUCUUUGAGAGUUCGUGAGUUCACCUGCGGUUUUUUCAUAAAAUCCCCAUCUGCCUAGAAUGGUGGAACAAGACAAAUAUCCUUUCCGGUUCUUAUAUUUCUUCAUUUCAACAAAGCACAUUCUGGAAUAAAAAUAUGCAAAAGUUGUCCAUGUAUCACUGUGUUUGGAGAGCUUUCCAAAUUUAUGACUCAGGCUUCUCUCUUGACCAACUUAUCACUAAUAAGACUAUGAAGGGUGCCUGCUUAUAACUAUCGUGAAGUCUUACUACUCAAUUUUGAUUUUUGUGAUAGUUGGUAAACAGGUUAUGUCACAGUUUUGUUGGUAAUUUGGCAAUGUGGGAAGUCUUGAGUGCUAUGAGUGCAAAGCUCUCUGCACACAAUGAUCCAAGGUCAAUUUCCGUUGGAAAAUUAGAGGGCUUUAGAGGAAUCCUGGAUUUGGCGCUUUGUACUGUUCUUGGAUUAGGCUUGCUGAAGUACCUGAGGUCACUUAUGGGUUUUGCAACAUAAACCUCAGCUGCUCUAGAAUGGUGGGAACAACCAUAACGUAAUUUGGUAAUCUUGCUGUAAUUAACUAAUCAAGAAAGGUGUAAAUUAUGUUGUUAACCCAUUGUGUUUUGCUAAUUUGCUAAAGGGAAAUGAAUACACUGAAGGAACAUGUAAAUUCGUCUACAACAGCUGGAAAUUGUUCAAAACUUGAAUUCAUGCACUCAUCUUCUCAUAAACCACAUCAAACCUUCCCCAAUGUCACCAUUCUCUGCUCCUGUGAGGGACGAGUUCACACGUUGCAUCCAUCUUGCUUGCUCGCCCCACUGCAUUUCCAAAGAUCUUACUUGCAUGACUAAAUGUUUUCCAACGCACGUUGCAUGAGGCUUCUAUUUAUAUUUUCGGAACACCCAUGUUAGAGCCAUGUUAAAUGGAUUAAGUUUUGUUGAUGCAAUGCUUGCUCAAGAAAAAAUAAACAUGAUUGUUUAGCACUAGGCAUGUAAUACUAGGGCCUAAGUUCAGCUAACUUAUUGCCCUGGCUGAACAAUAUCCCAGGCUUUGACAAUUAACUGUAAAUUGUGAUUGAACUUGAUGAGUUCAAUAACUUCACAGUUUAGUGUUUUUGCAUAUGCUUUUUGCUGGCUGCUUCUAAUUUCUUAUCUGUCUUACAGGUUGAUGCUGUUGUGUACUUGGUGGAUGCUGUUGACAAGGAGCGGUUUGCCGAGUCAAAGAAGGAGCUUGACGCUCUUCUUGCAGAUGACUCACUUGCGAACGUUCCUUUCCUCAUACUCGGCAACAAGAUUGACAUCCCGUACGCAGCUUCAGAGGAGGAGCUGCGGUACUACCUCGGGCUGAGCAACUUCACAACUGGAAAGGGCAACGUGAACCUGUCCGACUCCAAUGUCCGCCCCCUGGAGAUCUUCAUGUGCAGCGUGGUGCGCAAGAUGGGGUACGGCGAGGGCUUCAAAUGGAUGUCCCAGUACAUCAAGUGAAACGCCGCGCACCUCCUCUUUCCAUAGCACUGCUGGUGUUGUUCUCGCAGGCAGUUGGAAUCAGGUCUGGGCCGUCACUACGGAGAAAUCCGCAGCUGUAUGAAAAAGUUUAUGGUAGUUAGUGAUAGGGAAAACCUGUAAUUUGGUGUUAAUCCUAGAUAUGCGAUGCGUCUAUUUUCUUUUCUGAUUGUUUGUGGGUAAUGGUCUGAAGUCUUAUAACAGUCGAAAAAGCAGUUGCUGGAAUCCCUUCGAGGCAGCGAGAAGCAUUCCAGCUUAUGUAAUCACGUUACUCCAAUCAGUGAAAUGUUUGCUAGCAAACUCUGGUGGGCUCUCGUCGCUAAUGAUUGAGUUUGUGGUCGAUUCGAACAUGUAAAAGCAUUUUCGCACGGAAGCAUGAAAUGGCUGGAAAAGUGGAUAAAUAAAAAUAUAAAAUGACAUGGCGCUAGAUUUUUAGGCUGGAGUUCCUAUCCGGAUCUUUUCCAUCUGUCGAGACGCCGGGCGAGAGCGACCCUUGCGGCCACGGAACGGCCGUGCAGCCCCUCGGCUGCUUCCUCCCCGUACGCACCCGUUCCAGGUGGGGAAAGCUAAAAGCUUCCCUCUGACCCGAAAACAAAGCAAGAAUGCCAAGGAUUACCUCAUUUUUUGUUGCAUUUCGGGGUGGGAAGCUUCACAAAGCAUUAAGAACCACGAGUCAUGGUGCCGAUCAACUAACUCCUUUCGCCAGAACCCAACAAUAAUCGGGUUCCGUUUUCAGCUCGAACCCGAUCAUCUCUCGCGGCUGAGACGACGGGACAGGGUAGGAAGUUCCGUGCAGGCUUUGGUUCCGGCUGCCCGCCAACCGGUUCCGGCUCACCUCCGGCGUCGCCUACCGCCGCGGUCGCUCUCCGCUUGCCCUUUGCUGCCCGCAGCCGGUGGACCGAUAGGGGUGGCCGAGACGACGAGCGCCACGGAAAAUCGAAACGGCCGCGUCGGAUGGGAUGGGGUGGGCUCGGCACGCCCGCGCGCCGUCGACGCAUCCCAGGCGGGCACGGACGGGGUCGGCAGGCAGGCGCACGGGCACGGCACGACGCGGGAGGCGGACCCGUGAUUUGGCGGCUCGCACGCGCCCCAGCGUGUGGGUUGCCAGUUGGCGGCGGAGCCAGCGAGGAGAAGGAGCGGCUCGUCCGCGACCGGCGGAGCACGGCGGGGCACGGGCCAGAACGCCAGAGCAGAGGUAGGUGCAAGGCAACCUCGGACCAGACGACCGAUUACAUGGUGAGCAGACAAAUCAGACCCGUGUCUGGAAUUGGCGUGGCACGGAGCCGGCGGAAGUUCCUUGGCGGCCAACGGCUUCCAUUCUCCUCCUCCGGCGUCUCCAUCUGAACCGACGGCGAACAGAACCCGUCAACAGUGUACGGGCACAACGCCCGAGGUGGCACCGGUAGCGGUGGCGACCCGUCGGCGUGGCUGCUCGGUUACAUUACACGUUCAUGCGCCUAUUGCGGCACCCCGUACGACUGUGCUGCCGCUCCAUGUCCAUGAGUAGCAUCUACGUUAACGCAACGGAGUCCGGCGUCGUCUGAAUUCUCUCGGCCCG